UAAUUAAUGCACUAGGUUGCGCUUGUGACCAGGCAAGACAAACUUAUGAACUUGCAAGGAUGGCAAUCAGAUCGACAUCCGCACAAUGCUGAUAUGAACAUUGUCUUGAUACAACUUUAUUUGUAUUUUAUUUCAGAAUUUAAACAACUAGUUUGGGCGGGUCACACAUGGUGUUGUGUGACACUUUAUUUGUCACCGCUACAUCGACAUAUCCAUCGACUAAACAACGGUGAUCCAACUAUAUAUUAAUAGAGAUCUUUUCUUAUCAGUAGGCACCAACUCCAGUGCCAACGCCGAAUGGCGCACUAGUGGUGGUUCCGUACAACGGCACGUUGACAUUGCACAUCGUUGGCAAGGUACGGAGUGCAAUGGAAGUCAUCACCUCAAAUUGAGCUAUCUGGUGUGGCUGCAAAAAGGUACCCUGUGCCAAUUGUUGUUGUUGAGGUUGUUGCCCGAGUUGCUGCUGCGAUUGUUGUUGGGGUUGGGAGACACAUUGGCCCAACUGUUGGGGUUGUUGUUGCUGAGCUUGGAUGAUACUCUGAACUUGUUGUUGUUGUUGUUGUUGUUGCUGCAGGAUGAUAGAGUAGAUGAUAGCACGGAUUGACUCAUGGCGGGAUUGCCCGGGGAUUUGCCGCAACUGUUGGCAACAUUGUUGCUGCAUCACAUGGCAAAUCCUCUGCUGCAACAUUUGUGACCUAGCAAGACAUCGCUGCAUUGCCACAGGGAUGCACUGCUGCUGGAGGAAUACCUUGCAUGGGUUUAGUUGCUGCAAAACAGAUGGAUGAAUAACUGGUAUUUGUUGUUGCUGUGAAAAUGGUGGUUGUUGUUGCUGCGAAAAUGGUGGUUGUUGUUGCUGUGAAAUUGGUGGCUGUUGUGAAAACGGUGGUUGUUGUUGUUGUGAAAAUGGUGGUUGUUGUUGUUGCUGCUGCGAAAAUGGUNNNNNNNNNNNNNNNNNNNNNNNNNNNNNNNNNNNNNNNNNNNNNNNNNNNNNNNNNNNNNNNNNNNNNNNNNNNNNNNNNNNNNNNNNNNNNNNNNNNNNNNNNNNNNNNNNNNNNNNNNNNNNNNNNNNNNNNNNNNNNNNNNNNNNNNNNNNNNNNNNNNNNAAUUGGUGGCUGUUGUGAAAACGGUGGUUGGUGUUGCUGCAAAAAUGGUGGUUGUUGUUGUUGUUGCUGCGAAAAUGGUGAUUGUUGUUGUUGCGAAAAUGGUGGUUGCUAUUGCUGUGAAUAUGGUGGCUCUUGUUGCUGCGAAAAUGGUGGUUGUUGUUGCUGCGGAAAUGGUUGUUGUUGUUGUUGUUGCUGUGAAAUUUGCGCAACGGCACUUGCCGCCGCAAGAGCGAGGAGGGAAAAGACGAGGAAUGUCUUCAUUGUGGAUUGAUGUCAACUAGUGUUGCUUGGUUUUGAUGCUUGUGCUUGUGAUGAUCUUUAUACUUCAUGCCUAUUUAUAGUAGCCCGGGCACCACCUCUUUUCUUCUUUGCAUCAGCUUUAAUAAAUUUGUUUGGCUGCAUCUGAAAUGAAUUUUUUUGGUACAUUGUGUUUGGUUGCGCUAGCUACAAGCGUACUUUUGGAUUAAUCAUCAAAGUUGCUUUUUAGUUGUGCAUAUGAUCACACACGAAGUACAGAAACCCUGAUGUUUGUUAUAUAUGACUCAUCUUAUUCACUUUACAUGUCACACACUUAUCAAGAUAGUAUCACUUUUGCAACCGAGUUUGGAACCUUGUAUAGGCUAUCAACCAUAAACUAAAAAGGCAAAACUUUUGUAGGACUAAGUUGCAAUCGUGUGUGGGCUGUUAAGAUAUGCUCGAUUAUUAAAGCCUUGCGUGUGGAGGGUUCUUCUAGAGUUGGUUGCUUUUUAUAACUAAUUUUGUAUUUUCCACUAAGAUGAUAAGAUGAACCGACGCCUAUAGAGCAUGACAUGACUCAUCGAAUUCCCUUUAUAUGAAAAGGAUGAUAAUUGCUUACAAGAUACUCCUACUAGCAUAUAUUCGGUCCUAAGUCUAGACAUGUCAUCAUUAGUUCCGUGUUUUUGUUUAGAUAAAUCAUCAGUUCCAUCUAUUUGUGAAAGCUUUUGGGGGGGGGUGACAGUUUUUUUUGGCGCUAGGGGAAAAAUCUUUUUUGAUCUAGGGGGAAAUGAUAGAUGGGGCUGGAACAGAGGCCCGCAGCCUAGAGCGAGAGAUUAGGCCCAACAUAAGCGCUGUGUGUUAGGGCACCAAUUCGAAUUGGGCUAUAGUUUUCGUAGGCCCCAAUGUCACAAGCCGAACUCACACUCCGCAGAUCUGCGUCAUCUCCUUGCUCGUCCUCCUCGCCGGUCAGACCUCUCGUCGGCGUAGCCUCUCCUGGAUCCCACCGCCUGCGGCCGGUCACAUACGUCUGAGGCAGCGGAGGCGGAAGCCUCCCUCCUGCCCUCCGCACCCGCUACCACCACCAUUGGUCGACAAAAAGGUCACUUUUGAAGCUCCUUCGUCGAUUGCGGGCCGUACGUCGACGGCAGCCACUCCGGCCUCCCCGCUAAAACAAGGUAUCGAUCCUGGCCGUCUGUCUCCUCCAACGAUUCAAUUCACAUGAAUUCGAGAGGCGUACCCAUCUCCAUGCCAGCCACAUGAAUCAGGAGGGUCAUGAAGCAGGAUUCAUCUGCGUAGCCUGAUAGUGACAUACAUUUGUGGCUUUGGUAGCUAAGCAACUUUGUGCUUUCUAUGGAUGUCACUUCAAAAGUUCAAAUAAUCAUCAAAUUUCCGCCUUUGGGUGCUGCAGGUGGAGUGGAGGACAUUCAGUUUCCCUCUGAUGUCCGAGAAGUCCGUCUUCGGUGCAGCAAUUGUGGGUGUCAAAACCGGGGGAUCUCGGGUAGAGGGUCCCGAACUGUGCGUCUAAGGCGGAUGGUAACAGGAGGCAGGGGACACAAUGUUUACCCAGGUUUGGGCCCUCUCGAUGGAGGUAAUACCCUACUUCCUGCUUGAUUGAUCUUGAUGAUAUGAGUAUUACAAGAGUUGAUCUACCACGAGAUCGUAGUGGCCAAAUCCUAGAAGCUAGCUUAUGAUUAUGAUUGUUGUUGUCCUACGGACUAAACCCUCCGGUUUAUAUAGACACCGGAGGGGGCUAGGGUUACACAGAGUCGGUUACAAGGGAGGAGAUCUACAUAUCCGAAUUGCCAAGCUUGCCUUCCACGCAAAGGAGAGUCCCACCCGGACACGAGAUGAAGUCUUCAAUCUUGUAUCUUCGUAGUCCGGCCGAAGGAUAUAGUCCGGCUGUCCGAGGACCCCCUAAUUCAUGACUCCCUCAGUAGCUCCUGAACCAGGCUUCAAUGACGAUGAGUCCGGCGCACAGAUUGUCUUCGGCAUUGCAAGGCGGGUUCUUCCUCUGAAUACUCCAUAGAAGAUUUCAAACACAAGGACAGUGUCCGGCUCUGCAAAACAAAUUCCACAUACCACCGUAGAGAGUAUAAUAUUUUCACAAAUCUAAUCUGCUGACAACUUUUCAUAACGUGACAUCACGCCAUGGCCUGGUCAUUAUUUGAACCGUUUUUCUCAACCAACUACUACACAUAUUGCGAGGCGGUUUUCUUGACAUGUCUUGUCAAAGCAGAGAUCGUGUCCCCUUAUCAUGAGAUUCUAAUCAAUAUGGGCGUGGGUAACCCAACCGCGCCAUCAAUCACGAUGCUUGGGGAAUAAGCGAGUUUACCAGUCAAGUGGGGAGGCAUAGAAUCCCUGCUGCCUUUAUAAGGGGAUAAGGACUCCCUUUCGCACCCACGCUUUCUUCUUCCCGAUCCAUUCCCCUUUGCCCGAGCUCCAGCAAUAGAGCGUUCGUCUUCUCUGCCCACAAAGGCCUUCCGAAAAUGUCCGGAUCAUGAGCAGGAGGCAAGUGGAUGGCCUCUACUGUCGAGGAGAAGCAUAUCAAAAAGUUUUGGGAGGCCGGGUAUCUGGCCAAAAAAAUCGACCACCGUCUCCCGACGGCGGGACAGAACGUUCCUACUCCGGAACCCCAAGAGAGGGUUGUAUUCCUCCCUCAUUUUGUCUGCGGGCUAGGGUUUCCCCUCCACCCGUUCGUUCGCGGCAUCAUGUAUUAUUACGGGAUCGAUUUUCAUGAUGUAUCCCCCAAUUCCUUCCUCAACUUCUCGACAUUCAUCAUCGUGUGCGAGGCUUUUCUCCGCAUCUCGCCACACUUCGGCUUAUGCCUGAAGAUCUUUAAUGUGAAGGCCAAGGUGGUGAGCGGCGAGCACGCCGAGUGUGGGGGCGCCAUGGUGAGCAAGAUGCCCAAUGUCACCUGGCCAACAUGUACUUUUAAUGAUUCCAUCAAAUAGUGGCAACAACAGUGGUUUUACAUUACUAAGCCACGCAGCACGGAAUGGGCCGCUGCUCCAGAGUUCCGAUCCAGAGCCCCUCUGCGGCUUACGUCCUGGCCCAAGAAGGGCCUGAACUGGUCUUCGUCUGACGAACUGUCUAUGCUCCAGACGCGCAUUAAAGAUAUGGAAGACAAGAACAUCGAACUUGUCAUUGUAGUCCAGGUGAUGUUAGUUCGCGGGAUCCUGCCUUGUCAGCACCAGACUUGCAAUAUGUGGGAAUUCGAUCCGGCCAAGCACCAGACCCUGUGAAAACUCUUUGGAUCCUCGCACGAAGACAUCUGGAAGGUGCUUUUCAAGUCUGGAAAAUCAUGGACGGACUCGGCCGAGGACCGUGGGUAUCAACUGUCCCGCCCUGCAAGCUCGGUAAGUUUUAUGCGUUUUACCCGCAUAACCCAAGGGAAAUGCCUAAUGUGUUUUCCUCAAUUCCCCUAGGGCUGGACGAAGAAGGCGGGGCGGAUCCACUGUCCGGUCCCGUUGCCCGAAGAACCGGCCGGCCCACUUCUGACGAAGAUGCUGGCCCCGGCGCCAUACAAGGCACCGAAGAAGAAGACCAAGGAGGCCAAAAAGACCCGAGGCGGCCUUCGUCGCCGCGGCACUUCAGCCACAAUAUCCGAAGGCUCCAAACCCCGUUCUGCCUCUGAAGAGGACGAGGAGGAGGAAGACGAAUCCCCAGUGGGGGGAAGAAAAGAAGAGGGCGGCCUCCAUACACUUGGAGGCCGAGUCACCUAAAAGGGGAAAAGAUCCUCUUCGUGAAGAGUCCACUGCCGCCGCCGACAGCAGCCCGGCAUGGGAUCCCAGGGCCCAGCCCCUGGUGAACUCGUGAGUAUAAAAUCCGAACACGUUUAUGCGUCCAGACUCAUCAUGGCAUAAUAUUUUAACCUGAGCUAUAUUUUUUUCAGUCCGGCGAGGUCCCGCACCAAAUGAUCCUCAUCAGAGGAUUCGCUAAGCUCGGAUGCUAUAGAGAGCGGGACGCCCCCAAAGGCCCCUUCCCCCAAAUGUGUGCAUAACACCGAGGCUUCGUCCCAGAAGGACCCCGGCCAAGGAGGGGGGGAAGAGAUCGUGAAAGCAGCGCCUGGAGUUCAAACUUCGGGGGCCGGAGACAUGGGGGAGAAGAUUCCCAUGGGAGUCGACGGCGGGAGCCAUCUUGAAUUCGGCUCCCAGCCGGGCGCAAUUCCGGAGACCAAUACGGCUCGAAAAUCAAGCAGGCGGCCUCCCUCGGUUGGAGGGGGCGUGCCUGUUCCACCGGCAAUCUCUGUCCAGCCAGAGGUGCCGGAUGUUUUGUUGGCGGCGCUGAAGAGCGCCUCCAUCGUCGAUGAACACCGUGCCCUGAUGGGUGUGGUGAUUAAGGAGAUUCAGUCUGCUGAGAGUGGACUGAAUGAAGCUUGUAUCAGCCUUAUAAGAGGCUUUGAGGUAUGUUUUAUGAGGUUUCGAAGAGUGUCAUAGUAUGGAUAGUAGCCCCUGAUACACUGUUCGGUGCAAGAAAGGACCGAACAAAGGAUCAAUUUUAUGUUCGCAGGAAGACUCACUUGAUGACAUCUAUCUCUCUUCUUUUAUAAGCAGGUGUCUGCAGUGGCUGCUGCCUCUCAUGCUGCGGAGGUCUCCGGACUAAAUCAAAGUCUGGAGCGGGCCGAAGAAGAACUUGGCCAGUUGAAAAGCCAGUUGGAAGAUAAACAAGGUAUGCGCAAGCAGGGGCGGAAUUGGGCCUAUGGCAACUAGGGCUAUAGCCCCAGGCGUGGCCCAACUAGUGCUAUUAGAUCCAGAUGAAAAUUUUCAGAUUUUUAGAUUUUAAGAGGCCCAGCCCCAGGCGUGACCACCCAGCUCCAGGCCUCAGCCGCUCAGCCCAUGUACCUUCUGAGGCUCGCAGCCCAACUAGCUCUGCAUAUUUUGCUCCUAACAAAAGCUAUGCAUCGCCAAGCAGCAGGAAGCCAUGCCCACGUUUUGCCCUAAGGAAACGUUUUUGCUAACAAAACAACGCCCACGUUUUCCCCUAAAAAAACCUUUUUGCUAGAAAAACGACGCCCAGGUUUGAUCGUUGGUCUGUUGCGAUUCCAAAGGAAUCGAUCGCACGACGAUUCGAUCGAUCUGACAAAACAUAGUUGCCUUGUUCCGUGCGCCGCCUGAGGUGUUUCCCUUCCCCUCGAUGGCUCGACAGACCUGCGCAUGGCCUCGUCACUUCGUCGGAGCAGCCCCCUCCAAGUCCAACCUUCUGGUCUUUUCCAUCUCCACAACCGGCAACGUCUUGUUCUUCUCCGUUUCCACAACCGGCUAGACUGGUAUUUUCUACUUUGGUGUAUCGUCUAUCUUUUUGCUAGAUCCAAGAUGAUUAAAUUGUACUCGUAUUACUUUAGUCAAUUUUUGUUUCGGUAAUUUGUAAAAGCAAAAAUAGAUAGAAACCCAAGAUGAAUAGGAUACGUACGAUUGUUUUAAGCAACAUCCAGCCAGCCUUCAUCGAACAAUACCAACAUCAUCAUUGUUAAACUAUUUUGUUCUAUUAAAUUUCCUCUUGUGGUAAAAAUGAAUUCAUAUAUCAUUUUUAAAGUGAAGUUGUGAUUCCCGCCAGAAAAAACUGAAUUUGUGACGUACUUGUAACAUGCACUGGUUUGUGUGGUAUAGUUACUUAGUUUUAGUCCUAGGCUUUGAGAAAUCCUGGCUCCGCCUCUGUGCGCAAGCCUUGUUCGCAUUUGGUGCAAACAAAUUCUCAUUAUGAUAAAAUAUGUUUCAUUAUUUGCGCCAGGGGUGAUGACCGAAGUCGAGGCUUUGAGGAAGGCAGUUGCCGAGGCCGAGGAAAAGGCGGCCGCAGAGCAGGCUCUUCGUGAGAAGCACGAGGCCAGGGUUAUUGAAGCUGAGCAGGAGCUUCAAGAGUCCGUGAAGAAAUGCGAGACCUUGGAGCAGAGUUUAGCGGAGAAAGAAUCCGAACUCGCCAGGGCUCAUCAGGCCGCGCGCGAUGCCCAGGGGGAAACCCAAGGCGCCCUGCAGGAGAUCCAAGAGGCGAGGACGAUCACGGCGGGUAAGGCUUUUUUCCAUGUAAAGCAAGUAUUUGAGGAGAAAACCAUGUUUCUAAUUUUGAGUUCGGAUUUCUCCAGGGGUAUUUGCGGAACUACCCCGCAGCAUAUCGGAUGCCGCCCAAUUCUACCGAGCCAAAGAAGGGAACACUGCGGAUAAUCUCUUCUGGUCGCAGUAUUUAGCACCGAUUUAUCCGCUGCCUUUUGCCGACCAAAUGAAACAACUGAUCGAACUGCAUAGGGCGGCCGAACUAGCCAUGAAGGAUUUGAUUAUCCGGCUAUGGCCUGCCGAGCCGAUUCCAGGCAGCUACUUCGGGCUCGUGAAGCGGCUUGUGAGUGCCUGCCCUCGACUUGAUGUCAUCAAGCGGUCGGUCUAUAUAGAGGGUGCGCGAAUAGCCUUCACUCGCGCAAAUGUGCACUGGGGGAAGAUGGAUGCUGAAAAGCUGAUGACCGAGGGACCGCCAGAGGGGAAGGAGCACCGCAAGCCCGAAUUAUAUUAUGAAAGUGUCCUCAAAGGAUCAUGCCUAGCGGCGGAGCAAUGCACCAAGGACAUUAUAUUUCCAUGAAUACAAUCAUGUUGUCAUUUGUAAUGUCGAACAAGGUCAUUUCUAUUAUUUAUUGCCUGUUAUAUACAAGUUUAUCCUCCUACACGGCCGUUUUAUAUAUUAAUCCUGAGAGUUGGCCAGUGAUAUGUCUCCAACAUAUCUAUAAUUUUUUAUUGUUCCAUGCUAUAUUAUAUUCUGUUUUGUACAUUAUUGGGCUUUAUUAUACACUUCUAUAUUAUUUUUGGGACUAACCUAUUAACCGGAGGCCCAGCCCAGAAUUGCUGUUUUUUUGCCUAUUUUAGGGUUUCGCAGAAAAAGAAUAUCAAACGGAGUCCAGACUGAAUGAAACAUUCGAAAGCAUGAUUUUCGGAACGAACGUGAUCCAGAGGACUUGGACCCUACGUCAAGCAAUCAACGAGGAAGACACGAGGUAGGGGGGCGCGCCUACCCUCCCUCAGGCGCGCCCUCCACCCUCAUGGGCCCCCUAUUGCUCCACCGACAUACUCCUUCCUCCUAUAUAUACCUACGUACCCCCAAACUACCAGAUACGGAGCCAAAACGCUAAUUCCACCGCCGCAACUUUCUGUAUCCACGAGAUCCCAUCUUGGGGCCUUUUCCGGAGCUCCGCCGGAGGGGGCAUCGAUCACGGAGGGCUUGUACAUCAUCACCAUAGCCCCUCCGAUGAAGUGUGAGUAGUUCACCUCAGACCUACGGGUCCAUAGUUAUUAGCUAGAUGGCUUCUUCUCUCUUUUUGGAUCUCAAUACAAAGUUCUCCCCCUCUCUUUUGGAGAUCUAUUCGAUGUAAUCUUCUUUUGCGGUGUGUUUGUUGAGGCCGAUGAAUUGUGGGUUUAUGAUCAAGUUUAUCUAUGAACAAUAUUUGAAUCUUAUCUGAAUUCUUUCAUGUAUGAUUGGUUAUCUUUGCAAGUCUCUUCGAAUUAUCAGUUUGGUUUGGCCUACUAGAUUGAUCUUUCUUGCAAUGGGAGAAGUGCUUAGCUUCGGGUUCAAUCUUGCGGUGUCCUUUCCCAGUGACAGUAGGGGCAGCAAGGCACGUAUUGUAUUGUUGCCAUCGAGGAUAACAAGAUGGGUUUUAUAUCAUAUUGCAUGAGUUUAUCCCUCUACAUCAUGUCAUCUUGCUUAAAGCGUUACUCUGUUCUCUUGAAUUUAAUACUCUAGAUGCAUGCUGGAUAGCGGUCGAUGUGUGGAGUAAUAGUAGUAGAUGCAGGCAGGAGUCGGUCUACUUGUCUCGGAUGUGAUGCCUAUAUACAUGAUCAUACCUAUAUAUUCUCAUAACUAUGCUCAAUUCUGUCAAUUGCUCAACAGUAAUUUGUUUAUCCACCGUGAAUACUUAUGCUCUUGAGAGAAGCCACUUGUGAGACCUAUGGCCCCCGGGUCUAUUUUCCAUCAUAUUAAUCUUCCAACACUUAGUUAUAUUUAUUUCCUUUUAUUUUACUUUGCAUCUUUUAUUUCUCUUUAUCAUAAAAUACCAAAAAUAUUAUCUUAUCAUAUCUAUCAGAUCUCACUCUCGUAAGUGACCGUGUAGGGAUUGAAAACCCUUUAUCGCGUUGGUUGCGAGGAUUUAUUUGUUUGUGUAGGUGCGACGGACUCGUGUGUGGCCUGCUACUGGAUUGAUACCUUGGUUCUCAAAAACUGAGGGAAAUAGUUACGCUACUUUGCUGCAUCACUCUUUCCUCUUCAAGGGAAAACCAACGCAAGUGCUCAAGAGGUAGCAGCCAGUCGUCGGCUUCUGCCCCCACGUAGGAAGUACGGGGGUGUUCGGGAUAAACCACGUAAGGCAGCAAAACAUGGGAGUCGGGCAAACCCAACAUUUGACCCAAGACAUGAUUCGGAGCUGAUGCAUGUAAUGCUAUAAGUUCGGGGUGCCGAACUUCCAUGAAGGCGUUCGAACUUUAUUGCCGUAUUAUGGCUAAAACGAAGCCCUUGGCCUAUUUAAAGCAUAUCACGGUGUACGGAUGCCACUUGACAAAAGAAUUUCAAUAAGAAAUAACAACAGAUAAGCGUUAUAUAAACCCACAUGUUGUAUUUGAAUAGUAAGUCGAUGUGUGUGAGUACGGGUAAUGUGAUAAAAAAAGAAAUAUGACUGUGGAACCUGCUGAGACCAGGGGGAAGAAGGUGUGUGCGGAUCCGGAGUAUAGUCGGAUGGUCAUCGCGGGGAAUAUCUAAGGAUUCCCUUGCGCGUUCGAGCUGCUUCCAUAUCGCCAGUCCUGGUCUGCGCAAAGUUGAACCUACAAACAAAAUGUAAGAAAUGCUUGUGUGCCGCAGAGCGGUUGAGCCGCGGUAUGUGGCCUGUCGUGGCUUUCGCCGGAGUGUUUAAUUGAGCUCUGGACGAGCCGGGCUAUCUUGCCGCGAAGUAGUUCGAAGUCCUUUGGCGGUGUCCGGGAAUCGGGUCGUCGAGUCGAGGUUCGGUUGGGAGGUGCCACUUGUAGCUUCUGUUGUUAAAGCAGCAGUAUACUCUUUGGUGUCGUGGGGAAGUUCGGCCUUGCCAUUAACCGUGAUGACGCCUAAUGUCUACUACACAACCUUCUUCUUGUAGACGUUGUUGGGCCUCCAAGUGCAGAGGUUUGUAGGACAGUAGCGAAUUUCCCUCAAAUGGAUUACCUAAGGUUUAUCAAUCCGUAGGAGGCGUAGGAUGAAGAUGGUCUCUCUCAAGCAACCCUGCAACCAAAUAACAAAGAGUCUCUUGUGUCCCCAACACACCCAAUACAAUGGUAAAUUGUAUAGGUGCACUAGUUCGGCGAAGAGAUGGUGAUACAAGUGGUAUAUGGAUGGUAGAUAAAGGUUUUUGUAAUAUGAAAAUAUAAAAACAGCAAGGUAACUAAUGAUAGAAGUGAGUGUAAAUGGUAUUGCAAUGCUAGGAAACAAGGCCUAGGGUUCAUACUUUCACUAGUGCAAGCUCCCUCAACAAUAAUAACAUAAUUGGAUCACAUAAUUAUCCCUCAACAUGCAACAAAGAGUCACUCCAAAGUCACUAAUAGCGGAGAACGAACGAAGAGAUUAUGGUAGGGUACGAAACCACCUCAAAGUUAUUCUUUCCAAUCAAUCCGUUGGGCUAUUCCUAUAAGUGUCACAAACAGCCCUAGAGUUCGUACUAGAAAAACACCUUCAGACACAAAUCAACCAAAACCCUAAUGUCACCUAGAUACUCCAAUGUCACCUCAAGUAUCCGUGGGUAUGAUUAUAUGAUAUGCAUCACACAAUCUUAGAUUCAUCUAUUCAACCAACACAUAGAACCUCAAAGAGUGCCCUAAAGUUUCUACCGGAGAAUCAUGACGAAAACGUGUGCCAACCCCUAUGCAUAGGUUCAUGGGCGGAACCCGCAAGUUGAUCACCAAAACAUACAUCAAGUGAAUCACGUGGUAUCCCAUUGUCACCACAGAUACGCACGACAAGACAUACAUCAAGUGUUCUCAAAUCUUUAAAGACUCAAUCCGAUAAGAUAACUUCAUAGGGAAAACUCAAUCCAUUACAAGAGAUUAGGGGGGCAGAAAACAUCAUAAGAUGCAACUAUAAUAGCAAAGCUCGCUGAGGGAGUCCUGGAUUAGGGAUUCUCCGGAUAGCCGGACUAUAUCCUUUGGCCGGACUGUUGGACUAUGAAGAUACAAGAUUGAAGACUUCGUCCCGUGUCCGGAUGGGACUCUACUUGGCGUGGAAGGCAAGCUAGGCAAUAUGGAUAUGUAUAUAUCCUCCUUUGUAACCGACCUUGUGUAACCCUAGCCCCCUCCGGUGUCUAUGUAAACCGUAGGGUUUUAGUCCGUAGGACAACAUACAAUCAUACCAUAGGCUAGCUUCUAGGGCUUAGCCUCUUUGAUCUCGUGGUAGAUCAACUCUUGUAAUACUCAUAUCAUCAAGAACAAUCAAGCAGGACGUAGGGUAUUACCUCCAUCAAGAGGGCCCGAACCUGGGUAAACAUCGUGUCCCUGCCUCCUGUUACCAUCCGCCUUAGACGCAUAGUUCGGGACCCCCUACCGGAGAUCCGCCGGUUUUGAAACUGACAUUGGUGCUUUCAUUGAGAAUUCCACUGUGCCGUCACCAUAAGGCUUGAUGGCUCCUUCAAUCAUCGCUAGCGAUGCGGUCCAGGGUGAGGCUUUCCUCCCCAGACAGAUCUCCAUAUUCGGCGGCUUUGCACUGCGGGCCAAUUCGUUUGGCCGUCUAGAGCAGAUCGAGAGCUACGCCCCUAGCCAUCAGGUCAAAUUUGGAAACUUGAGCUACACGCCGACAUCCGCGGAGACUUGAUCUUCGGCGGAUUCGAGCCCAGGUCGGACGCGCCGCACAGUCGCGAUGAGCAUGACGUAACUCUGUCAUCGGACAAUGUUCGGGAGAUCGCAUCCGCAACUACUCCGUCCAUCAAUCCGGAGCAAGUCGCACCAUCCGAGAGCGGAGGGAUGGACCCCGCCAUGGAGGCCGCACUGUCAGUGGCGAUAGAGCCGGAUACUGACUUCACCCCUUACGAGAGCCGUGUCGCCGAACCACUGGAUUCAUCUCCGGCCACGGACUCCGAGCCGCUCACAUCCAUGCCCGUCUAUUCCGACUGGGCACCGAUCAUGGAGUUCACCUCCGCGGAUAUCUUUCAGCACUCACCUUUAGGAGAUGGGCUAAAUUCAUUAAGGUCUCUCUCCCUAUCAGGAGAACCUUGGCCGAACUAUGUCCGGCUAGAAUGGGAUGCGGACGACGAAGAAAUUCGCUGCCCACCCACCACCCACUGAGUAGCCACGGUCGACGACUUAACCGACAUGCUCGACUUCGACUCCGAAGACUUCGACGGUAUGGACGACGAAGCUGGAGACGAAUAGGAACCACCGCCCUCAGGGCGCUGGACCGCCACCUCAUCAUAUGAUAUAUACAUGGUGGACACCCCCAAAGAAGGCAAUGGCGAUGAGACAACGGAGGAUGACCCCUCCAUGAAGCAACCCAAGCGCCGACGUCAGCGGCACCGCUCUAAGUCCUGCCACAACAAGAGUAGUGGUACCGGCACAGGAGAUAAUAACACUCUGGAUAGCACCGAAGACAACAAUUCCCUCCAGCACGGUGUAGAGCUAGAGGACGAACAAGCUAGCCCUCCAGAGCAGGCAGCAGAUGCAGAACCGGAGGAGGACAAUUACAUGCCUCUCUCCGAAGACGAGGCGAGCCUCGGCGACGACGAGUUUAUCGUGCCUGAGGACCCCGUCGAGCAAGAGCGCUUCAAGCGUUGGCUUAUGGCCACGGCAAGUAGCCUGAAGAAAAAACAGCAACAACUUCAAGCUGAUCAAGACUUGCUAGCAGACAGGUGGACCGAAGUCCUUGCGGCCAAGGAGCAUCAACUCGAGCACCCGUCCAAAAGUUACCCAAAACGCAGGUUGCUACCUCACCUCGAGGACGAAGCAUUGAAACCUCAUUCACCAGUGUACGAUGUGGUUGACCGACCACUACGCGGCCGAGCCACAGAGGCUUUUCAGCCUAAAGUUCAGACCGCACCCCGUCGCCACUCAGUCAAACAUACUAAGGCCCGGGGCAACACAGAGGACCCGCGAGACAUCUUGGACAGUAAGGAAAAAAUCGCAAGGUCAAUAUACGGAACACGGGCACGUGCGCCCACACGGGACGAUGAUCGUUGCGUCGGAUACACCAAGAGUAAAUCCGGCCGGGCCGAAUACAACAGACAAGACUCAUACGAACUAUGUUGGGAUAUAGCCCGGCACAGAGGUGCCGCACACCCCCUAUGCUUCACUGAUUAAGUUAUGAAUCAUGAAUUCCCGGAGGGUUUCAAACCCAUAAAUAUCGAAUCGUACGACGGCACAACAGAUCCCGCUGUAUGGAUUGAGGAUUUCCUCCUUCACAUCCACAUGGCUCCGGUGAUGAUCUGCAUGCCAUCAAGUACUUCCUACUAAAACUCAAAGGACCAGCUCGGCAUUGGCUGAAUAGCUUGCCAGCAGAUUCCAUCGGCAGUUGGGAGGAUCUGGAAGACGCAUUUCUUGACAACUUCCAGGGCACUUAUGUGUGGCCACCGGAUGCUGAUGACUUGAGCCACAUAACCUAGCAGCCAGGGGAAUCGGCCAGACAAUUCUGGACACGGUUACUGACUAAGAAAAAUCAAUUUGUAGAUUGUCCGGAUGUAGAGACCCUAGCGGCAUUCAAGCAUAACAUCCGCGAUGAGUGGCUCACCCGCCACCUUGGCCAAGAGAAGCCGAAAUCUAUGACAGCCCUCACGACACUGAUGACUCGCUUUUGCGCGGGCGAGGACAACUGGUUGGCUAGCAGCAAAAACACAUCGAGGAAUCCGGAUACCUCAGAUACCAAAGAUGUUAACGGUAGGCAGCGUUGUAACAGACCAAAGCGCCGCAAUAACGGCGAUAACACCAAAGAUACGACAGUCAAUGCCGGAUUCAGAGGCUCUAGAUCCGGUCAGCAGAAAAAGCCAUUUAAAAGAAAUACUCCGGCUCGGUCCAGUCUGGAUCACAUACUGGAUCGCUCGUGUCAAAUCCACGGCACCCCGACAAGCCAGCCAAUCUCACCAACAGAGAAUGCUGGGUGUUCAAGCAGGCCUGUAAGUUAAAUGCCGAGAGCAAGGACAAGGGGCUGCAUAGCGAUGACGAGGAGGAGCCCCGGCCGCCGAACACAGGAGGACAGAAGGGUUUUCCCCCACAAGUGAAGACGGUGAACAUGAUAUACGCAACCCACAUCCCCAAGAGGGAGAGGAAGCAUGCACUAAGGGACGUCUAUGCGAUGGAGCUCGUCGCCCUGAAGUUCAACCCAUGGUCUGCUUGUCCGCUCACCUUCGAUCACAGGGACCACCCGACUAGCAUCCAUCAUGGCGAAUCUGCCGCACUGGUCCUAGACCCCAUCAUUGAUGGAUUUCACCUCACUCGAGUCCUUAUGGAUGGCGGCAACAUGCUGAAUCUGCUUUAUCAGGAUACAGUGCGAAAAAUGGGUAUCGAUCCCUCGAGGAUCAAACCCAGCAAAACCACCUUUAAAGGCGUCAUCCCAGGUGUAGAGGCCCAUUGCACAGGCUCAAUCACACUGGAAGUGGUCUUUGGAUCACCGGAUAACUUCCGAAGCGAAGAGUUAAUCUUCGACAUCGUCCCGCUUCGCAGUGGCUAUCAUGCACUGCUCGGACGGACAACAUUUGCAAAUUCAAUGAAGUGCCGCAUUACGCGUACCUCAAGCUCAAGAUGCCAAGACCUCGCGGGGUCAUAACAGUAAAUGGAAACACAGAACGCUCGCUUCGUACAGAAGAGCACACUGCGGCCCUUACAGUAGAGGCACAAAGCAGCCUGUUCAGGCAGACCACUCAUUCGGCGUCACAACCCCCGGACACCUUCAAACGAGUCCGGAACAAGUUGCAACAGGAUCGCCUAGCACGAUCAGAGAUCGCCUAGCAAUCUGGUCCCCAUCCCAGUCCCAGUGAAGCGACAAAAUCCGUGUGGCGCGUACAUAACUACGCAUUGAAAAUACCAUGGACAUAGGCGGGGGCAGAAUCAGAAUACGCCCCGCAUUGUGGCUUAACCACACUAGGGGUUGUAUACCUUUGACAUUCCGCUGACUCUUUGGAAGCCCUUUCCGGCAGUAUGAUUGCCGGACACAUUCCAGAAGCAACAACCAAGGCGGCAAGAAGCUAAGAUGAACACGGGAACCGCCAGGUGGUCUCUAGUAAUACUUGAUAUACCCGCUUUUCACUAUUUAUGCGUAGCUUUCCCUGGGAUAGGACAUUUCGAAUUGUCCUACUUCAUGCUUAUUGCACUACUUGUACCAGUAUGCUUCGACGUAUUAUUCAAAUAACAAUGCAUAUCAUUAAUCUGUCAUUGCAUUCUUUCAGUUUUUCUCUUUCUCUUAUAUGUCCAUUUACGACAAUCCGCACCCGCAUGUUCGGGUAUGGUCAGUACGCCAGGGGCUCUCGUUUACCCCACAAUACGAUGCAAGAAGUCUGAACACUUUCUACAGUGCGGCACCCCGAACUUCUAGCAUUAUAUGCAUCAGCUCCGAAUCAUGUCUUUGGUCAAAUGUUGGGUCGCCCGGCUCCUAUGCUUUGGUACCUUACGUUCUGCUAUAUCGGCUAAGGUAGCGGUGGGAGAACUACUGCGAUUGUGUCCCGGUUCUUCUGGACGAGCACCUCUGUACAGAAAGCCAAAAACUGACUGUCAUGAUAAGGCGAGAGACUGGUCGCUGUUCGAGAGGUCUCAAGUCCUUAAAGACUUUUUCCGCUUCGGGCGAGGAGUCGGCCUUGUCCGGCUUAGGCAUGUAUAGCGCCCCAAAUUCGGCCCUCCGAAUACCAGGGGCUUCGCCAAAAUUUAAAAUCAUAGACUUCUAUGGCUAAGUGAGAGUGAUAAAGCAUUAUAGUCCGAUUGCCUGGUUCGUUGCGCUGAACACCUCCCUUGAAGGACCCAAAAUUUGGGUAAAGAGUGUUCAGAUUUACCCCGAACACCCCAGUACUAGUUACAUGGGGGUAGAAGCCGAUGACUGGCCAACUCUCAGAUUUUAUAAACAGCCGCAUAGAAGGUAAUAUUUUAAAUUAAGAAAGCGUCGCAUGGCGCAAAAAAACUCGUUUCAUAUUACAGGAUCACAUGGGCAUGUUCAUUCAAAAAUUACAUCCUUGGCACACUCAUCUGCCACUCAGCAGGAACCCUUCAGGACACUUUCAUAGUAAUUCUCGGGGCGGCGAUGCUCCUUGCCCUCCGGCGGCCCCUCCUUCACCAGCUUCACGGCGUCCAGCUUCGCCUAGUGCACCUUCGCCCGGGCAAAAGCCCUGCGUGCACCCUCGAUGCAGACGGACCGCUUGAUGACUUCAAGCCAUGGGCAGGCUUCCACAAACUGCCUCACCAGACUGAAGUAGCUGCCGGACAGGGGCUCGCCAGGCCACAUCCGGACUAUAAGGCCCCUCAUGGCCUGUUCGGCCACCUUGUGAAGCUCGACAACUGCUUCAGCUGGUCCCUCAAGGGCACAGGGUGUUCGGUCCCAGUAUACUGAGACCAGAACAACUUCUCCAUUGAGCUCCCCUCCGCAACCCGGUAAAACUCCACGGCAUCCAGUGCACUACGAGGAAGAUCUGCAAACGCUCCUGGAGAGCUCCGAACUCGGGUAAGAAAAAGGAAAGUCUCCUUCACGUGCUUGCUUUGCAUAAAGAAUGCCUUACCCUCUGCUAUCUUCUUCACCGCGUCAAUCUCUUGGAGGGCCUUGUGGGCUUCGGCCUUGGAGCUCCGGACGCUUUCAAGCGCCUGCGCGAGCUCGGACUCACGCGUCUUGGAGUCAAGCUCCAAGGACUCGUGCUUUUUAACGAGAGCCUCGAGCUCUUGAUGCACCUCGCCUUCUCGGGCUUCUUGUAUCUCCCAUUCCAUGCGUUCUUUGGACGCUUUGUCUUCGGCCUCGGACAAUGCCAUCCUCAGGGUCUCCACCUCGUUCGUGGCCCAUGACAAAUUCAUGAUGAUCCUAUUACUUUACACCCGAACUUCCUUUUAACUAUAUAGACAGGGGUAUAUCUUACCUUUGCUCUCUUCAAGCUGCCACUUGGUAAGGCCGAGCUCAUCCUCGGACCGCUUCAGGGCCUGCUUCAGCGCAGAGACCUCCGCAGUACAUGCGGCAGCGACCAACAGUGAAGCCUGCACAUACACAUAGACAUACUCUAAUUAGACUCCUGAGUUAUCAUUUGAUCCUCUAUUCGGCUUUUCAUCGCGAACACCGAACAGAGCAUCAGGGGCUACUAUCUAUGCGGUAAUAUUUUCUUAUAUUUUGAUUGCUUACCUCAAAGCCUGUUAGGAGGCUGGCGCAAGCUUUGGUCAGUCUGUUUUUGGCGGACCGAACCUUCUCAACCACUGCACUCAUAAUAGUGCAGUGCUCUUCAUCAAUGGAAGCGUUGUGAAGCGCUUCCAGCAAGUUGUCCGGUGCCUCUGGUUGUACAAAGGACACCGACACAGAUGGUUGGCCCCCCUUAAUGGGGGACUGCCUGCCAGAGUCUAGAACCAUCGAAGGUUCUGGCGCAGUGUCCGGCUGGGGCCCGAACUCGAAGCCCGUAGGAGCCUCGCUCCCUUGGUACCCAGGGUCCGGGAGGUCGCCGUGAGGCGCCCCCAAGAUCACCUCCCCUUGGCUCGGUGCCUUUUGAGACAACACCUCGGCGUUGUCCGUAGGGCGAGGGGUGGAAGCGGUCGGAGGAGAACCGUUGUUCAUAUCCGACGAGUCCAAAGAGCCGCUCGACGAAGGUACGUCGAGAUGAGCUCAGGACGGACUGCAUAAUCAUGUUCGGCAUGAGAAAAGCCAAUACAAUAAAACAUUCCAUGAAGUACUAUGGUGUCCGGACACUUACGACUUCGCCGGGGGCUUGUCCCUGGGUAGCCACUCGUCGCCAUUGUCGGCGGCCGUCGUGGCACAUUCCGGAGGGAGGUUCUUUCCCUUCUUGGACCCGUCGGCCUCCCUGGAUGGGUCGGCCUUCCUUUUCUUGUCUCUCCCGGCUGGGGGGGAGAACUUUUCUCCUCCUAUUCAUUUCCGUGGGAGGAGUGCGCGUUGGAGUCAUCGGACGAUGAGUCCGAUAUAACCUUGCGCCGGAGACCCUUUCGGGUCCCCGUGGCCUUCUUCUUGGCCUUCUUUUCCGGCACCUCGUAAGGUGCCGGAGUCAGCAUCUUCGUUAGAAGAGCAUCUGCAGGAUCUUCGGGCAGGGGGGCUGGGCAAUCAAGCUGCUCUGCUGUCUCUAUCCAGUCCUGUUAAUGACAUGAAAUCUUAGAUCCAGCACACAACUAAACCAGGGCAAAUAAAUACCCUGAGAGAUAUAAAAGCCUACCAGACGGGCGCGGCGCUUUGCACUAAGUCCGCGGUCCUCGGUGAAGGAGGGAAGCAUCUCGGCGCUCUUGAACAACACCCUCCAGACGUCCUCGUGCAUCGUGUCGUAGAGCUCUCACAGCAUCUGGUGCUUGGCCGAGUCGAACUCCCACAAAAAAGUGCCCGUCGUUGACACGGAAGGAUCCGGCGGAAGAGCAUAACCUGGACCACGUUGACGAGCUUGAUUUUCUUGUUUGUCAUGUUCUGGAUGCAGGUCUGGAGUUCGGUCAGCUGUACCGAAGAACCCCAGGAUUGGCCCUUCUUUUUCCAGGAGGUGAGCCGUGUGGGGAUUCCGGAUCGAAAUUUGGGGGCCGCCACCCAGUUGGAGUCGCGCGGCUCGGUGAUGUAGAACCACCCCGAUUGCCACCCCUUUAUGGUGUCCACAUAGGUGCCCUCGAGCCAGGUGACAUUAGGCAUCUUGCCCACCAUGGCGCCUCCGCACUCUGCUUGCUGGCCACCCACCACCUUCGGUUUGACAUUGAAGGUUUUCAGCCAUAGGCCGAAGUGGGGCCUGAUGCGGAGGAAGGUCUCACACACGACGAUAAACACCGAGAUGUUGAGGAUGAAAUUGGGGGCCAGAUCAUGAAAAUCCAGCCCAUAGUAGAACAUGAGCCCGCAGACAAAUGGGUGGAGAGGAAAUCCCAGUCCGCGAAUGAAAUGGGUAGGAAAAACUACCCUCUCAUGGGGUUUGGGCGUGGGGACGAUCUGGCCCGCAUUUGGCAGCCGGUGCGCGAUAUCCGCGGCCAAGUAUCCGGCUUCCCGUAACUUUUUGAUGUUCUCCUCCGUGACGGAGGAGACCAUCCACUUGCCUCGUGCUCCGGACAUGCUUGGAGCGGUUUGAGAAGAAGAACGCGAGCUUGGGUGCUAGAUCUCGAGUGUGCGGGAAUGGGUAAGCGAGAAGGAAGAAGGCGUGUGUGAAAAAAGUAAAUCUUUGUCCCUUUAUAAGGGCGGAGGAGGCGAUGUGUCUCCCACUUGCCUGGCAAAACUGCUUAUUCCCCAGGUGCCAUAAUUGAUGGCGUGGUUGGGUUACCCACGUCCGUAUUGAUGAGAAUCCCGUGAUAAAGGGAACAUGAUCUCUGCUUUGACAAGACGUGUCAAGAAAAUCGCAUCAUGAUAUGUGCGGAGCUGGUUAAGAAAAGCAGUUCGAAUAAAAACCGGGUCGUGACGUGAUGUCAUGCUAUCAAAACAUGUCAGCAGAUUAGAUUUGUGGAAAUAUUAUUCUCUCUACGGUGGUAUGUGGAACUUAUUUUGCAGGGCCGGACACUAUCCUUGUAUUCAAACUCUUCCAUGGUGUAUUCGGAGGAGGAACCCACCUUGCAAUGCCGAAGACAACACUGCGCGCCGGACUCAUCGUCAUUGAAGCCUGGUUCAGGGGCUACUGAGGGAGUCCUGGAUUAGGGGGUCUACGGACAGCCGGACUAUAUCCUUUGGCCGAACUGUUGGACUAUGAAGAUACAAGAUUGAAGACUUCGUCCCAUGUCCGGAUGGGACUCUACUUGGCGUGGAAGGCAAGCUAGGCAAUACGGAUAUGUAUAUCUCCUCCUUUGUAACAGACCUUGUGUAACCCUAGCCUCCUCCGGUGUCUAUAUAAACUGGAGGGUUUUAGUCCGUAGGACAACAUACAAUCAUACCAUAGGCUAGCUUCUAGGGUUUAGCCUCUUUGAUCUCGUGGUAGAUCAACUCUUGUAAUACUCAUAUCAUCAAGAACAAUCAAGCAGGACGUAGGGUAUUACCUCCAUCAAGAGGGACCAAACCUGGGUAAACAUCGUGUCCCCUGCCUCCUGUUACCAUCCGCCUUAGACGCACAGUUCGGGACCCCCUACCCGAGAUCCUCCGGUUUUGACACCGACACUCGCGAUACAUCAAGAUCGUACCACCUCAAGAACACGAGAGAGAGAGAGAUCAAACACAUAGCUACUGGUACAUACCCUCAGCCUCGAGGGAGAACUACUCCCUCCUCGUCAUGGAGAGCACCGGGAUGAUGAAGAUGACCACCAGAGAGGGAUUCCCCCUCUGGCAGGGUGCCGGAACAGGUCUAGAUUGGCUUUCGGUGGCUACAGAGGCUUCUGGCGGCGGAACUCCCGAUCUAUUGUGCUCCCCGGUCGUUUUAGGGUAUAUGGGUAUAUAUAGGAGGAAGAAGUACGUCAGGGGAGCCACGAGGGUGGAGGGCGCCCCCAGGGGGUGGGCGCACCCCCUACCUUGUGGCUUCCUCGAAGCUUCCUUGAUGUGGACUCCAAGUCUCCCGGGUUGCUUUCCUUCCAAAAAUAAGUUCCGUGAAGUUUCAGGUCAAUUCGACUCCAUUUGAUUUUCCUUUUCUGCGAUACUCUAAAACAAAGAAAAAAAUAGAAAUUGGCACUGGGCUCUGGGUUAAUAGGUUAGUCCCAAAAAAUCAUAUAAAAUGGCAUAUAAAUGCAUAUAAAACAUCCAAGGUUGAUAAUAUAAUAGCAUGGAACAAUCAAAAAUUAUAGAUACGUUGGAGACGUAUCAGCAUCCCCAAGCUUAAUUCCUGCUCGUCCUCGGGUAGGUAAAUGAUAAAAACAGAAUUUUUGAUGUGGAAUGCUACCUAACAUAUUCAUCAUGUAUUUCUCUUUAUUGUAGCAAGAAUAUUCAGAUCCAUAAGAUUCAAGACAAAAGUUUAUAUUGACAUAAAAAUAAUAAUACUUCAAGCAUACUAACUAAGCAAUCAUGUCUUCUCAAAAUAACAUGGCCAAAGAAAGUUCAUCCCUACGAAAUCAUAUAGUUUGGUCAUGCUCCAUUUUCGUCACACAAGAAUGCUCUCAUCAUGCACAACCCGGAUGACAAGCCAAGUAAUUGUUUCAUAUUUUAGUAAUCUCAAACUUUAUAAACCUUCAUGCAAUACAUGAGCGCGAGCCAUGGAUAUAGCACUAUGGGUGGAAUAGAAUAUGAUGAUGGGGAUUAUGUGGAGAAGACAAAAAAGGAGAAAGUCUCACAUCAACGAGGCUAAUCAAUGGGCUAUGGAGAUGCCCAUCGAUUGAUGUUAAUGCAAGGAGUAGGGAUUGCCAUGCAACGGAUGCACUAGAGCUAUAAAUGUAUGAAAGCUCAACAAAAGAAACUAAGUGGGUGUGCAUCCAACUUGCUUGCUCACGAAGACCUAGGGCACUUGAGGAGGCCCAUUGUUGGAAUAUACAAGCCAAGUUCUAUAAUGAAAAUUUCCCACUAGUAUAUGAAAGUGACAAAACAAGAUACUCUCUAUCAUCAAGAUCAUGGUGCUACUUUGAAGCACAAGUGUGGAAAAAAGGAUAGUAGCAUUGUCCCUUUUAUUUUUUUAUUUUUUAUUAUUUGGCCUUUUUUAUUUUUUAAUAUUUGGCCUUUCUUUUUUCCCCUAUUUUUGGGACAAUGCUCUAUUAAUGAUGAUCAUCACACUUCUAUUUAUUUACAACUCGAUACUAGAACAAAGUAUGACUAAAUAUGAAUGCCUCCGGUGGUUGAUAUGUCUCCAACGUAUCUAUAAUUUUUGAUUGCUCCAUGCUAUAUUAUCUACUGUUUUGGACAUCACUGGGCUUUAUUAUCCACUUUUAUAUUAUUUUUGGGACUAACCUACUAACCGGAGGCCCAACCCAGAAUUGCUGUUUUUUUGCCUAUUUUAGGGUUUCGAAGAAAAGGAAUAUCAAACGGAGUCCAAACGGAAUGAAAGCUUCGGGAACAUGAUUUUCUCAACGAACAAGACCCAGGAGACUUGGACCCUACGUCAAGACACAAAAGAGGAGGCCACGAGGUAGGGGGCGCGCCUACGCCCCCCCCCCCCAGGCGCGCCCUCCACCCUCGUGGGCCCCCUGUUGCUCCACCGAUGUACUCCUUCCUCCUAUAUAUACCAACGUACCCCCAAAUGAUCAGAUACGGAGCCAAAACCCUAAUUCCACCACCGUAACUUUCUGUAUCCACGAGAUCACAUCUUGGGGCCUGUUCCGGAGCUCCACCGGAGGGGGCAUCGAUCACGGAGGGCUUGUACAUCAUCACCAUAGCCCCUCCGAUAAAGUGGAAGUAGUUCACCUCAGACCUACGGGUCCAUAGUUAUUAGCUAGAUGGCUUCUUCUCUUUUUUUUUGGAUCUCAAUACAAUGUUCUCCCCCUCUCUUGUGGAGAACUAUUCGAUGUAAUCUUCUUUUUGUGGUGUGUUUGUUGAGAUUGAUGAUUGUGGGUUUAUGAUCAAGUCUAUCUAUGAACAAUAUUUGAAUCUUCUCUGAAUUCUUUUAUGUAUGAUUGGUUAUCUUUGCAAGUCUCUUUGAAUUAUCAGUUUGGUUUGGCCUACUAGAUUGAUCUUUCUUGCAAUGGGAGAAGUGCUUAGCUUUGGGUUCAAUCUUGCGGUGUCCUUUCCCAGUGACAGUAGGGGCAGCAAGGCACGUAUUGUAUUGUUUCCAUCGAGGAUAACAAGAUGGGGUUUUCAUCAUAUUGCAUGAUUUUAUCCCUCUACAUCAUGUCAUCUUGCUUAAGGCGUUACUCUGUUUUCAUUAACUUAAUACUCUAGAUGCAUGUUGGAUAGCGGUCGAUGAGUGGAGUAAUAGUAGUAGAUGCAGGCAGGAGUCGGUCUACCUGUCUCGGACGUGAUGCCUAUACACAUGAUUGUGCCUAGAUAUUCUCAUAACUAUGCUCAAUUCUGUCAAUUGCUCAAUAGUAAUUUGUUCACCCACCGUAGAAUACUUAUGCUCUUGAGAGAAGCCACUAGUGAAACCUAUGGCCCCCGGGUCUAUCAUCAUCAUAUUAAUCUUCCAACACUUAGUUAUUUACUUUGCCUUUUUACUUUUCUUUUAUUUUACUUUGCAUCUUUAUCAUAAAAAUACCAAAAAUAUUAUCUUAUCAUAUCUAUCAGAUCUCACUCUCGUAAGUGGCCGUGUAGCGAUUGACAACCCCUUAUCGCGUUGGUUACGAGGAUUUAUUUGUUUUGUGCAGGUACAAGGGACUCGCGCGUAGCCUCCUACUGGAUUGAUACCUUGGUUCUCAAAAACUAAGGCAAAUACUUACGCUACUCUGCUGCAUCACCCUUCCUCUUCGGGGAAAAACCAACGCAGUGCUCAAGAGGUAUCAAGAAGGAUUUCUGGCGUCGUUGCCGGGGAGUCUACGCAAAAGUCAAUAUACCAAGUACCCAUCACAAUCCCUAUCUCCCGCAUUACAUUAUUUGCCAUUUGCCUCUCGUUUUCCUCUCCCCCACUUCACCCUUUCCAUUUUAUUCGCCUCUCUCUCUAUCCUACCUCUCUUUUUCCGUUCACUUUUUUUCCGCUUGCUUUUUGUUUGCUUGUGUGUUGGGUUGCUUGCUUGUCGCGAUGGCUCAAGAUAACACUAAAUUGUGUGACUUUACCAAUACCAACAACAAUGAUUUUAUUAGCACUCCGAUAUUUCAUCUUACCGAUGCUGAAUCUUGUGAAAUUAAUACUGCUUUGCUAAAUCUUGUCAUGAAAAAUCCGUUUUCCGGCCUUCCUAGUGAAGAUGCCGCUACCAAUCUAAACAGCUUCGUUGAUUUGUGUGAUAUGCAAAAGAAGAAAGAUGUGGAUAACGAUAUUGUUAAAUUGAAGCUAUUUCCUUUUUCGCUUAGAGAUCGUGCUAAAGCUUGGAUUUCGUCUUUGCCUAAGAAUAGUAUUGAUUCAUGGAAUAAGUGCAAAGAUGCUUUUAUCUCUAAGUAUUUUCCUCCCGCUAAGAUCAUCUCCCUUAGAAACGAUAUUAUGAAUUUUAAGCAACUUGAUCAUGAAUAUAUUUCACAAGCUUGGGAGAGGAUGAAAUUAAUGACACAUAAUUGCCCUACUCAUGGUUUGAAUUUGUGGAUGAUUAUACAAAAAUUUUAUGCCAGAUUGAAUUUUGCUUCUAGAAAUCUUUUAGAUUCGGCCGCGGCAGGGACUUUUAUGGAAAUCACUUUAGGAGAAGCUACUAAACUCCUAGACAAUAUUAUGGUUAACUAUUCUCAAUGGCAUACUGAAAGAUCUACUAAUAAAAAGGUGCAUGCAAUAGACGAAAUUAAUGUUUUGAGUGGAAAGAUGGAUGAACUUAUGAAAUUAUUUGCUAGUAAAAGUGUUUCUUCUGAUCCUAAUGAUAUGCCCUUGUCUACUUGAUUGAGAAUAAUAAUGAAUCUAUGGAUGUGAAUUUUGUUGGUAGGAACAAUUUUGGUAACAACGCGUAUAGAGGAAAUUUUAAUCCUAGGCCUUAUCCUAGUAACCCCUCCAAUAAUUAUGGUAAUUCCUACAACAAUUCUUAUGGAAAUUAUAAUAAGACGCCCUCUGAUUUUGAAUCUAAUAUUAAAGAAUUUAUUACUUCGCAAAAGAAUUUCAAUGCUUUGAUUGAAGAAAAAUUGCUUAAGAUUGAUGAGUUGGCUAUGAACGUUGAUAGAAUUUCUCUUGAUGUUGAUUCUUUGAAACUUAGAUCUAUUCCACCAAAGCAUGAUAUCAAUGAGUCUCUCAAAGCCAUGAGAAUUUCCAUUGAUGAGUGCAAAGAAAGAACCGCUAGAAUGCGUGCUAAGAAAGAUGCCUUUAUAAGAGCGUGUUCUUCUAGUUCCGAUGAAAAUAAAGAUGAAGAUCUCAAAGUUAUUGAUGUGUCCCCUAUUAAAUCUUUGUUUUGCAAUAUGAAUCUUAAUAAUUAUGGGACUGAAUAUGAUCCACCAUUAUCUAGAAGGCGUUCCAAGAAUUCGGAGUCUUUAGAUCUUAAUGCUAAAAUUGAUGAAAGUGGGAUCGAAGAAAUCAAAACCCUAGAUGUUGCUAAACCCACUAUUUUUGAUUUCAAGGAAUUUAAUUAUGAAAAUUGCUCUUUAAUUGAAUGUAUUUCCUUGCUGCAAUCCGUGCUAAAUUCUCCUCAUGCUUAUAGUCAAAAUAAAGCAUUCACUAAACAUAUCGUUGAUGCCUUGAUGCAUUCUUAUGAAGAAAAACUUGAAUUGGAAGUUUCUAUCCCUAGAAAACUUUAUGAUGAGUGGGAACCAACUAUUAAAAUUAAAAUUAAAGAUCAUGAGUUCUAUGCUUUAUGUGAUUUUGGUGCUAGUGUUUCCACGAUUCCAAAGACUUUGUGUGAUUUGUUAGGUUUCCGUGAUUUUGAUGAUUGCCCUCUAAACUUGCACCUUGCGGAUUCCACUAUUAAGACACCCAUGGGAAGAAUUAAUGAUGUUCUUAUUGUUGCAAAUAGGAAUUAUGUGCCCAUAGAUUUUAUUGUUCUUGACAUAGAUUGCAAUCCUUCAUGUCCAAUUAUUCUUGGUAGACCUUUCCUUAGAACGAUUGGUGCAAUUAUUGAUAUGAAGGAAGGAAAUAUUAUAUUCCAAUUUCCGUUAAGGAAAGGCAUGGAACACUUUCCUAGAAAUAAAAUUAAAUUACCUUAUGAAUCUAUUAUGAGAGACACUUAUGGAUUGCCUACUGUCAGUGUCAAAACCGGCGGAUCUCGGGUAGGGGGUCCCGAACUGUGCGUCUAGGCGGAUGGUAACAGGAGGCAGGGGCCACGAUGUUUUACCCAGGUUCGGGCCCUCUUGAUGGAGGUAAAACCCUACGUCCUUCUUGAUUAAUAUUGAUGAUAUGGGUAGUACAAGAGUAAAUCUACCACGAGAUCAAGGAGGCUAAACCCUAGAAGCUAGCCUAUGGUAUGAUUGUUCUUCGUCCUACGGACUAAAACUGAAGGAAAUAUGCCCUAGAGGAAAUAAUAAAGUUAUUAUUUAUUUCGUUAUAUCAUGAUAAAUGUUUAUUAUUCAUGCUAGAAUUGUAUUAACCGGAAACAUAAUACAUGUGUGAAUACAUAGACAAACAUAGUGUCACUAGUAUGCCUCUACUUGACUAGCUCGUUAAUCAAAGAUGGUUAUGUUUCCUAACCAUGAACAAAGUGUUGUUAUUUGAUUAACGAGGUCACAUCAUUAGUUGAAUGAUCUGAUUGACAUGACCCAUUCCAUUAGCUUAGCACCCGAUCGUUUAGUAUGUUGCUAUUGCUUUCUUCAUGACAUAUACAUGUUCCUAUGACUAUGAGAUUAUGCAACUCCCGUUUGCCGGAGGAACACUUUGUGUGCUACCAAACGUCACAACGUAAAUGGGUGAUUAUAAAGGAGCUCUACAGGUGUCUCCAAUGGUAGAUGUUGGGUUGGCGUAUUUCGAGAUUAGGAUUUGUCACUCCGAUUGUCGGAGAGGUAUCUCUGGGCCCUCUCGGUAAUGCACAUCACUUAAGCCUUGCAAGCAUUGCAACUAAAUGAGUUAGUUGCGGGAUGGUGUAUUACGGAACGAGUAAAGAGACUUGCCGGCAACGAGAUUGAACUAGGUAUGGGAAUACCGAUGAUUGAAUCUCGGGCAAGUAACAUACCGAUGACAAAGGGAACAACGUAUGUUGUUAUGCGGUCUGACCGAUAAAGAUCUCCGUAGAAUAUGUAGGAGCCAAUAUGGGCAUCCAGGUCCCGCUGUUGGUUAUUGACCGGAGACGUGUCUCGGUCAUGUCUACAUUGUUCUCGAACCCGUAGGGUCCGCACGCUUAAGAUUACGAUGACAGUUAUAUUAUGAGUUUAUGCAUUUUGAUGUACCGAAGGUUGUUCGGAGUCCCGGAUGUGAUCACGGACAUGAUGAGGAGUCUCGAAAUGGUCGAGACGUAAAGAUUGAUAUAUUGGAAGUCUAUGUUUGGAUAUCGGAAGUGUUCCGGGUGAAAUCGGGAUUUUACCGGAGUACUGAGAGGUUACCGGAACCCCCUCGGGAGCUAUAUGGGCCUUUGUGGGCUUUAGUGGAAAGGAGAAAGGGGCAGCCCAAGGUGGCUGUGCGCCUCCUCCCUUCCCCUAGUCCUAUUAGGACUAGGAUAGGUGGCCGGCCCCCUCUCUCUCUUUCCCCCCUCAAGGAAUCCUAUUCCAACUAGGAUUGGGGGGGGGGGGGAAUCCUACUCCCAGAGGGAGUAGGACUCUCCUGGCACGCCAAGCUUGGCCGGCCAGCCUCCCCCCUCUAGUCCUUUAUAUACUGAGGUAGAGGCACCCUAGAACACACAAUUGAUCAACGUGAUCUAUUCCUUAGCCGUGUGCGGUGCUCCCAGCCACCAUAUUCCUCGAUUAUACUGUAGCGGAGUUUAGGCGAAGCCCUGCUGCUGUAGUGCAUCAAGAUCGUCACCACGCCGUUGUGCUGACGGAACUCUUCCCCGACACUUUGCUGGAUCGGAGUCCGGGGAUCGUCAUCGAGCUGAAUGUGUGCUCGAACUCGGAGGUGCCGUAGUUUCGGUGCUUGAUCGGUCGGAUCGGGAAGAUGUACGACUACUUCCUCUAUGUUGCGUCAAUGCUUCCGCAGUCGGUCUGCGUGGGUACGUAGACAACACUCUCCCCUCUCGUUGCUAUGCAUCACAUGAUCUUGCGUGAGCGUAGGAAUUUUUUUGAAAUUACUACGAAACCCAACAAAAACCCUNNNNNNNNNNNNNNNNNNNNNNNNNNNNNNNNNNNNNNNNNNNNNNNNNNNNNNNNNNNNNNNNNNNNNNNNNNNNNNNNNNNNNNNNNNNNNNNNNNNNNNNNNNNNNNNNNNNNNNNNNNNNNNNNNNNNNNNNNNNNNNNNNNNNNNNNNNNNNNNNNNNNNNNNNNNNNNNNNNNNNNNNNNNNNNNNNNNNNNNNNNNNNNNNNNNNNNNAGAGUCGGUUACAAUGGUAGAAGAUCUACAUAUCCGUAUCGCCAAGCUUGCCUUCCACGCCAAGGAAAGUCCCUUCUGGACACAGGAUGAAGUCUUCAACCUUGUAUCUUCAUAGUCUAGGAGUCUGGCCGAAGGUAUAGUCCGGCUAUCCGGACACCCCCUAAUCCAGGACUCCCUCAGUAGCCCCUGAACCAGGCUUCAAUGACGACGAGUCCGGCGCGCAGAUUGUCUUCGGCAUUGCAAGGCGGGUUCCUCCUCCAAGUACUUCAUAGAAUAUUUUGAACACAAAGGUAGUGUCCGGCUCUGCAAAAUAAGUUUCCACAUAUUGCCAUAGAGAGAAUAAUAUUUACACAAAUCUAAUCUACUGACGUAUUCCGUAGCGUGACAUCACACCACGGCCAAGUUUUUAUUCGAAUCUGUCCCACCUCAACGCGUUUAGUGAGGCGGUUUCCUUGGCACAUCUUGUCAAAGCAGAGAUUGUGUCCCCUUAUUCCGGGAUUCUCAUCAAUACGGGCGUGGGUAACCCAACCGUACCCGUCGGUAUGUUUCCUCGAUCAAAGGAGAGUCCCAAACGGUCACGGGAAGGGCCCUUGGUAUUCAACCUCUUAUAAAGAGACCAAGGCCUUACUCCUUUCUUUCAAUCUCAAAUGAGUUCGCCCUUCGCCUCUACUUCCAACACCCAAGGCUCUAGAUUUCAGGCGCUUCGGACCUUCGACAAUGUCCGGUUCCGACCUUCGAGGCCGAUGGAUGCCCUCCUCCGUCACGGAGGAGGACGUGCUGAAGUUGAGAGAGGCCAGGUUCUUGACCGGCGAAAUCUCGCAUAGGCUGCCUGCUCAAGGGCAGGUCAUUCCCACUCCCAAGCCUGGUGAGAGUGUGGUGUUCAUGUCUCACUUCCUUCGGGGGUUAGGCUUCCCGACGAUCCCUACGUGAGGGGGCUCAUGUUUUAUUAUGGGCUGGAAUUUCAUGACUUAGCUCCGGAGUCCAUCCUCCAUAUUUCUUCAUUCAGCGUCGUGUGUGAAGCCUUCCUCCAUAUUACUCCUCACUUUGGACUAUGGCUCAAGACCUUCAAAGUAGAGCCGAAGAUGAUCGAGGGAUGGCACGCGGAGUGCGGAGGUGCUUUUAUAAGCAAGAAUGCUGGUGCUCCAUGGCCCGAGGGCUCUUUUCAAGGGGAGUCCAGCUUACGGCAACGAGAGUGGUUUUAUAUCACAGCUCCCAGGAGCACCAAGUGGGUGGCGCUGCCUGCUUUUCGCUCGGGUCCCCCGCCACGACUGGCGUCAUGGGUCAACAAGGGGCUGGACUGGGGGCCGGCAAAGGACGUGCCCCUGUUGCAGGGCCGCAUCCGAGAUCUCCUAGAAAGAGACAUCAGUCUGGUCGUGGUGACGCAGGUUAUGUUAAUUCGCCGAGUUCUGCACUGCAAACGUCGGCCCCUUCGGUUGUGGAAGUUCAACCCGGAGGGACCACGAGUUCUCCAACAUUUUCUUGGCAUGACGCCCAUGGAUAUGUACAAAUUAUUCUUUGGACCACAAGUAGUGUGUCUGGAUUCUACGGAGGACGCAGGUCUGAGCUGCAAUCGUCCAGAUACUCAAGUAAGUAGCCUUGUGCCCGGACUUGCUAUCCAUAUAUUUAUCAUAAAGUUUCCCCUAAAAGAGUUGUCCUUUAAAUAGGAGUGGAUAGCGAAAGCAAAGCUAAUCAGAUGUCCGGCCCCCCUCCCCGAGACCAUGCCGGGUCCCAUGCUAGUCAAGAUGUUGGAGGUUGUGCCUUCAAAGGAAAGAGAGGGAGGGGACAAGGAAGCUACCGCCUCCUCGAAGGAGGUUGUCCAGAAGGGAGGAAUCGAAAAUUCCUCUCCUCAGGGGAAGAAGAGGACCGCCUCUGAAGACCCGGAGACCAUGGCCUCAAAGCGGGGGAAGAAAUCUUCGCUAGAGGGUCCUGUGCUGGGGGAUACUUCGGCCGAAUUAUGCCCUCAAGGGGAUCAGCCCUCCAUCGAGCCGUAAGUAGAGAGGAGUUUUAUUUUUAAGAAACGAGAGAAAUCCUUGCUUUAUAUCUGAGAAAAGUAAUCGAAAAUUUACCUUGUAGCUCGGACCUUAGCUCUUCUCAGCAGAGCUCGUCUUCGGGGGAUCUUCUUCCGGAGAUGAUGGAGAGCGGAAUGCCUCCCCCUGCCGUAUCACCUCGCGAGGUGGGCGACCCCGAGGUAUUGUCGCGGAGGGUUUCUCCGAAUCCGGCAGGGCCGGAAGGCAGUCAUAUGGCCCCCCAAAGUCCUCCUUGUCCGGCCUUCUAAAAGGGCCAUCGGACGAGUCCGGCGUCGUCUGGUGCGUGGUCGGAGGAGCUGAAGGAUCUGCUAGGGAGAGCAUCUAUCUCAGAGGAGCACCGUGCAUUGAUGGGUACGGUGAUUGAGAGGAUUUCAUCCACGGAGAGCGGAUUGCACGAGGCCGUCAGGAGUGUACUGACAGGUUUUGAGGUACGCGAAAUAAUGUACCCUUUUUGGACAGUUGCACAUAAAUAAGAUGCGACCUGUGUAGAUAGUAGCCCCUGAGACUCUGUGCAUUGUCAAAAGUGACGGUGCGCAGAGGAUCAUAAUCCCAGGUCUAAUAUGCCGCCUUCAUACGUAGGUGGCUAAGUGUCCGGUGGCAAGCCGGACUGAUGAAUUUGCCGAGCUAAAGCGGCAACUUGACGUGGCAGAUGCCGACAUCGCGCUUGUCAACAAGCGGCUUGACGAGGCGCAAGGUAUGUAAUUCCUCCGGCGGCUCCUGGUAAGAGGAGCUUUAUGCUAGUAUCUUACAAUGUGUGCGCUUGAUGCAGAUGGUGCGGCCGCCAUGGAGAAUCUUCGGGCAGAACUUGCCCGAGCCAAGGAGCAAUCCAGGAAAAGUGAUGCGGCUGCCGGAAUGGCAAUUGAAGAGCUGAAAGCCGAACAGGCUGCUCACUGCCAAAGCAAGAAGGAAAUGGCCGAGAUGGCCGUGAAGCUGAAGAACGCUGCUGACCGUUGCAAGCUUCUUGAAAAAUAAGAUCGGGCAAAACAAACGGACCUGGAGAAGGCCGUUGCCGAUGCCAAGGAUGCUCGCUCUGCGAUGAGAGCUGUGAAGGAGGAGCUGCGUCAGGCCGGAGAGAUCGCGACUGGAAAGCCCUUUAUGCUGCAGAGGAAGUUCCGUGAUCCUAAACAUGCUCCGUUGGACUGGAUGUGGAGUACGACGGACACCUAUAUGGAUUUGGCAGCGGCCGCGGAUGCGGCCGAACACUUCCGAGAUCAAGAAGAUCGCGAAGUGGAAAAGCUCUUUUGGUUGCAGUUCCACAAUCCGGAGCGUCCGCUGUCAUGAGCCGAUCAUUUGGCCGAAUGGGCCGAGCUAAAUAGGUUGUCCGGACUUGCCAUGAAGUAUGUCAUGAGUCAUCUGUGGCCAGAGAGGCCAGAGCCGAAAAGUUAUUUCAACUUGGUGCAGCAGUUCCUUGGUGCGGCGCCACAUAUCAAUGCGAUGAAGAGGUCAGCGUGCAUAGAGGGUGCGCGGAUGACUCUUGCCCGUGUCAAGACAUACUGGGCAGAAAUGGAGGCCGCCGCUGUUGCAUCCCCAGACUCGGAUGGAAGUCGAGUACCUGCCGAGCACUAUUUUCAGGAAGUUCUGCAAGGCGCUCGUUUAAUAGAGACGUAGUGCUCGAAGGACACUAUAUUCGAGUAGCAUUAUUGUAAUACAAUAUUUUGAUAAAUUGUAGAAGCUUUUUAUACUUGUGCCUGCAAGUAUUAUAAUACCUCCUGUGCGGCCGUUUAACAUAUAUGUUUAUACAAUCUGAAUGAUGGCAGUCGUCGGCUUCAGCCCCCACGCACAUAAUGCGGGGGUGUUCGCAGAAGGCGCAUUUUCACACUUGAUCCAACGUCUUGGUCCUACAAAGGAGGUGAUAGCGCAGCGAACUAGGCAAUCAUACUAUGAUGCUUUAUCACUUUCACUUAGCCAUAGGAGUUUGAUAGUGAGGCUACUUAUAUAGCCCCUGGUGGCGCCUGCGCUCGCCCGAACUCGGGGCGCGUAUGUGCCUGGCCGGGAAGCGAACCUUCGUUAAUGCGGAGGAAUCCUAAAGAUUCUGGUAAGUCAUCGAGUGGUUGACCAGUCUCACGCUAUAUCAUGACAGUCAGUUUUUGACUUUCUCUACUGAGGUGCUCGCCUCGCUGAACCGGGGCACAAUCGCAGUAGUUCUCCUGGUGCCACCUUAGCCGAUAGAGCGAAAUGUAAGGUAGCAAAACACAGGAGCCGGGCAAACCCAACAUUUGACCAAAGACAUGAUUCGGAGCUGAUGCAUAUAAGGACAAACUCGCGACGCCGAACACUCCCUAAGGUAUUUGGUCUUUAUGAGGGCGGGCGGGAUAACGCCCUUAGUAAUAAGCCCCUAGUGUCCAGGUACGUGCAAAAACUCUGACAUGGCCACAUGCCAAAAUGCCAGCCUCCUCCUUGGUUAUACCAAGAAACCAGGGGAUGUGUAUCAACAAGAGACAGUAAAAAAGGUUUACGCAGGGUCUUAAUCUGAAAAGAAUCCUUGGAACGGGUCCCUGCUGCACGUCUACGCCUGUGUCUCCGUUGUGCCGUAUCCUGGACGGGCGUAGCACGGUGUUCAUCUGUAAAAGGGAGGAACUUAGUUACAUAAAGAUCGUGCCGAACAUGAGUUAUACUAAAUAAAUGAAGUAUAAAUCGAAAUGGGUAAAAUUGAGCUUUAUUGUCUCUUGUUUUAUAUGCGCGGAGCCCCUAGUACAGGGGCAUACGGCUAUUAAGCCUUUAUAAAUUGUAUGUUUAUGCCGGACUCGUCUAGCCGUGUCCGUUGUCUUGAUGACUUGUUUACGUGCUUUGGUUGGUGAAGCCGCUUUAUUGUGGGGCUGUCAAGGCAGCCACACUGUCUUCCGCGUGGGGGGAACACUCAAUGUUUUCCCUUUAAUGAGAUGAUGCCUCGUGGACCGGGCAUCUUAAGCGUGAGAUAUGCAUAAUGCGGUAUUGCGUUAAAGCGGGUGAAAGCUUUGCGUCCCAGUAGUGCUUGAUAGCUACUUGAGAAUGGGGCGAUGUGGAAAGUUAGCUGUUCGUGACGGAAGUUAUCGGGGGAGCCGAACAUAACUUCUAGCCGGAGAGAACCCAUGCAACGGGCAUCCGGGCCUGGCGUUACCCCUUGAAAGGAGGUUUUGCUAUGGCGAAUUUUUGUUGGGUCUAUCCCCAUGUUGCGGAUUGUGUCCUGGUAUAACAGGUUUAGACCACUUCCGCCGUCCAUCAGGACAUUUGUAAAGUGGAGUCCGCCGAUUAUUGGAUCUAAUACCAAGGGGAGACCAUAAAUGCCUUCAUCAAUGAAACCAUAGAUCUGUCAAUUUGCUGUCUCUGUCUGGAGCGGCGCUUACGUCGCCGCUUUGAUUGCUUUCCCCUAAUCCACAACUCUCAAUGAAACCGACGUCCCCGUGCGUCCAAAGAUGGUGAUACCUAAAUCUAUCCUUACUUUUCAUGCCUAGCUAGGGGGCGUUAAACGAUAGCGCUUGUUGGGAGGCAACCCAAUUUUAUUUUUAUUCCUUACUUUUUGCUCCUGUUUAUUAAUAAAUAAUUUAUCUAGCCUUUGUUUAGAUAGUGUUUUUUGUGUUUAAUUAGUGUUUGUGCCAAGUAGAACCGUUGGGAAUAAUUGGGGAAAGUCUUGAUAUCUUGCUGUAAAAAACAGAAACUUUAGCGCUCACGAGAACUGCUGCCAUUUUUAUUUGGAAAGUGAUAUAUAGUUAAUUCUUUUUGCAGAUGAUUAAUAAAUAUAUUCCUCCAUCCAUAAAUUUAUUUUAGAAUUUUUGGGGUUCCAGAUCUUGCGCUAGCUUCAGAUUACUACAGACUGUUCUGGUUUUGACAGAUUCUGUUUUUCGUGUGUUGUUUGCUUAUUUUGAUGAAUCUAUGGCUAGUAAAAUAGUUCAUAAACCAUAGAGAAGUUGGAAUACAGUAGGUUUAACACCAACAUAAACAAAGAAUAAGUUCAUUACAGUACCUUGAAGUGGUCAUUUGUUUUCUUUCGCUAACGGAGCUCACGAGAUUUUCUACUUUGAGUUUUGUGUUGUGAAGUUUUCAAGUUUUGGGUAAAGAUUUGAUGGAUUAUGGAACAAGGAGUGGCAAGAGCCUAAGCUUUGGGAUGCCCAUGGAACCCCCAAGAUAAUCUAAGGACACCUAAAAGCCAAAUCUUGGUAAUGCCCCUGAAGGCAUCCCCUCUUUUCGUCUACUUCUAUCGGUAACUUUACUUGGAGCUAUAUUUUUAUUCACCACAUGAUAUGUGUUUUUCUUGGAGCGUCUUGUAUUAUUUGAGUCUUUAUUUGUUAGUUUACCACGAUCAUCCUUGCUGUACACACCUUUUCAGAGAGCCAUACAUGAUUUGGAAUUUGUUAGAAUGCUCUAUGUGCUUCGCUUAUAUCUUUUGAGUUAUAUAGUUUUGCUCUAGUACUUCGCUUAUAUCUUUUAGAGCACGGUGGUGGAUUUGUUUUAUAGAAACUAUUGAUCUCUCAUGCUUCACUUAGAUUAUUUUGAGAGUCUUAAAUAGCAUGAUAAUUUGCUUAAAUAAUGCUAAUAUGCUAGGUAUUCAAGAUUAGUAAAAAAAUAUCCUAGGAGUGUUUGAAUACUAAGAGACGUUUGAUGCUUGAUGAUCGUUUUGAGAUAUGGAGGUAAUAAUAUCAAAGUCGUGCUAGUUGAGUAGUUGUGAAUUCGAGAAGUGCUUGUGUUGAAGUUUGCAAAUCCCGUAGCAUGCACGUAUGGUAAACGUUGUGUAACAAAUUUGAAACAUAAGGUGUUUUUUUCAUUGUCUUCCUUAUGAGUGGCGGUCGGGGACGAGCGAUGGUCUUUUCCUACCAGUCUAUCCCUCUAGGAGCAUGCGCGUAGUGCCGAGGUUUUUUAUGACUUGUAGAUUUUUUCAAUAAGUAUGUGAGUUCUUUAUGACUAAUGUCGAGUCCAUGGAUUAUACGCGCUCUCACCCUUCCAUCAUUGCUAGCCUCUUCGGUACCGUGCAUUGCCCUUUCUCACAUUGAGAGUUGGUGCAAACUUCACCGGUGCAUCCAAACCCCGUGAUAUGAUACGCUCUUUCACACAUAAACCUCCUUAUAUCUUCCUCAAAACAGCCACCAUACCUACCUAUUAUGGCAUUUCCAUAGCCAUUCUGAGAUAUAUUGCCAUGCAACUUUCCACCAUUCCGUUUAUCAUGACACAUUCAUCAUUGUCAUAUUGCUUAGCAUGAUCAUGUAGUGGACAUAGUAUUUGUGGCAAAGCCACCGUUCAUAAUUCUUUCAUACAUGCCACUCUUGGUUCAUUGCAUAUCCCGGUACACCGCCGGAGGCAUUCAUAUAGAGUCAUCUUUUGUUCUAGCAUCGCGUUGUAAUCAUUGAGUUGUAAAUAAAUAGAAGUGUGAUGAUCAUCAUUUUCUAGAGCAUUGUCCCAAAUGAGGAAAAAAAGAGAAAGGCCAUAUAAAAAAAGGCCUGAAUAAAAAAAAGAGAGAAAAAGAGAGAAGGGACAAUGUUACUAUCCUUUGCCACACUUGUGCUUCAAAGUAGCACCAUAAACUUCAUGUCACUUUGCUUUUAUUUUACUUUGCAUAUUUGUCAGAAAAAUACCAAAAAUAUUAUCUUAUCAUAUCUAUCAGAUCUCACUCUCGUAAGUGGCCAUGUAGGGAUUGACAACCCCUUAUCACGUUGGUUGCGAGCAUUUAUUUGUUUUGUGCAGGUACGAGGGACUCGCGCGUAGCCUCCUACAGGAUUAAUACCUUGGUUCUCAAAAACUAAGGGAAAUACUUACGCUACUCUGCUGCAUCAUCCCUUCCUCUUCGGGGAAAAACCAACACAGUGCUCAAGAGGUAGCAGUGGUGUACCGGGAUUGCGAUGAAUCAAGAGUGACAUGUAUGAAAAAUUAUGAACGAUGGCUUUGCCACAAAUACGAUGUCAACUACAUGAUCAUGCAAAGCAAUAUGACAAUGAUGAUGCGUGUCAUAAUAAACAGAACGGUGGGAAGUUGCAUGGCAAUAUAUCUCGGAAUGGCUAUGGAAAUGCCAUAAUAGGUAGGUAUGGUGGCUGUUUUGAGGAAGAUAUAAGGAGGUUUAUGUGUGAUAGAGCGUAUCAUAUCACGGGGUUUGGAUGCACCGGCGAAGUUUGCACCAACUCUCAAUGUGAGAAAGGGCAAUGCACGGUACCGAAGAGGCUAGCAAUGAUGGAAGGGUGAGAGUGCGUAUAAUCCAUGGACUCAACAUUAGUCAUAAAGAACUCACAUACUUAUUGCAAAAAUCUACAAGUCAUCAUAAACCAAGCACUAUGCGUAUGCUCCUAGGGGGGUAGAUUGGUAGGAAAAGACCAUUGCUCGUCCCCGACCGCCACUCAUAAGGAAGACAAUCAAAGAACACCUCAUGUUUCAAAUUUGUUACAUAUCAUUUACCAUACGUGCAUGCUACGGGACUUGCAAACUUCAACACAAGCAUUUCUCAAAUACACAACUACUCAACUAGCACGACUUUGAUAUUAUUACCUCCGUAUCUCAAAACAAUCAUCAAGCAUCAAGCUUCUCUUAGUAUUCAAUGCACUCUAUAUGAAAGUUUUUAUUAUAUCCCUCUUGGAUGCCCAUCAUAUUAGGACUAGUUUCAUAACAAAAGCAAACUACCAUUCUGUUCUAAGGGACUCUCAAAAUAAUAUAAGUGAAUCAUGAGAGUUCAUCUAUUUCUAUAAAAUAAAACCACCACCAUGCUCUAAAAGAUAUAAGUGAAGCACUAGAGCAAAUGACAAACUACUCCAAAAGAUAUAAGUGAAGAUCAAUGAGUAGUCGAAUAAUUAUGCAACCAUGUGAAGACUCUCUAACAUUUAAUAAUUUCAGAUAUUGUUAUUUUAUCCAAGCAGCAAGCAAAACUAAAUAAAAUAAAAUGACUCUCCAAGCAAAACACAUAUCAUGUGGUGAAUAAAAAUAUAGCUCCAAGUGAAGUUACCGAUAGACGAGGACGAAAGAGGGGAUGCCUUCCGGGGCAUCCCCAAGCUUAGGCUUUUGGUUGUCCUUGAAUAUUACCUUGGGGUGCCUUGGGAAUCCCCAAGCUUAGGAUCUUUCCACACCUUGUUCCAUAGUCCAUCAAAUCUUUACCCAAAACUUGAAAACUUCACAACACAAAUCUUAACCAAAAACUCGUAAGCUCCGUCAGUAUAAGAAAAUAAAUCACCACUUAGGUACUGUUGUGAACUCAUUCUAAAUUCAUAUUGGUGUAAUAUCUACUGUAUUCCAACUUAUCUAUGGUUCAUACCCUCCGAUACUACUCAUAGGUUCAUCAAAAUAAGCAAACAACACAUUGAAAACAGAAUCUAUCAAAAACAGAACAGUCUGUAGUAAUAUGGAUCAAACGUAUACUUCUGGAACCCCAAAAAUUCUAAAAUAAAUUUCUGGACCUGAUUAAUUUAUCUAUUAAUCAUAUUCAAAAGGAAUUAACUAAAUAUCACUCUCCAAAUAAAAAUUGCAGCAAUUCUCGUGAGUGCUAAAGUUUCUGUUUUUUACAGCAUGAUUAUAAAGACUUCACCCAAGUCUUCCCAAAGGUUCUACUGGGCACAAACACUAAUUAAAACAUAAAACCACAUCCAAACAGGGGCUAGAUGAAUUAUUUAUUACUAAACAGGAGCAUAAAGAAAGGAACAAAAAUAAAAUUGGGUUGCCUCCCAACAAGCGCUAUCGUUUAACGCCCCUAGCUAGGCAUGAUGAUUUCAAUGAUGCUCACAUAAAAGAUAAGAAUUAAAACAUAAAGAGAGCAUCAUGAAGAAUAUUACUAGAGCAUUUAAGUCUAACCCACUUCCUAUGCAUUGGGAUUAUGUGAGCAAACAACUUGUGGGUACAAGAAUCAAUUUGCAUAGGAAGGUAAAACAAGCAUAACUUCAAAACUUUAAGCACAUAGAGAGGAAACUUGAUAUUAUUGCAAUUCCUACAAGCAUAAGUUCCUCCCUCAUAAUAAUUUUCAUUAGCAUCAUGAAUGAAUUCAACAAUAUAACCAGCACCUAAAGCAUUAUUUUCAUUAUCUAUAAGCAUAGAAAUUUUAUUACUCUCCACAUGAGCAAAAUUCUUCUCAUUCGGAAUAGUGGGAGUAUCAUAAGAAACUCGAAUACUAUAAAUUGUUUCCACAUUAAAAGAGUAAUGUUCAGAAAAGGGGUUAUCAUAAUCAUACAAGUUUUAUAAUCAUAAUCACUACUUUUUAUAGCAUAAGUACCAUCACAAUAAUCAUCAUAAGUAGGAGGCAUGCUAUCAUCAUUAUAAAUUUGCAUAUCAAAACUUGGGAGACUAAAAAUAUCAUCUUCAUUAAACGUAGCAUCCCCAAGCUUGAGACAAACAUUAGCUGCAGCAAAUAUAUUCUCAAAAACAUCAUUUUCAUCAAACAUAGCAUCCCCAAGCUUGGCCCUUUUCAUAUCAUAAGCAUAAUCACUCUCAUCAUUAAUAGUAUGGAUAGCACCAAUAGUAUAGCAAUUAUCAUAUUCUUCCAAGCAAGUGCCAAAAAGAUCUUCAAGAUCAUAAUAAGUAUCAUUAUCUUUCACAAUUAUAUUUUCAUGAGGCACAAUAGUAAUAGGAGCAGCAUUAUUUGGGGGAGAUAUCUUUUUACCUCUCUUCCUUUUUCUUUUCUUCUUCUUCACCACAUCAUGUGUGGGUUCAAUCCUCUUUUUGUAGCUCCUUAUUAAUGAGAUUGGUUGAAUAGGAGGCUCUUCCUCGUUACCUGAUUCAUCAUAAGAAAUAAUAGGAGGGUAUUGGGAAGUCUCUUCCCUUUCAUUAGUAUUCUCUUCAUCUUCUAUUUAUUUUCUUUUCUUCAUGUAGUUGGCAAUAUAAGGAUUUUCAAUACAAUUCACCGCACAAUACAUAUAAAUUUUCUCUAGAUCAAAAUCAAGAAAUCUACCAAGAUUAAACUUUGGAAUACCCUCAGUUAUACUUUUCAUUUCCUCAUACCCCAAAAGAAGACUAAGCUCUUUAUGAUGCUCAAGGGUAAUCAAAUUAUCACAAUUUUUGGGUACGAUUUGGUCAUGAAACAAUUUGCAUUGGAGAUUUAAAUGACCAUGUUCAUUGCAAAGUUCACAAGGGGCGCGAAAAAUAUUGAAUUUUUCAGCACAAACAUCAAGACUUUCUUGCAACAAUUUAGUUUCUAAAUACUUAUGCCUCUUGCAAUAUCUAUCUUCCCUAUUUGGUGUAUACUUGCAAACCCAAUGCACUCCACAAAAAUUGACAUGUUUAUAGGAGACAUUUUCAUCAUAACUAGUGCAAUCAUCAUUAGUACUACGGAUAUUCAAAGAGUUCAUACUAACAACAUUCCAAUCAUGCUCAUCAUUCAAAGAUUUAGUGCCAAACAUUUUAAUGCAUUCUUCUUAUAACACUUUGGCACAAUUUUCCUUUCCACCAUACUCACGGAAGAUAUUAAAAAGAUGAAGCGUAUGAGACAAACUCAAUGUUGGGGAACGUUGCAGAAAACAAAAAAAUUCCUACGGUUUCACCAAGAUCCAUCUAUGAGUUCAUCUAGCAACGAGUGAUCGGAUGCAUCUACAUACCUUGUAGAUCGUGAGCGGAAGCGUUCAAAGAAUGGGGAUGAGGGAGUCGUACUCGAUGUGAUCCAAAUCACCGGAGAUCCUAGCGCCGAACGGACGACACCUCCGCGUUCAACACACGUACGGUCAACGUGACGUCUCCUCCUUCUUGAUCCAGCAAGGGGAAGGAGAGGUUGAGGAAGAUGGGUCCAGCAGCAGCACGACGGCGUGGUGGUGGUGGAGAAGCAGUACUCCGACAGGGCUUUGCCGAGCUCUACGGAGGAGGAGGAGGUGUUGGAGGGGAGAGGGAGGCGCCAAGGGCAUGGGUGCGGCUGCCCUCCCUCCCCCCCUCUAUAUAUAGGGUCCCCAAGGGGGGGGCGCCGGCCCUGGAGAUUCAAUCUCCCAAGGGGCGCGGCCAAGGGGGGUGGAGUGCCCCCCAAGGCAAGUGGGGCGUGAAGGAAAUAUGCCCUAGAGGCAAUAAUAAAGUUAUUAUUUAUUUCCUUAUAAUCAUGAUAAAUGUUUAUUAUUCAUGCUAGAAUUGUAUUAACCGAAAACAUAAUACAUGUGUGAAUACAUAGACAAACAAGGUGUCACUAGUAUGCCUCUACUUGACUAGCUCGUUAAUCAAAGAUGAUUAUGUUUCCUAAUCAUGAACAAUGAGUUGUUAUUUGAUUAACGGGAUCACAUCAUUAAGAGAAUGAUCUGAUUGACAUGACCCAUUCCAUUAGCUUAGCACCCGAUCGUUUAGUAUGUUGCUAUUGCUUUCUUCAUGACUUAUACAUGUUCCUAUAACUAUGAGAUUAUGCAACUCCCGUUUACCGGAGGAACACUUUGGGUACUACCAAACGUCACAACAUAACUGGGUGAUUAUAAAGGAGUAUUACAGGUGUCUCCAAAGGUACAUGUUGGGUUGGCGUAUUUCGAGAUUAGGUUUUGUCACUCCGAUUGUCGGAGAGGUAUCUCUGGGCCCUCUCGGUAAUGCACAUCACUUAAGCCUUGCAAGCAUUGCAACUAAAUGAGUUAGUUGCGGGAUGGUGUAUUACGGAACGAGUAAGGAGACUUGCCGGCAACGAGAUUGAACUAGGUAUUGGAAUACCGACGAUCGAAUCUCGGGCAAGUAACAUACCGAUGACAAAGGGAACGACGUAUGUUGUUAUGCGGUCUAACCGAUAAAGAUCUUCGUAGAAUAUGUAGGAGCCAAUAUGGGUAUCCAGGUACCGCUAUUGGUUAUUGACUGGAGACAUGUCUCGGUCAUGUCUACAUUGUUCUCGAACCCGUAGGGUCCGCACGCUUAAGGUUACGAUGACAGUUAUAUUAUGAGUUUAUGCAUUUUGAUGUACCGAAGGUUGUUCGGAGUCCCGGAUGUGAUCAUGGACAUGACAAGGAGUCUCAAAAUGGUCGAGGCAUAAAGAUUGAUAUAUUGGAAGCCUAUGUUUGGAUAUCGAAAGUGUUCCGGGUGAAAUCGGGAUUUUACCGGAGAACCGGGAGGUUACCGGAACCCCCCGGGAGCUAAAUGGGCCAUGAUGGGCCUUAGUGGAAAAGAGAAGAGGCAGCCCUACAUGGGCCGCGCGCCCCUCCCCUCCCUUGGUCCGAAUAGGACAAGGAGAGGGGGCCGACCCCUCUCUCUCUUUUCCCCCCUCCGCGAAUCCUAUUCCAACUAGGAUUGGGGGGGGGGGGAAUCCUACCCCGAGAGGGAGUAGGACUCUCCUGGCGCGCCCUCCUUGGCCGGCCAGCCUCCUCCCUUUAGUCCUUUAUAUACGGAGGCAGGGGCACCCCAGAAACACACAAGUUGAUCCACGUGAUCUAUUCCUUAGCCGUGUGCGGCGCCCCCAGCCACCAUAGUCCUCGAUAAUACUGUACCGGAGUUUAGGCGAAGCCCUGCUGCUGUAGUGCAUCAUGAUCGUCACCACGCCGUCGUGCUGACGGAACUCUUCCCCGACACUUUGCUGGAUCGGAGUCCGAGGAUCGUCAUCGAGCUGAAUGUGUGCUAGAACUCGGAGGUGCCGUAGUUUCGUUGCUUGAUCGGUCGGAUCAUGAAGACGUACGACUACAUCAACCAAACGCUUCUGUUGUCGAUCUACUAGGUAUGUAGAUCACACUCCCCCCCCCUCGUUGCUAUGCAUCACAUGAUCUUGCGUGUGCGUAGGAAUUUUUUUGAAAUUACUACGUCCCCAACAGUGGCAUCCGAGCCUAGGUUUUAUAUGUUGAUGUUAUAUGCACGAGUAGAACACAAGUGAGUUGUGGGCGAUAUAAGUCAUACUGCCUACCAGCAUGUCAUACUUUGGUUCGGCGGUAUUGUUGGAUGAAGCGGCCCAGACCGACAUUACGCGUACGCUUACGCGAGACCGGUUCUCGCGACGUGCUUUGCACAGAGGUGGCUUGUGGGUGACAGUUUCUCCAACUUUAGUUGAACCAAGUGUGGCUACACCCGGUCCUUGCGAAGGUUAAAACGGAGUCAAAUUGACAAACUAUCGUUGUGGUUUUGAUGCGUAGGUGAGAUUUGUUCUUACUUAAGCCUGUAGCAGCCACGUAAAACUUGCAACAACAAAGUAGAGGACGUCUAACUUGUUUUUGCAGGGCAUGUUGUGAUGUGAUAUGGUCAAGACAUGAUGCUGAAUUUUAUUGUAUGAGAUGAUCAUGUUUUGUAACCGAGUUAUCGGCAACCGGCAGGAGCCAUAUGGUUGUCGCUUUAUUGUAUGCAAUGCAAUCGCGAUGUAAUGCUUUACUUUAUCACUAAAUGGUAGCGAUAGUCGUGGAAGCACAAGCUUGGCGAGACGACAAUGGUGCUACGAUGGAGAUCAAGGUGUCACGCCGGUGACGAUGGUGAUCACGACGGUGCUUCAGAGAUGGAGAUCACAAGCACAAGAUGAUGAUGGCCAUAUCAUAUCACUUAUAUUGAUUGCAUGUGAUGUUUAUCUUUUAUGCAUCUUAUCUUGCUUUGAUUGACGGUAGCAUUAUAAGAUGAUCUCUCACUAAAUUAUCAAGAAGUGUUCUCCCUGAGUAUGCACCGUUGCGAAAGUUCUUCGUGCUGAGACACCAUGUGAUGAUCGGGUGUGAUAGGUUCUACGUUCAAAUACAACGGGUGCAAAAUAGUUGCACACGCGGAAUACUCAGGUUAUACUUGACGAGCCAAGCAUAUACAGAUAUGGCCUCGGAACACGGAGACCGAAAGGUCGAGCGUGAAUCAUAUAGUAGAUAUGAUCAACAUAGCGAUGCUCACCAAUGAAACUACUCCAUCUCACGUGAUGAUCGGACAUGGUUUAGUUGAUUUGGAUCACGUGAUCACUUAGAGGAUUAGAGGGAUGUCUAUCUAAGUGGGACUUCUUAAGUAAUAUGAUUAAUUGAACUUAAAUUUAUCAUGAACUUAGUCCUGGUAGUAUUUUGCAAAUUAUGUUGUAGAUCAAUAGCUCGCAUUGUUGCUUCCCUGUGUUUAUUUUGAUAUGUUCCUAGAGAAAAUUGUGUUGAAAGAUGUUAGUAGCAAUGAUGCGGAUUGGAUCCAUGAUCUGAGGUUUAUCCUCAUUGCUGCAUAGAAGAAUUAUGUCCUUGAUGCACCGCUAGGUGACAGACCUAUUGCAGGAGCAGAUGCAGAUGUUAUGAACAUUUGGCUAGCUCAAUAUGAUGACUACUUGAUAGUUUAGUGCACCAUGCUUAAUGGCUUAGAAUCGGGACUUCAAAGACAUUUUGAACGUCAUGGACCAUAUGAGAUGUUCCAGGAGUUGAAGUUAAUAUUUCAAGCAAAUACCCGAGUUGAGAGAUAUGAAGUCUCCAACAAGGUCUAUAGCUAAAAGAUGGAGGAGAAUCGCUCAACUAGUGAGCAUGUGCUCAGAUUGUCUGGGUACUACAAUCGCUUGAAUCAAGUGGGAGUUAAUCUUCCAGAUAAGAUAGUGAUUGACAGAAUUCUCUAGUCACCAUCACCAAGUUAGUAGAACUUCCUGAUGAACUAUGAUAUGCAAGGGAUAACGGAAAUGAUUCCCAAGCUCUUCGUAAUGCGGAAAUUGACGAAGGUAGAAAUCGAGAAAAACAUCAAGUGUUGAUGGUAGACAAGACCACUAGUUUCAAGAAAAGGGCAGAGGGAAGAAGGGGAACUUCAAGAAGAACAGCAAGCAUGUUGCUACUCAAGUGAAGAAGCCCAAGUCUGGUCCUAAGCCUGAGACUAAGUGUUUCUACUGCAAAGGGACUGGUCACUGAAAGCGGAACUACCCCAAGUGAUUGGCAGAUAAGAAGGAUGGCAAAAUGAACAUAAGUAUAUUUGAUAUACAUGUUAUUGAUGUGUACUUUACUAGUGUUUAUAGCAACCCCUCAGUAUUUGAUACUAGUUCAGUUGCUAAGAUUAGUAACUUGAAACGGGAGUUGCAGAAUAAACAGAGACUAGUUAAGGGUGAAGUGACGAUGUGUGUUGGAAGUGGUUCCAAGAUUGAUAUGAUCAUCAUCGCACACUCCCUAUACUUUCGGGAUUAGUGUUGAACCUGAAUAAGUGUUAUUUGGUGUUUGUGUUAAGCAUGAAUAUGAUUUGAUCAUGUUUAUUAUAAUACGGAUAUUCAUUUAAGUAAGAGAAUAAAUUGUUGUUCUGUUUACAUGAAUAAAACCUUAUAUGGUUACACACCCAAUGAAAAUAGUUCAUUGGAUCUCGAUCGUAGUGAUACACAUAAUCAUAAUAUUGAAACCAAAAGAUGCAAAGUUAAUAAUGAUAGUGCAACUUAUUUGUAGCACUGCCAUUUAGGUCAUAUUGGUGUAAAGUGCAUGAAGAAACUCCAUGCUGAUGGAUUUUGGAAUCACUUGAUUAUGAAUCACUUGAUGCUUGAGAACCAUGCCUCAUGGUCAAGAUGACUAAGACUCCGUUCUCCGGAGAGAGCAACUGACUUAUUGGAAAUAAUACAUACUGAUGUAUGCGGUCCGAUGAGUGUUAAGGCUCACGGCAAGUAUCGUUAUUUUCUGAACUUCACAGAUGAUUUGAGCAAGAUAUGGGUAUAUCUACUUGAUGAAACAUAAGUCCUAAACAUUUGAAAAGUUCAAAGAAUUUCAGAGUGAAGUGGAAAAUCAUCAUGACAAGAAAAAAAAAUUUCUAUGAUCUGAUCGCGGAGACAAAUAUUUGAGUUACGAGUUUGGUCUUCAAAUAAAACAAUGUGGAAUAGUUUCACAAACUCAUGCCACAUGGAACACCACAGCAUAAUGGUGUGUCUGAACAUUAUAACCGUACUUUAUUAGAUAUGGUGCGAUCUAUGAUGUUUUUUUUUGAUCUACCACUAUCGUUUUGGGGUUAUGCAUUAAAGACAGCUGCAUUCACAUUUAAAAGGGCACCAUCUAAGUCCGUUGAGACGACACAAUCUGAACUGUGGUUUGGCAAGAAACCAAAGUUGUCAUUUCUUAAAGUUUGGGAUUGUGAUGCUUAUAUGAAAAGGUUUCAUCCUGAUAAGCUCAAAUCCAAAUAGGAGAAAUAUGUCUUCAUAGGAUACCCAAAGGAGACUGUUGGGUACACCUUCUAUCACAAAUCCGAAGGCAAGACUUUUGUUGCUAAAUUCGGAGUUUUUCUAGAGAAGGAGUUUCUCUCGAAAGAAGUGAGUGGGAGGAAAGUAGAACUUGAUGAGGUAACUGUACCUGCUCCCUUAUUGGAAAGUAGUUCAUCACAGAAAUCUGUUCCUGUGACUACUACACCAAUUCGUGAGGAAGCUAAUGAUGAUGAUCAUGUAACUUCAGAUCAAGUUACUACCAAAUCUCGUAGGUAAACCAGAGUGAGAUCCACACCAGAGUGGUACGGUAAUCCCAUUCUGGAAGUCGUGUUACUAGACCAUGACGAACUUGCGAACUAUGAGGAAGCGAUGAUGAGCCCAGAUUCUGCGAAAUGGUUUGAGGUCAUGAAAUCUGAGAUAUGAUCCAUGUAUGAGAACAAAGUAUGGACUUUGAUGGAUUUGCUCGAUGAUCGGCAAGCCAUAGAAAAUAAAUGGAUCUUCAAGAGGAAGACAGACGCUGAUAGUAGUGUUACUAUCUACAAAGCUAGAAUUGUCGCAAAAGGUUUUCGACAAGUUCAAGGAGUUGACUACGAUGAGAUUUUCUCACUCGUAUCUAUGCUUAAGUCUGUCCGAAUCAUGUUAGCAAUUGCCGCAUUUUAUGAAAUCUGGCAAAUGGAUAAACAAAACUGCAUUCCUUAAUGGAUUUACUAAAGAAGAGUUGUAUACGAUGCAACUAGAAGGUUUUGUCGAUCCUAAAGGUGUUAACUAAAUAUGCAAGCUCCAGCGAUCCAUCUAUGGACUAGUGCAAGAAUCUCAGAGUUGGAAUAUACGCUUUGAUAAGUUGAUCAAAGCAUAUAGUUUUAUGCAGACUUGCGGUGAAGCCUGUAUUUACAAGAAAGUGAGUGGGAGCACUACAACAUUUCUGAUAAGUAUAUGUGAAUGACAUAUUGUUGAUCGGAAAUAAUGUAGAAUUAUUCUGCAAAGCAUAAAGGAGUGUUUGAAAGGAGUUUUUUCAAAAAGGACCUCGAAGAAGCUGCUUACAUAUUGAGCAUCAAGAUCUAUAGAGAUAGAUCAAGACGCUUGAUAAGUUUUUUUUCAAUGAGUACAUACCUUGACAAGAUUUUAUAAUAGUUCAAAAUGGAACAGUCAAAGAAAGUGUUCUUGCCUGUGUCAUAAGGUGUGAAAUUGAGUAAGACUCAAAGCCCGACCACGGCAGAAGAUAGAAAGAGAAUGAAUGUCAUUCCCUAUGCCUCGGUCAUAGGUUCUAUAAAGUAUGCCAUGCUGUGUACCAGAUCUAUUGUAUACCCUACCAUUGAGUUUGGCAAGGGAGUACAAUAGUGAUCUAGGAGUAGAUCACUGGACAGCGGUCAAAAUUAUCCUUAGUGGAAUAAGGAAAUAUUUCUCAAUUAUGGAGGUGACAAAAAGGUUCGUCGUAAAAAGUUACAUCGAUGCAUGUUUUGACACAGAUCUGGAUGACUCUAAGUCUCGAUCUAGAUACAUAUUGAAAGUGGGAGCAAUAAGUUAGAGUAGCUCCGUGCAGAGCAUUGUUGACAUAGAAAUUCGCAAAAUACUUACGGAUCCGAAUGUGACAGACCUGUUGACUAAAAUUAUCUCACAAGCAAAACAUGAUCACACCUUAGUACUCUUUGGGUAUUAAUCACAUAGCGAUGUGAACUAGAUUACUGACUCUAGUAAACCCUUUGGGUGUUGAUCACAUAUCGAUGUGAACUAUGGGUGUUAAUCACAUGGUGAUGUGAACUAUUGUUGUUAAAUCACAUGGCGAUGUGAACUAGAUUAUUGACUCUAGUGCAGGUGGGAGACCGAAGGAAAUAUGCCCUAGAGGCAAUAAUAAAGUUAUUAUUUAUUUCCUUAUAAUCAUGAUAAAUGUUUAUUAUUCAUGCUAGAAUUGUAUUAACUGGAAACAUAAUACAUGUGUGAAUACAUAGACAAACAAAGUGUCACUAGUAUGCCUCUACUUGACUAGCUCGUUAAUCAAAGAUGAUUAUGUUUCCUAAUCAUGAACAAUGAGUUGUUAUUUGAUUAACGAGAUCACAUCAUUAAGAGAAUGAUUUGAUUGACAUGACCCAUUCCAUUAGCUUAGCACCCGAUCAUUUAGUAUGUUGCUAUUGCUUUCUUCAUGACUUAUACAUGUUCCUAUAACUAUGAGAUUAUGCAACUCCCGUUUACCGGAGGAACACUUUGGGUACUACCAAAGGUCACAAUGUAACUGGGUGAUUAUAAAGGAGUAUUACAGGUCUCUCCAAAGGUACAUGUUGGGUUGGCGUAUUUCGAGAUUAGGUUUUGUCACUCCGAUUGUCGGAGAGGUAUCUCUGAGCCCUCUCGGUAAUGCACAUCACUUAAGCCUUGCAAGCAUUGCAACUAAAUGAGUUAGUUGCGGGAUGAUGUAUUACGGAACGAGUAAAGAGACUUGCCGGCAACGAGAUUGAACUAGGUAUUGGAAUACCGACGAUCGAAUCUCGGGCAAGUAACAUACCGAUGACAAAGGGAACGACGUAUGUUGUUAUGCGGUCUGACCGAUAAAGAUCUUCAUAGAAUAUGUAGGAGCCAAUAUGGGCAUCCAGGUCCCGCUAUUGGUUAUUGACUGGAGACAUGUCUCGGUCAUGUCUACAUUGUUCUCGAACCCGUAGGGUCCGCACGCUUAAGGUUACGAUGACAGUUAUAUUAUGAGUUUAUGCAUUUUGAUGUACCGAAGGUUGUUCAGAGUCUCGGAUGUGAUCACGGACAUGAUGAGGAGUCUCGAAAUGGUCGAGACAUAAAGAUUGAUAUAUUGGAAGCCUAUGUUUGGAUAUCGGAAGUGUUCCAGGUGAAAUCGGGAUUUUACCGGAGUACCGGGAGGUUACCGGAACCCCCCGGGAGCUAAAUGGGCCAUGAUGGGCCUUAGUGGAAAAGAGAAGAGGCAGCCCUACAUGGGCCGCGCGCCCCUCCCCUCCCUUGGUCCGAAUAGGACAAGGAGAGGGGGCCGGACCCUCUCUCUCUUUUCCCUCCUCCGCGAAUCCUAUUCCAACUAGGAUUGGGGGGGGGGGGGAUCCUACUCCCAGAGGGAGUAGGACUCUCCUGGCGCGCCCUCCUUGGCCGGCCAGCCUCCCCCCUUUAGUCCUUUAUAUACGGAGGCAAAGGCACCCCAGAGACACACAAGUUGAUCCACGUGAUCUAUUCCUUAGCCGUGUGCAGCGCCCCCAGCCACCAUAGUCCUCAAUAAUACUGUAGCGGAGUUUAGGCGAAGCCCUGCUGCUGUAGUGCAUCAAUAUCGUCACCACGCCGUCGUGCUGACGGAACUCUUCCCCGACACUUUGCUGGAUCGGAGUCCGAGGAUCGUCAUCGAGUUGAACGUGUGCUAGAACUCAGAGGUGCCGUAGUUUCGGUGCUUGAUCGGUCGGAUCGUGAAGACGUACGACUACAUAAACCAAACACUUCCGUUGUCGAUGUACUAGGUAUGUAGAUCACACUCCCCCCCCCUCGUUGCUAUGCAUCACAUGAUCUUGCGUUUGCGUAGGAAAUUUUUUGAAAUUACUACGUUCCCCAACAGGGCGCCCCCCACCCUAGGGUUCCCAACCCUAGUCGCAGGGGGAAGGCCCAAGGGGGGCGCACCAGCCCACUAGGGGCUGGUUCCCCUCCCACUUCAGCCCAUGGGGCCCUCUGGGAUAGGUGGCACCACCCGGUGGACCCCCGGGACCCUUCCAGUGGUCCCGGUACAAUACCGGUGACCCCGAAACUUGUCCCGAUGGCCGAAAUAGCACUUCCUAUAUAUAAUUCUUUACCUCCGGACCAUUCCGGAACUCCUCGUGACGUCCGGUAUCUCAUUCGGGACUCCGAACAACUUUCUGGUUACUGCAUAUUCAUAUCCCUACAACCCUAGCGUCACCGAACCUUAAGUGUGUAGACCCUACGGGUUCGGGAGACAUGUAGACAUGACCGAGAUGGCUCUCCGGUCAAUAACCAACAGCGGGAUCUGGAUACCCAUGUUGGCUCCCACAUGCUCCUCGAUGAUCUCAUCGGGUGAACCACGAUGUCGAGGAUUCAAGCAACCCCGUAUACAAUUCCCUUUGUCAAUCGGUACGUUACUUGCCCGAGAUUCGAUCGUCGGUAUCCCAAUACCUCGUUCAAUCUCGUUACCGGCAAGUCACUUUACUCGUACCGUAAUGCAUGAUCCCGUGACCAGACACUUGGUCACUUUGAGCUCAUUGUGAUGAUGGAUUACCGAGUGGGCCCAGAGAUACCUCUUCGUCAUAUGGAGUGACAAAUCCUAGUCUUGAUCCGCGUCAACCCAACAGACACUUUCGGAGAUACCCGUAGUAUACCUUUAUAGUCAGCCAGUUACGUUGUGACGUUUGGUACACCCAAAGCACUCCUACGGUAUCCGGGAGUUACACGAUCUCAUGGUCUAAGGAAAGGAUACUUGACAUUGGAAAAACUCUAGCAAACGAACUAUACGAUCUUGUGCUAUGUUUAGGAUUGGGUCUUGUCCAUCACAUCAUUCUCCUAAUGAUGUGAUCUCGUUAUCAAUGACAUCCAAUGUCCAUAGUCAGGAAACCAUGACUAUCUGUUGAUCAACGAGCUAGUCAACUAGAGGCUUACUAGGGACAUGUUGGUGUCUAUUUAUUCGCACAUGUAUUACGAUUUCCUGAUAACACAAUUAUAGCAUGAAUAAAAUACAAUUAUCAUGAACAAGGUAAUAUAAUAAUAAUGCUUUUAUCAUUGCCUCUAGGGCGUAUUUCCAACAGUCUGCCGCUUGCACUAGAGUCAAUAAUCUAGUUACAUUGUGAUGAAUCGAACACCCAUGGAAUUCUGGUGUUGAUCAUGUUUUGCUCUAGGGAGAGGUUUAGUCAACGGAUCUGCUACAUUCAGGUCCGUAUGUACUUUACAAAUAUCUAUGUCUCCAUCUUGAACAUUUUCACGAAUGGAAUUGAAUCGACGCUUGAUGUGCCUGGUCUUCUUGUGAAACCUGGGCUCCUUGGCAAGUGCAAUAGCUCCAGUGUUGUCACAGAAGAGUUUGAUUGGCCCCGACGCAUUGGGUAUGACUCCUAGGUCAGUGAUGAACUCCUUCACCCAAAUUGCUUCAUGCGCUGCCUCAGAGGCUGCCAUGUACUCCGCUUCACAUGUAGAUCCCGCAGCGACGCUCUGCUUGCAAUUGCACCAGCUUACUGCCCCACCAUUCAAAAUAUACACUUAUCCGGUUUGUGACUUAGAGUCAUCCAGAUCUGUGUCGAAGCUAGCAUCGAUGUAACCCUUUACGACGAGCUCUUCGUCACCUCCAUAAACGAGAAACAUUUCCUUAGUCCUUUUCAGGUACUUCAGGAUAUUCUUCACCGCUGUCCAGUGUUCCUUGCCGGGAUUACUUUGGUACCUACCUACCAAACUUACGGCAAGGUUUACAUCAGGUCUGGUACACAGCAUGGCAUACAUAAUAGAACCUAUGGCUGAGGCAUAGGGGAUGACACUCAUCUCUUCUAUAUCUUCUGCCGUGGUCGGACAUUGAGCUGAGCUCAAUUUCACACCUUGCAACACAGGCAAGAACCCCUUCCUAGACUGAUCCAUAUUGAACUUCUUCAAUAUCUUAUCAAGGUAUGUACUUUGUGAAAGACCUAUGAGGCGUCUUGAUCUAUCUCUAUAGAUCUUGAUGCCUAAUAUAUAUGCAGCUUCUCCAAGGUCCUUCAUUGAAAAACUCUUAUUCAAGUAGGCCUUAAUGUUGUCCAAGAGUUCUAUAUCAUUUUCCAUCAAAAGUAUGUCAUCUACAUAUAAUAUGAGAAAUGCUACAGAGCUCCCACUCACUUUCUUGUAAACGCAGGCUUCUCCAUAAGUCUGCGUAAACCCAAACACUUUGAUCAUCUCAUCAAAGCGAAUGUUCCAACUCCGAGAUGCUUGCACUAGCCCAUAAAUCGAGGGUUGGAGCUUGCACACCUUGUCAGCAUUCUUAGGAUCGACAAAACCUUCCGGCUGCAUCAUAUACAAUUCUUCCUUAAGGAAACCAUUAAGGAAUGCCGUUUUGACGUCCAUUUUCCAUAUCUCAUAAUCAUAGAAUGCGGCAAUUGCUAACAUGAUUCGGACGGACUUUAGCUUCGCUACCGGUGAGAAAGUCUCAUCGUAGUCAACCCCUUGAACUUGUCGAUAACCCUUAGUGAAAAGCCGAGCUUUAUAGAUGGUCACAUUACCAUCCGCAUCUGUCUUCUUCUUAAAGAUCCAUUUAUUUUCUAUGGCUCGCCGCUCAACGGGCAAGUCAGUCAAAGUCCAUACUUUUUUUUCAUACAUGGAUCCUAUCUCGGAUUUCAUGGCUUCUAGCCAUUUGUCAGAAUCCGGGCCCGUCAGCGCUUUUUCAUAGUUCGGAGGUUCACCAUUGUCUAACAACAUGAUUUCCAAGACAGGGUUGCCGUACCACUCUGGUGCGGAACGUGUCCUUGUGGACCUACGAAGUUCAGUAGCAACUUGAUCCGAAGUUUCAUGAUCAUCUUCAUUAAUUUCCUCUCUAGUCGGUGCAGGCACCUCAGGAACAUUUUCUUGAGUUGUGCCAUUUUCCGGUUCAAGAGGUAAUACUUCAUCAAGUUCUACUUUCCUCCCACUUACUUCUUUCGAGAGAAACUCCUUCUCUAGAAAGGAUCCAUUCUUGGCAACAAAGAUCUUUGCCUUCGGAUCUGAGGUAGAAGGUAUACCCAAUAGUUUCUUUAGGGUAUCCUAUGAAGACGCAUUUUUCCGACUUGGGUUCGAGCUUUUCAGGUUGAAGUUUCUUGACAUAAGCAUCGCAUCCCCAAACUUUUAGAAACUAUAGCUUAGGUUUCUUCCCAAACCAUAAUUCAUACGGUGUCGUCUCAACGGAUUUCGACGGAGCCCUAUUUAAAGUGAAUGCGGCAGUCUGUAAAGCAUAGCCCCAAAAUAAUUGCGGUAAUUCGGUAAGAGUGAUCAUAGAUCGCACCAUAUCUAAUAGAGUGCGAUUACGACAUUCAGACACACCAUUACGCUGAGGUGUUCCAGGCGGCGUCAGUUGUGAAACUAUUCCACAUUUUCUUAAGUGUGUGCCAAAUUCGUGACUCAAGUAUUCUCCUCCAUGAUCUGAUCACAAGAACUUGAUUUUCCUGUCACGUUCAUUCUCAACCUCACUCUAAAAUUCCUUGAACUUUUCAAAGGUCUCAGACUUGUGUUUCAUUAAAUAGACAUACCCAUAUCUACUCAAGUCAUCAGUGAGGGUGAGAACAUAACGAUAGCCACCGCGAGCCCCAGCACUCAUUGGACCGCACGCAUCAGUAUGUAUGAUUUUCAAUAAGUUGGUUGCUCGCUCCAUUGUUCCUGAGAACAGAGUCUUGGUCAUUUUACCCAUGAGGCAUGGUUCGCACGUGUCAAAUGAUUCGUAAUCAAGAGACUCUAGAAGUCCAUCUGCAUGGAGCUUCUUCAUGCGUUUGACACCUAUGUGACCAAGGCGGCAGUGCCACAAGUAUGUGGGACUAUUAUUAUCAACCUUACAUCUUUUGGUAUUCACACUAUGAAUAUGUGUAGCAUUACGCUCGAGAUUCAUUAAGAAUAAACCAUUCACCAUCGGAGCAUGACCAUAAAACAUAUCUCUCAUAUAAAUAGAACAACCAUUAUUCUCGGAUUUAAAUGAGUAGCCAUCUCGUAUUAAACGAGAUCCUGAUACAAUGUUCAUGCUCAAACUUGGCACUAAAUAACAAUUAUUGAGGUUCAAAACUAAUCCCGUAGGUAAAUGUAGAGGUAGCGUGCCGACGGCGAUCACAUCGACCUUGGAACCAUUCCCGACGCGCAUCGUCACCUCGUCCUUCGCCAGUCUCCGCUUAUUCCGCAGCUCCUGCUUUGAGUUACAAAUGUGAGCAACUUCACCGGUAUCAAAUACCCAAGAGCUACUACAAGUACUGGUAAGGUACACAUCAAUUACAUGUAUAUCACAUAUACCUUUAUGAUGCCGGCCUUCUUGUCCGCUAAGUAUUUGGGGCAGUUCCGCUUCCAGUGACCACUUCCCUUGCAAUAAAAGCACUCAGUCUCGGGCUUGGGUCCAUUCUUUGGCUUCUUCCCGGCAGCUUGCUUGCCGGGCGCGGCAACUCCCUUGCCGUCCUUCUUGAAGUUCUUCUUACCCUUGCCUUUCUUGAACUUAGUGGUUUUAUUCACCAUCAACACUUGAUGUUCCUUUUUGACUUCUACCUCUGCUUAUUUCAGCAUUGCAAAUACUUCAGGAAUGGUCUUUUCCAUCCCCUGCAUAUUGAAGUUCAUCACAAAGCUCUUGUAGCUUGGUGGAAGCGACUAGAGGAUUCUCUCAAUGGCCGCGUCAUUUGGGAGAUUAACUCCCAGCUGAGUCAAGCGGUUAUGUAACCCAGACAUAGUGAGUAUGUGCUCACUGACAGAACUAUUUUCCUCCAUCUUACAGCUGAAUAACUUGUCGGAGACUUCAUAUCUCUCGACCCUGGCAUGAGCUUGAAAAACCAUUUUCAGCUCUUCGAACAUCUCAUAUGCUCCGUGUCUCUCAAAAUGCUUUUGGAGCCCCGGCUCUAAGCUGUAAAGCAUGCGGCACUGAACGAGGGAGUAAUCAUCGGAACGUGUCUGCCAAGCGUUCAUAACGUCUUGUUCUGCAGGGAGAACAGGUGCUUCACCUAGCGGUGCUUGUAGGACAUAAUCUUUCUUGGCAGCUAUGAGGAUGAUCCUCAGGUUCCGGACCCAGUCCGUAUAGUUCCUGCCAUCAUCUUUCAGCUUGGUUUUCUCUAGGAACGCGUUGAAGUUGAGGACAACAUUGGUCAUUUGAUCUACAAGACAUAUUGUAAAUAUUUUAGACUAAGUUCAUGAUAAUUAAGUUCAUCUAAUCAAAUUAUUCAGUGAACUCCCACUUAGAUAGACAUCCCUCCAGUCAUCUAAGUAUAACAUGAUCCGAGUUAACUAGGCCGUGUCCGAUCAUCACGUGAGACGGACUAGUCAACAUCGGUGAACAUCUUCAUGUUGAUCGUAUCUUCUAUACGACUCAUGCUCGACCUUUCGGUCUUCUAUGUUCCGAGGCCAUGUCUAUACAUGCUAGGCUCGUCAAGUCAACCUAAGUGUUUGCAUGUGUAAAUCUGUCUUACACCCGUUGUAUGUGAACGUUGGAAUCUAUCAUACCCGAUCAUCACGUGGUGCUUCGAAACAACGAACUGUCGCAACGGUGCACAGUUAGGGGGAACAUUUUCUUGAAAUUAUUAUGAGGGAUCAUCUUAUUUACUACCGUCGUUCUAAGUAAACAAGAUGCAAAAACAUGAUAAACAUCACAUGCAAUAAUAAUAGUGACAUGAUAUGGCCAAUAUCACAUAGCUCCUUUGAUCUCCAUCUUGGGGCUCCAUGAUCAUCUUGUCACCGGCAUGACACCAUGAUCUCCAUCAUCAUCGUGUCUCCAUGAAGUUGCUCGCCAACUAUUACUUCUACUACUAUGGCUAACACGUUUAGCAAUAAAGUAAAGUAAUUUACAUGGCGUUUCUCAAUGACACGCAGGUCAUACAAAAAAAUAAAGACAACUCCUAUGGCUCCUGCCGGUUGUCAUACUCAUCGACAUGCAAGUCGUGAUUCCUAUUACAAUAGCAUGAACAUCUCAUACGUCACAUAUAUAUCAUUCAUCAUUCAUCACAACUUUGGCCAUAUCACAUCACAAAACACUUGCUGCAAAAACAAGUUAGACGUCCUCUAAUUGUUGUUGCAAGUUUUACGUGGCUGAAAUAGGGUUCUAGCAAGAAUGUUUUCUUACCUACGUGAAAGCCACAACGUGAUUUGUCAACUUCUAUUUACCCUUCAUAAGGACCCUUUUCAUCGAAUCCGCUCCAACUAAAGUGGGAGAGACAGACACCCGCCAACCACCUUAUGCAACUAGUGCAUGUUAGUCGGUGGAACCGGUCUCACAUAAGCGUACGUGUAAGGUUGGUCCGGGCCGCUUUAUCCCACAAUACCGCUGAAGCAAAAUAAGACUAGUAGCGGCAAGAAAGUUGACAACAUCUACGCCCACAACAAAUUAUGUUCUACUCGUGCAAAGAGAACUACACAUAGACCUAGCUCAUGAUGCCACUGUUGGGGAACGUUGCAGAAAACAAAAAAAUUCCUACGGUUUCACCAAGAUCCAUCUAUGAGUUCAUCUAGCAAGGAGUGAUCGGAUGCAUCUACAUACCUUGUAGAUCAUGAGCGGAAGCGUUCAAAGAACGGGGAUGAGGGAGUCGUACUCGACGUGAUCCAAAUCACCGGAGAUCCUAGCGCCGAACGGACGGCACCUCCGCGUUCAACACACGUACGGUCAGCGUGACGUCUCCUCCUUCUUGAUCCAGCAAGGGGAAGGAGAGGUUGAGGAAGAUGGCUCCAGCAGCAGCACGACGGCGUGAUGGUGGUGGAGAAGCAGUACUCCGACUAGGCUUCGCCGAGCUCUACGGAGGAGGAGGAGGUGUUGGAGGGGAGAGGGAGGCGCCAAGGGCAUGGGUGCGGCUGCCCUCCCUCCCCCCUCUAUAUAUAGGGUCCCCAAGGGGGGCGCCGGCCCUGGAGAUCCAAUCUCCCAAGGGGCGGCGGCCAAGGGGGGUGGAGUGCCCCCCAAGGCAAGUGGGGCGCCCCCCACCCUAGGGUUCCCAACCCUAGGAGCAGGGGGAAGGCCCAAGGGGGGCGCACCAGCCCACUAGGGGCUGGUUCCCCUCCCACUUCAGCCCAUGGGGCCCUCCGGGAUAGGUGGCCCCACCCGGUGGACCCCCGGGACCCUUCCGGUGGUCCCGGUACAAUACCGGUGACCCCGAAACUUGUCCCGAUUGCCGAAAUAGCACUUCCUAUAUAUAAUUCUUUACCUCCGGACCAUUCCGGAACUCCUUGUGACGUCCAGGAUCUCAUCCGAGACUCCUAACAACUUUCGGGUUACUGCAUAUUCAUAUCCCUACAACCCUAGCGUCAUCGAACCUUAAGUGUGUAGACCCUACGGGUUUGGGAGACAUGUAGACAUGACCGAGAUGGCUCUCCGGUCAAUAACCAACAAUGGGAUCUAGAUACCUAUGUUGGCUCCCACAUGCUCCUCGAUGAUCUCAUCGGAUGAACCACGAUGUCGAGGAUUCAAGCAACCCCGUAUACAAUUCCCUUUGUCAAUCGGUACGUUACUUGCCCGAGAUUCGAUCGUCGGUACAAUACCUCGUUCAAUCUCGUUACCGGCAAGUCACUUUACUCGUACUGUAAUGCAUGAUCCCGUGACCAGACACUUGGUCACUUUGAGCUCAUUGUGAUGAUGCAUUACCGAAUGGGCCCAGAGAUACCUCUCCGUCAUACGGAGUGACAAAUCCCAGUCUUGAUCCGUGUCAACCCAACAGACACUUUCGGAGAUACCUGUAGUAUACCUUUAUAGUCACCCAGUUACGUUGUGACGUUUGGUACACCCAAAGCACUCCUACGGUAUCCGGGAGUUACACGAUCUCAUGGUCUAAGGAAAGGAUACUUGACAUUGGAAAAACUCUAGCAAACGAACUAUACAAUCUUGUGCUAUGUUUAGGAUUGGGUCUUGUCCAUCACAUCAUUCUCCUAAUGAUGUGAUCUCGUUAUCAAUGACAUCCAAUGUCCAUUGUCAGGAAACCAUGACUAUCUGUUGAUCAACGAGCUAGUCAACUAGAGGCUUACUAGGGACAUGUUGGUUUCUAUUUAUUCACACAUGUAUUACGAUUUCCGGAUAACACAAUUAUAGCAUGAAUAAAAGACAAUUAUCAUGAACAAGGAAAUAUAAUAAUAAUGCUUUUAUUAUUGCCUCUAGGGCAUAUUUCCAACACUCAAUUCCAUUUUUUAUAGUUUUCUUUUAUAAACUAAACUAGUGAUAAAACAAGAAACAAAAAGAUUCGACUUCAAGAUCUAAAGAUAUACCUUCAAGCGCUAACCUCCCCGGAACGGCGCCAGAAAAGAGCUUGAUGUCUACUACACAACCUUCUUCUUGUAGACGUUGUUGGGCCUCCAAGUGCAGAGGUUUGUAGGAUAGUAUAAAAUUUCCCUCAAGUGGAUGACCUAAGGUUUAUCAAUCCAUAGGAGGCGUAGGAUAAAUAUGGUCUCUCUCAAGCAACCCUGCAACCAAAUAACAUGGAGUCUCUUGUGUCCCCAACACACCCAAUACAAUGGUAAAUUGUAUAGGUGCACUAGUUCGGCGAAGAGAUGGUGAUACAAGUGGUAUAUUGAUGGUAGAUAAAGGUUUUUGUAAUCUGAAAAUAUAAAUACAGCAAAGUAACUAAUGAUAAAAGUGAGCGUACACGCUAUUGCAAUGCUAGGAAAAAAGGCCUAGGGUUCAUACUUUCACUAGUGCAAGUUCCCUCGACAAUAAUAACAUAAUUGAAUCACAUAAUUAUCCCUCAACAUGCAACAAAGUGUCACUCCAAAGUCACUAAUAGUGGAGAACGAACGAAGAGAUUAUGGUAGGGUAUGAAACCACCUCAAAGUUAUUCUUUCCAAUCAAUCCGUUGGGCUAUUCCUAUAAGUGUCACAAACAACCCUAGAGUUUGUACUAGAAUAACACCUUAAGACACAAAUCAACCAAAACCCUAAUGUCACCUAGAUACUCCAAUGUCACCUCAAGUAUCCGUGGGUAUGAUUAUACGAUAUGCAUCACACAAUCUCAGAUUCAUCUAUUCAACCAACACAUAGAACCUCAAAGAGUGCCCUAAAGUUUCUAUCGGAGAAUCACGACGAAACCGUGUGCCAACCCCUAUGCAUAGGUUCAUGGGAGGAACCCGCAAGUUGAUCACCAAAACAUACAUCAAGAGAAUCACGUGGUAUCCCAUUGUCACCACAGAUACGCAUGGCAAGACAUACAUCAAGUGUUCUCAAAUCUUUAAAGACUCAAUCCGAUAAGAUAACUUCAAAGGGAAAACUCAAUCCAUUACAAGAGAGUAGAGGGGGGAGAAAACAUCAUAAGAUCCAACUAUAAUAGCAAACUCACAAUACAUCAAGAUCGUACCACCUCAAGAACACGAGAGAGAGAGAGAGAGAGAGAGAGAGAGAGAGAGAGAGAGAUCAAACACAUAGCUACUGGUACAUACCCUCAGUCCCGAGGGAGAACUACUCCCUCCUCGUCAUGGAGAGCAUCGGGAUGAUGAAGAUGACCACCGAAGAGGGAUUCCCCCUCCGGCAGGGUGCUGGAACGGGUCUCGAUUGUCUUUCGGUGGCAACGAAGGCUUCUGGCGGCAGAACUUCCGAUCUAUUGUGAUCCCCGAUCGUUUUAGGGUAUAUGGGUAUAUAUAGGAGGAAGAAGUACGUCAGGGGAGCCACGAGGGGCCCAUGAGGGUCGAGGGCGUGCCCAGGGGGGUGGGCGCGCGCCCCUACCUCGUGGCUUCCUCGAAGCUUCCUUGACGUGGACUCCAAGUCUCCCGGGUUGCUUUCCUUCCAAAAAUAAGUUCCGUGAAGUUUCAAGUCAAUUGGACUCCGUUUGAUUUUCCUUUUCUGCGAUACUCUAAAACAAGGAAAAAAAAGAAGCUGGCACUGGGUUCUAGGUUAAUAGGUUAGUCCCAAAAAAUCAUAUAAAAUAGCAUAUAAAUGCAUAUGAAACAUCCAAGGUUGAUAAUAUAAUAGCAUGGAACAAUCAAAAAUUAUAGAUACGUUGGAGACGUGUCAACGCCGCGUGGGUCGGGCAUCGUGAGCUUACGGUAGGCAUAAUGUGGUACCGCGUUGAAUUGAGCGAACGCGGUUCGUCUGAGUAGUGCCUGAUAAUCACUGCGAAAGGGGACGAUGUCGAAGAUUAACUCUUCGGCACGGUAAUUGUCUGGUGAUCCGGAGACUACUUCAAGGGCGAAGGAGCCUGUACAGCUGGCCUCCAUACCUGGUAUGAUACCUCUGAAGGUGGUUUUAGUGGGAUUGAUCACCGAAUGAUCGAUGACCAUCUUGCGCACUGUGUCCUAGUAAAGUAGGUUUAGACUGCUCCCUCCGUCCAUAAGGACUCGCGUGAGGUGGAACCCGUCAAUUAUUGGGUCGAGGACUAGUGCGGCUGGAUUGCCCUGAUUGGUGUUAACCGGACGAUCCGUGCGGUUGAAGGUGAUCGGCCCUAGUUUAUAUUGUGGGACGACUGGUUCCGUUAAGUCGACAUCCCUAAGGGUGUGCGUCCGGUCCGGGUUGGGAGUGUAGGUGCCGUUUACUACGUUCACCGUUUGGAUUUGCGGGGGAAAUUUCUUUUGCCCUCCUGUACUCGAUGAUCUGGGCUCCUCGUCGCCAUCGUCGCUUUGAGACCCCUUAUCUUUGUUUUUGGCACCUGACCUGCCGGCUUGUUUGAAGAUCCAGCAUUCUCUGUUGGUAUGAUUGGCUGGUGUUCAUGCGGUGCCAUGAAUUUGGCAUGGGCGGUUGAGUAUGCGGUACAGGCUGGACGGACCCGAAUUUGGCAUGGGAGGGGAAAGCCAGGGUUCGUCCCGUUCGGGUUCGACCCGACCGAGCCACAAACAACGACCGAGCUGGGUGGGCCCGAGUCAGUGGCGUGGCGCGCGCGGGUAUGCCACCAUGUCACCUGACACGUGGGCCCGCUCGGUUAGAUUCAUGGUCAAUACGUGCUUAUACGGCUGUCAAACCGUUUUGCAACACUUAGGCUUAGAGCUGGUACUGAAUUGCAAAAAUUGUGUCUAAUGGUACUGAUUCGUUACGACGUGCCGAAGUGUAGUAGUUUCUUGCAAUUAACUCAAACUCUACGGUUAUAUCACCUCGAUGUGUGAGUCAAUGUGUUUGAACCAAUCAAGAGUUGCAUGUGAAUGUUUCAAGUGUGAUUAAUAGGUCCGUGUUAUAACAGCCACACCUUGCGAAAGAAGAUAGCAAACACCCAAUCAUGUCUAGUAGUUCGAUAUGGGCGCAACUAUGGGUAGCUUAUAGCGACACGGAAGCCAGCGUUUCCUAAAGAAACUCUCGGUUGGGCCGCCCUAGAGACAAAUUAUUUUUCUCUCAUUUUUUCUUAAUAUUAUUUAUUUCUAUUUUAAAAAAUAAAAGUAAAUAUAUUCCACAAACAAAUACUGAAAUUCUGAAAAAAUGUUGGUCCAUUGUUAAAAAAAUAUUGAUAGCAUUAAACAAAUCAUGGUAACAAAAUAAUCUACACAUAUUUAAAAAAUUGUACGUGAAAUUAUAAUGAAUGUUAAAUUUGUUUAAAAAUGUUCCUAAUGUAAUGUACAACAUGAAACAAAUUAUACAUCAAAACAUAUAUUUGAAAAUUGUUAAUUGUUUAUUUGAAAAAUGUUAAAUGUGUAUAGAAAAAAAGGUUCCUGAUAUAUAAGACAAAUGCAUGAAGUACAUGCAAUUUUUUUUACAUCCAAAGAUAUAUUUUAAAAAUAUUAAUCAUGUAUUUUAAAACUGUUAAAUGUUUAUAGAGAAAAAAUGCUCCUGAUGCAUACGAAACAAUUUCCAAUGUGUAUGAAAAAAUUAGACAUGAAAUAAGUAUUUUAAAAAAAAAUUAAUGAUUCUAUUUAAAAAUAUUUCUCAUGUAGAUGGAAAGAAAACUCGACUUAAAAAAGACUCAAAAAGAAAAAGAACGUACAGAGAGCAAAUUAGAAACAACUGAGUGAACUAGCGAUAUGCGAGAACACGUUAAUGGUCCAGCCCAUACAUGAGGACUCCAGAGGUGAGCCUGAAUAGGUGUGAUAUAGCUAUGACGAUUUGACACCCUUCAUAGCUUCACGAAUGCUAUAUCUCGCGCAAAGCGAGAUUAGCAUUUGCCACGCCUGAAGGUGCAAGAAUAGCAUCAGGUCGUUGUAAGGUUUGCAAUCCUACCAUCAGAGCUUCUAUCCGAUUUAAAUCAUGUUUCUGGCAACCUUGGGUCAUUCGCUCGCGCUCAAGCCAUUCGCUCACAGGUUCCACACACUAGUUUGGUUACUUUUUUUUCUUAUUUUCUUUCUUCACCGGUUUUCUUUCAUUUUUUGAAAAAAAAAAUUCAUCGGUUUUCUUUGUGUCUUUCAUGUUUUACUCUUGUUUUCCUUUUUUACUCGUUUAUCUAUCCUUUUUUUUCUUUGUUUCUUUCUCAGUGUUCUUUGUUUAGGGUUUAGGGAUUUCUUUGUUUUCCUUUCUUUUAAUGUCAACCUUUUGACAUAUAUUUUUUGUAUAUAUCAAAAAUAUUUUUGAUAGAGAGGUUUAACAGUUUUCAAAUACAUGAUUACCCUUUUUAAAGUUAUAUUUUUUGACAUCUACUUGUUCCAUAAACAUAGUGAUGGGGUUAUACAUAAGGGAUGGGCCCAAGUACACAUAUGUCCCAGCCAAAGGCCCAGGGUAUUCAAGGAUACGGUCCCAAAGACAAUGGGGCAUUGGAGAUACAAGCCCAAGGCAUCAGAUACAAGGGGAAUACUCGCUAAGGAGUCAAGUGUCUAUAGUCGGAUUACACACCCCCUGACAGACAAGACUCAAUAGUCGGUCAUGAGAAAGAUAUGAGCAGUAAGAUCAUCUACAGUCGGACAUCAGCAAGAUAGGAGCAGUCGGACCAUCUACAGUCGGCUACGUCCUAGGAUGAUGUGACCCUCAUGAUGCAUUCAUCGCCGUUACAUAACUGACUAGUUAAAUACGCCAGUUAGUAUUAAUAAUAGCCACGAACAGUCGAUCAUGCAUGUGACCAUCAAUAGUAUUUACACCAGCCUGUUAUGGCACUCCCUCCUAGCGCACUCCAUAUAAGACAAGAGUAGGACAUCACACGGAGGGUUGAACUCUCUCACAUUGUAACCUACGCCAAGAGCGAGAUCACACAGGAGUAGGGCGUUACCAACACCAUAGAGGGCCCAAACCUAUAUAAUUCCUUGUGUUUAAUCCCAUCUGCUUUACAUACCAAUUAGCUUAUAAUUGCCUCUACAUUCACAUCACCAUAGUAUUGUCAUGGUUAUAUCCAUGACAAGAACUAAUUUUUUUUACAUUAUAUAUAAAAAAAUAAUAUUUUUAGAUGCAUGGUUUCUUCCAUACACAUUAUACAUGUUUGUAUACAUAUCAGGACCAUUUAUAUAUACACAUUAAAAAAACUAAUUACAUGAUUACUUUUUUUAAAAUGUAUACUUUUAUGUCUAAUAUUUUCAUACAUACUGUACAUUUUUUGUACAUCAGGAACCUUUUUAUAUUUACAUUUAACAUUUUCAAAUACAUAAUUAAUAUUUUUUACACAUAUAUUUUUAUAUCUACUUUUCCCUUAAACAUUAUACAUUUUUUUAUACAUCAGGAACAUUUUUUAUAUACCAAUUCAACAGUUUUGAAAUACAUGAUUAACAUGUCUCAUAUAUAUGUUUGUGUCUAUUUUUUCAUACAAAAUAUACAGUUUUUUAUUAAUUAGAAACAUGUUUCUGUACAUGUUUAAUAUUUUCUUAUAAUGCGCAAUUAACAUUUUCAACUUUUCUGUAUAAAGUGAAUUUUACAAUAGAUAUAUUCAGAAUAUUUCAUAAAAAAGGCAAAGUAAAAAAACAAAAAAAAUGCAAAUAUGUGUAAAAGGAAGGAAGAAACCGUAGAAGGCAUGUGUAGGCGCUGUGGCGGCCCAAUAGGUCUGCUGCACAUCCUACUAUCUUGUGUCAAUCGAGACAUAGGCUUGCCCUCUUAAGGAGCAACUAACCAACGGUUACCCCUUGGCGAGCUCCUGCAAGGGUCAUUGUUGUGGUAUGAGAGCACGCCAAGUGGUCCGUCCAACUGCUGUCACAUGUCGUGUGUUAGGUGCUUCCUGUGGAUUUCAUUUUCAUUUUUUAUUUUUUGUACGCGUUUUCGGGUUUCUGAUUGUCUUUUCAAUGGGUUUUGGAUUUCUGCUUUUUCCAUGGUUUUCUCUAGAUCAUGAAAGAAAAAUAUCUUUUUAUUUUCUUAUGAAGCACAACCCUGCUUCUAAAAAAACAAUUUUAUGCUUUCACGAGAAGCACAAUUUUUGUUUCUCAUGUAAUCACAAAAUUGCUUGCAGCAGGCGCACCACAUGUGCUUCCAUGAUUAGCAUAGCUAUGCUUCCACGCGAAUCAAAUAUGUGCUUAUGCUACAAGCACAACCUAUGCUUCCAUAUGCUUCUCGAAAAGAGAAAAGGCACACCCUGUGUUUUCACGAGAAGUACAUUUGUGCAUCCCUGAGAACUGUAGCCUUGCUUCCGUGAGAAGCACAGUCUAUCUAUUACCUAAUAUUAAAAGAUAGAAGAUCUCAUAGUUCUCCAUCAGUCACCUCUUCAUAAACCGUUGGUUUUGUGUUAAUCUUAUAGAUUGACGGCCGAGAUUUAAAAAUAGAUUUGCACAGGAAAAAAAAGAUCCGCAUUGACGAUCCAUCGUAGGUAUCCAUCCAUCCAACUUUCUUUGUUCUGCCCACAUCACGCUUGGUAAAAAAAGAAAAAAAAUCAGAAACCCAUCGAUGCACGAUUGAGUAAGCCGGGAUAAAAAACAGCUCAAUAAAAUAUGGCCAGCCACGCGCGAUCUUAGGAGAAAAAUUGUUUGCCACAUGAUCUAUCUCCUAGCUACGCCGAUCCUCAACGGCGAUCAUGCCAAGAUGUUCGCCAGGAUCCGCAACUCCGUCGACCACUCGGGUGACAUGCCACAGCGACACAACAGGGCAGCAGCGAGUGACAUGGCCGGCUUGCCGGGCCGCGCGCUCUCCGGCUCCAGGUGCGCGCGGCACACCAGACAUGACGCACAUCCAGGUAGUAAUGCAACUGCCCUCGAAGAAGUGAUGCCGGCAUUACACGCACCGCGUUGAGGUUCUGCAGCCACACACUCCACCGACGUUGCCCUCGCCUUGCAGCCGCUCUUCCUCUUACAACUGGUGCUCCUGCAGCCAGUGGCGGAGACAGGGGGGACCAGCAGGGCCCUGGCCCCCCCUAACAGCAGAGAUAUAGUGCUAAUUUGCAGAUGAAUAGUGCUAAAAUUAGUGAUUAAUUUCUGUCAAAUGCAUGUUUUUCAUUGGCUUGGCCCUCCCUAAGCAGUUUUAACAUCAUUCGGCCUGGUUGAUACAAUUUUCCUGGCUCCGCCAUUGCCUCCAACUGCCCCAGCUACCCUGGGGCUGGGGCGACGAUGUCGGCGCCUCGCGCGCUCUGUAGGUGAAGGUGGGGAGCGCGGGGAUGUCCUUGAUGCUCGGCCUGAGGUGGGUUGCCAGAGGCGGGUCGUCGCCGGUGCGGUGGAGCUUGCGCCACUCAGACAAGAGCGACCGGCCAUAGCGGACGGCCACGUACAAUACGACACUGACAAGGACAAUGAUGAUGAUGUACAACAGCAUCAGGAAGGAGAACAACAUGCUCGUCCUUAGGGGACAUGCGCCGACGCGUCCGGCACUCCGACGCAAUGGUGGUGUAUGCGCCGGUCAACAUGCAGUCCAUGCACACGUCGUCAUGGGCGGUGGCGACUCGGCCUACAUCUCCCUCCUGCCCUAUCGGUUCGCCAUUCUCCCGAGCGUCCACAACGCACACUCGCCGGUGGCCGCCACUCUAGAAGUCGAGUCUAGACCGUUCGCCCCAGGGAUCGUAGCUCAGCGCUCAUGGAGCCCUGCUCCAGUGCUCCCCCUAACCUAAUUUUGAAGGAGUAUUUUUGUCCCCGCAAAUUUGUUUUUUUUCUGGCCCGCCGCCGCCCAGAUCCAAGCCCUGUCUAGUCCUGUAUAACCCAGAACGUAUACGUACAGUACCCUGGUUCGAAAAAAAAAACAUCACACGACCCCACGUCCACGUAAGACCUGCCGAAUCCAAUCAUUCACACGAGCAGCUCCAUCAAUCUUGCGAGCAUUGACGCAGCUCCAUAAGUCACGUAGUAGAUCUCCAGCGGCGGCUAUCUCGUCGCCGGCGAUCUCGUCGGACAGCGGGCGCGACAACGUCGUGAAUCUCUAACGAGCGCGCACAGGUACCGCAUCCCGCGUCCCCCCUCUAGUCUCGCUCGCGGCAACAUCGAACGAACUGCCGCCGCCAGUGGUAGUGGUUAACCUAGCGGGGCGGGUAACCUAGCUACCUGGCGGCGCAUGUGAUCGUGGAUCUUGUUCCGGUAGUGCUGCUCCUCGUGAUCUGGGUUCACGUAGCGUCGGUUGCCGUCGGCUGUGCGCACCACUGGUAUCGUUAUUUGAUGUGGCGGCUAACCUAGGUAUCCGACGGCAGAGGUAAUCACAGAUCAAGCUAGGUUUUGAGAUCGUGCAGUUCCUCGCGAUUGAAAGUGAUCGCGACGGGUGCCGUGGCCAUCUUCCUUACUAAGUUGGGCAGAUCUGAACGGCCUCGGUUGCGGUUGUUUACAUAACAUCCGUGAUCGUGUGCUAUGUGUUUUAUAUUUCAUCAUUGAUAAUGUUUGCACAUGUGAUGAUACAUAAUAUUGGUUGUAGGAAAUGGCGGACGAGGAGUUAACUGAUAUCAUGGUAGACAUGGAGUUUGGAGAACUGAUGAAAGACUGGAUAGAAGAUUGGUCAGAUGAUGAAAAUUCAGAUCGUGAAGAUCGGUCAGAGAAUGGGAACGAAUGGGACGAUCUUAUUGUGAGUGGCAUUGUCAUGUUGUAAUUUUUUGGUGGCAUCCGACAACAUUAAAUCUUUGUGUUGAAAAUUUAUAGAUCGAUGAGCUUGAUGAUGAUCAGGAAAACAACUCAGAGCUCUCGAAUGAAGAUUACAUUAGUCAGGUACGUAAGUGAAAAAGAUUGUUGGCAUGCAAAUUGAAUUUCUUCUGGAAUAUUAUAUGAUAAGUAAUUAUGUAUUUGUGUUGUAUUUUUCAGUUCAUUCUCGAAUGUCAUAAUGCGUAUGACUAUUACGGUGAAUCCGACGCGGAGACAGGCCUUAACAACGAAUCAUUAGAUGCACCUGGUUCUGGGGAGUCCGAGUCGUCGGUCAUCAUGAGUGAGGUAUGUGUGUAAUCAAUGUUCUAUGGAAGUAAGUAAUGUUAAACCUUAGAAAUAUGUUUUCAUGGUUGUGGUUUGAUUGUGUAGGUGACACAAAAUGAUGGGGCAAAGAAUGUCCAAGAUACUGCCAGUGCAGAUGAUAAGAGGGAUAUGUUCAUGCAGAUAAUGGAAAUGACCUUUAUGUCUCACGAUGCUGCGUAUGAUUUCUACAACAGCUAUGCUAGAGAUAAUGGUUUCAGCAUUAGAAAGAAUAAGGUCAGGUAUAGCAAAACAGAGUCACGUCAUAUGCGUUAUAGGCGGUUUGUUUGUUCAAGACAAGGGAAACGUGACAGCAAGUUGCUAACCGAGGAAGGACACAGCCGUAGGCUCAGAGCCGAGACACGCUGCUUUUGCGAAGCGCACCUGACCGUCAAGCUUGACCAAAAGCAUGGGGUUUGGUAUGUUGAAAGUUUUGAGGACAAGCAUAGCCAUAUGUUGGCAGGACCGGACGAGGUACCUUUUCUUUGGUCCCACAGAAAAAUCAAAGAGUACCAGAAGCAUGAGAUAAUGUCCACGGCUCGGAGAGCUCGGGAAUCCGGACAUAGUUGGUCCUCAAGAUAGAGGAAAGGUCGCGACAUUGUUCCUCCACCACUGCAAUAUGAUGGGUGACCGGUGGAGAGUUAAUCUCCCUUUGAUCGGGUUUAAGCCCAAUCCGAUCAUAGUCCGUAGCGACUCCCAAGGCGGCGAUGCGAUCCAAGAGCUCGUUUAAGGGGGCGAGCUCCAUUGGAUCCAUCUGUUCGGCGAGUGCCGAUUUGACGUGGAGGCUGUUUUCGAUGACCCGAGAAGUCAUCAUCGGCUCGGCGGCCGAACAUGCGGUCAUGAUGAAACCGCCUAGCCGGAGAGUUUGGCCGACAACCAAAGCUCCCCCAACAGUAGUACCGUCUUUAAAGACGAGACGAGACAUUCUUCCUUCUGGCAACGACACAGAGGAACUCUCAAUGAAAGCUUCAAUGUCGGUGUCAAAACCAGCGGAUCUCGGGUAGGGGGUCCCGAACUAUGCGUCUAAGGCGGAUGGUAACAGGAGGCAGGGAACACGAUGUUUUACCUAGGUUCGGGCCCUCUUGAUGGAGGUAAAGCCCUAUGUCCUGCUUGAUUAAUAUUGAUGAUAUGGGUAGUACAAGAGUAGAUCUACCAGGAGAUCAGAGAGGCUAAACCCUAGAAGCUAGCCUAUGGUAUGAUUGUAUGUUGUCCUACGGACUAAAACCCUCCGGUUUAUAUAGACACCGGAGGGGGCUAGGGUUACACAAGGUCGGUUACAAAGGAGAAGAUGUACAUAUCCGUAUUGCCUAGCUUGCCUUCCACGCCAAGUAGAGUCCCAUCCGGACACGAGACGAAGUCUUCAAUCUUGUAUCUUCAUAGUCCAACAGUCCGGUCAAAGGAUAUAAUCCGGCUGUCCGGAGCCCCUAAUUCAGGACUCCCUCAGGCCCCCUGUUGCUCCACCGACGUACUCCUUCCUCCUAUAUAUACCUAUGUACCCCCAAAUGAUCAGAUACGGAGCCAAAACCCUAAUUCCACCGUCGUAACUUUCUGUAUCCACCGCCGGAGGGGGCAUCGAUCAUGGAGGGCUUCUACAUCAACACCAUAACCUCUCCGAUGAAGUGUGAGUAGUUUACCUCAGACCUACGGGUCCAUAGUUAGUACCUAGAUGGCUUCUUCUCUCUUUUUGGAUAUCAAUACAAUGUUCUCCCCCUCUCUUGUGGAGAUCUAUUCGAUGUAAUCUUCUUUUUGCGGUGUGUUUGUUGAGACCGAUGAAUUGUGGGUUUAUGAUCAAGUCUAUCUAUGAAUAAUAUUUGAAUCUUCUCUGAAUUCUUUUAUGUAUGAUUGGUUAUCUUUGCAAGUCUCUUCGAAUUAUCAGUUUGGUUUGUCCUACUAGAUUGAUCUUUCUUGCAAUGGGAGAAGUGCUUAGCUUUGGGUUCAAUCUUGCGAAGUCCUUUCCCGGUGACAGUAGGUGCAGCAAGGCACGUAUUGUAUUGUUGCCAUCGAGGAUAACAAGAUGGGGUUUUCUUCAUAUUGCAUGAGUCUAUCCCUCUACAUCAUGUCAACUUGCUUAAGGCGUCACUCUAUUUUUAACUUAAUACUCUAGAUGCAUGCUGGAUAGCGGUCCAAGAGUGGAGUAAUAGUAGUAGAUGCAGGCAGGAGUCGGUCUACUUGUCUCGGAUGUGAUGCAUAUAUACAUGAUCAUACCUAGAUAUUCUCAUAACUAUGCUCAAUUCUGUCAAUUGCUCAACAGUAAUUUGUUCACCCACCGUAGAAUACUUAUGCUCCCGAGAGAAGCCACUAGUGAAACCUAUGGCCCCCGGGUCUAUCUUUAUCAUAUUAAUCUCCUACCACUUAGUUAUUUCCUUUGCUAUUUACUUUGCCUUUAUUUUACUUUGCAUCUUUAUCAUAAAAAUACCAAAAAUAUUAUCUUUAUCAUAUCUAUCAUAUCUCACUCUCGUAAGUGGCCUUAUAGGGAUUGACAACCCCUAUUUGCGUUGGUUGCGAGGAUUUAUUUGUUUUGUGCAGGUACGAGGGACUCGCGUGCAGCCUCCUACUGGAUUGAUACCUUGGUUCUCAAAAACUGAGGGAAAUACUUACGCUACUUUGUUGCAUCAUCACUUCCUCUUCGGGGAAAACCAACACAGUGCUCAAGAGGUAGCAAGAAGGAUUUCUGGCGCCGUUGCCGGGGAGGUCUACGCAAAAGUCAACAUACCAAGUACCCAUCACAUACCCUUAUCUCCCGCAUUACAUUAUUUGCCAUUUGCCUCUCGUUUUCCUCUCACCCACUUCACCCUUGCUGUUUUAUUCGCCCUCUCUCUCUCUAUCCUCCCUCUCUUUCUCUAUUUGCCUCUUUUUGCCCGCUUGCUUUUUGUUUGCUUGUGUGUUAGUUUGUUUGCUUGUCGUUAUGGCUAGUCCCUUACCUUCUCCGUUGUCUCCCAAGAAUGAAAUUUUAAAUUUUAAGCAAAGGGAGGGAGAAAAUCUAAAAGAUGCUUCGUAUAGAAUUUGCAAUGCUCAAAAUAGAUCAACUAGGAAGCAAUCUACUUCCGUUCUUCUUUGCAAUUUUUAUGUAGGCAUUACUCCUUGGCACCGUUAUGUUCUUGAUACUAUUACCGGAGGGAACUUUUUGGGUAGCCAUACUUUUGAUUCUUAAAAUGCUAUGUUAGAUUUAUUUGUUUCACCCCCUCUCUUGGUUAAUGGAACUAUAUUAACUUUGGAGCAUGUAAUGCAACGGCUUGAAAUUAUUGAAAAUAAGGUUGCUACCAUAGAAUUAAUUGAAAAUUUGGAUAUGGAUCUAAAGUAGGAGUUACUUUGAAAGAUAUUAAAGAAAAGGAACCCAUAGUUAAUGAGAAAAUAAAUCAUGAUUCCACUAGGAUCGAUAAACUUGAAGGUAUUAUUACCAACUUGGGAACCGCUUUUUCUUCUGUAAAGAAUACUCCAAGUCCUCCCAGUAAAAUUACCAAGCUUAUGUAUGUUCCUAAAAAUAAGGGUGAAUCCUCUAGUAAGGAAAAUGCGGAUCUCAAAUCUAGAAGUAUUCAUCCCAAUCUUUUUACUAUCAUUAAGGAACCAUUUGUUACAAAUGAGUUUUUUGAUGUUGUGCCUAAAAGUUUGAUAAUUAAUAAAAAGAAAGAAAUUCCUAAAGAUGGUAGAUGCCUCAUUGAAUAAUUACCUACCAAAGAUGGCAAUACUUAGAUCUAUCCCUGCUUGUUAUGCCUAGCUAGGGGCGUUAAACGAUAGCGCUUGUUGGGAGGCAACCCAAUUUUAUUUUUAUUCCUUGAGUUUUGCUCCUGUUUAGUAAUAGAUAAUUAUCUAGCCUCUGUUAUGAUUGUGUUUUUUGUGUUUAAAUUAGUGUUUGUGCCAAGUAGAACCGUUGGGAAGACUUGGGGAAAGUCUUGUUGAAUUUGCUGUAAAAACAGAAACUUUAGCGCUCACAAGAACUGCUGUCAUUUUUAUUUGAAAAGUGAUAUUUAGUUCAUUCUUUUUGCAUAUGAUUAAUAUAUAAAUUCCUCACGUCCAGAAAAUUAUUUUAGAAUUUUUGGGGUUCCAUAUCUUGCGCUAGCUACAGAUUACUACAGACUGUUCUGUUUUUGACAGAUUCUGUUUUUCGUGUGUUGUUUGCUUAUUUUGAUGAAUCUAUGGCUAGUAAAAUGGUUUAUAAACCAUAGAUAAGUUGGAAUACAGUAGGUAUAACACAAAUAUAAAUAAAUAAUGAGUUCAUUACAGUACUUUGAAGUGGUCUUUUAUUUUCUUUCGCUAACGGAGCUCACGAGAUUCUCUACUUUAAGUUUUGUGUUGUGAAGUUUUCAAGUUUUGGGUAAAGAUUUGAUGGAUUAUGGAACAAGGAGUGGCAAGAGCCUAAGCUUGGGGAUGACCAUGGCACCCCCAAGAUAAUCUAAGGACACCUAAAAGCCAAAGCUUGGGGAUGCCCCGGAAGGCAUCCCCUCUUUCGUCUACUUCUAUCGGUAACUUUACUUGGAGCUAUAUUUUUAUUCGCCACAUGAUAUGUGUUUUGCUUGGAGCGUCUUGUAUGAUUUGAGUCUUUUCUUGUUAAUUUACCACAAUCAUCCUUGCUGUACACACCUUUUGAGAGAGCCAUACAUUAUUUGGAAUUUCUUAGAAUACUCUAUGUGCUUCGCUUAUAUCUUUUGAGUUAUAUAAUUUUGCUCUAGUACUUCGCUUAUAUCUUUUAGAGCACGGUGGUGGAUUUGUUUUAUAUAAACUAUUGAUCUCUCAUGCUUCACUUAGAUCAUUUUUGAGAGUCUUAAUAGCAUGUUAAUUUGCUUAAAAUCCUAAUAUGCUAGGUAUUCAAAGUUAGUAAAAUUUCCUUAAGAGUGUUUUGAAUACUAAAGUUUGAUGCUUGAUGAUUGUUUUGAGAUAUGGAGAUAAUAAUAUCAAAGUCGUGCUAGUUGAGUAGUUGUGAAAUUGAGAAAUACUUGUGUUGAAGUUUGCAAGUCCCGUAGCAUGCACGUAUGGUAAACGUUAUGGAACAAAUUUGAAAGAUGAGGUGUUAUUUGAUUGUCUUCCUUAUGAGUGGCGGUCGGGGACGAGCGAUGGUCUUUUCCUACCAAUCUAUCCCCCUAGGAGCAUGCGCGUAGUACCGAGGUUUUUGAUGACUUGUAGAUUUUUGCAAUAAGUAUGUGAGUUCUUUAUGACUAAUGUUGAGUCCAUGGAUUAUACGCACUCUCACCCUUCCAUCCUUGCUUGCCUCUUCGGUACCGUGCAUUGCCCUUUCUCACAUUGAGAGUUGGCGCAAAGUUCGCCGGUGCAUCCAAACCCCGUGAUAUGAUACGCUCUUUCACACAUAAACCUCCUUAUAUCUUCCUCAAAACAGCCACCAUACCUACCUAUUAUGGCAUUUCCAUAGCCAUUCCGAGAUAUAUUGCCAUGCAACUUUCCAUCAUCCCGUUCAUCAUCACACAUUCAUUAUUGUCAUAUUGCUUAGCAUGAUCAUGUAGUUGAUAUAGUAUUUGUGGCAAACCCACCGUUCAUAAUUCUUUCAUACAUGUCACUCUUGGUCCAUUGCAUAUCCCGGUACACCGCCGGAGGCAUUCAUAUAGAGUCAUAUUUUGUUCUAAGUAUCGAGUUGUAAUUGUUCAGUUGUAAGAAAAAUGAAAGUGUGAUGAUCAUCAUUAUUAGAGCAUUGUCCCAGUGAGGAAAGGAUGAUGGAGACUAUGAUUUCCCCACAAGUCGGGAUGAGACUCCGGACGAAAAAAAAAGAAAAAAAGAGGCCAUAAAAAAAGAGAAAAGGCCCAAAUAAAAAAAGAGAGAGAAAAAGAGAGAAGGGACAAUGUUACUAUCCUUUUACCACACUUGUGCUUCAAAGUAGCACUAUGAUCUUCAUAGUAGAGAGUCUCUCAUGUUAUCACUUUCAUAUACUAGUGGGAAUUUUUCAUUAUAGAACCUGGCUUGUAUAUUCCAAUGAUGGGCUUCCUCAAGUGCCCUAGGUCUUCGUGAUCAAGCAAGUUGGAUGCACACCCACUAGUUUCUUUUGUUGAGCUUUCAUACAUUUAUAGCUCUAGUGCAUCCAUUGCAUGGCAAUCCCUACUUCUUGCAUUAACAUCAAUCGGUGGGCAUCUCCAUAGCCCAUUGAUUAGCCUCGUUGAUGUGAGACUUUCUCCUUUUUUGUCUUCUCCACAUAACCCCCCUCAUUAUAUUCUAUUCCACCCAUAGUGCUAUGUCCAUGGCUCGCGCUCAUAUAUUGCGUGAAAGUUUAUAGGUUUGAGAUUACUAAAGUAUGAAACAAUUGCUUGGCUUGUCAUCGGGGUUGUGUAUGAUGAGAGCAUUCUUGUGUGACGAAAAUGAAACCUGACUAAACCAUAUGAUUUUGUAGGGAUGAACUUUCUUUGGCCAUGUUAUUUUGAGAAAACAUAAUUGUUUAGUUAGUAUGCUUGAAGUAUUAUUAUUUUUAUGUCAAUAUGAACUUUUGUCUUGAAUCUUUCGAAUCUAAAUAUUCAUACCACAAUUAAGAAGAAUUACAUUAAAAUUGUGCCAAGUAGCACUCCGCAUCAAAAAUUCCGUUUUUUUCAUUUACCUACUCAAGGACGAGCAGGAAUUAAGCUUGGGGAUGCUUGAUACGUCUCCAACGUAUCUACAAUUUUUGAUUGCCCCAUGCUAUAUUAUCUACUGUUUUGGACAUUACUAGGCUUUAUUAUCCACUUUUAUAUUAUUUUUGGGACUAACCUAUUAACCGGAGGCCCAGCCCAGAAUUGUUGUUUUUUUGCCUGUUUUAGGGUUUCGAAGAAAAGGAAUAUCAAACGGAGUCCAAACGGAAUGAAACCUUCGGGAACGUGAUUUUUAGGAAGAUUAUGAUCCGGGAGACUUGGACCCUAUGUCAAGAAAAGAAACAGGAGGCCACGAGGUAGGGGGCGCGCCCCCCCCCCCCCCCCCAGGCACACCCUCCACCCUCGUGGGCCCCCUGUUUCUCCACCGACGUACUCCUUCCUCCUAUAUAUACCUAUGUACCCCCAAACGACCAGAUACGGAGCAAAAACCCUAAUUCCACUUCCGUAACUUUCUGUAUCCACGAGAUCCCAUCUUGGGGCCUGUUCCGGAGCUCCGCCGGAGGGGGCAUCGAUCACGGAGGGCUUCUACAUCAACACCAUAGCCUCCCCAAUGAAGUGUGAGUAGUUUACCUCAGACCUAUGGGUCCAUAGUUAGUACUUAGAUGGCUUCUCCUCUCUUUUUGGAUCUCAAUACAAUGUUCUCCCCCUCUCUUCUGGAGAUCUAUUCGAUGUAAUCUUCUUUUUGCGGUGUGUUUGUUGAGAUCGAUGAAUUGUGGGUUUAUGAUCAAGUCUAUCUAUGAAUAAUAUUUGAAUCUUCUCUGAAUUCUUAUGUAUGAUUGGUUAUCUUUGCAAGUAUCUUCGAAUUAUCAGUUUGGUUUGGCCUACUAGAUUGAUCUUUCUUGCAAUGGGAGAAGUGCUUAGCUUUGGGUUCAAUCUUGUGGUGUCCUUUCCCAGUGAGAGUAGGGGCAGCAAGGCACGUAUUGUAUUGUUGCCAUCGAGGAUAACAAGAUGGGGUUUUCUUCAUAUUGCAUGAGUCUAUCCCUCUACAUCAUGUCAUCUUGCUUAAGGCGUUACUCUGUUUUUAACUUAAUACUCUCGAUGCAUGCUGGAUAGCGGUCGAUGAGUGGAGUAAUAGUAGUAGAUGCAGGCAGGAGUCGGUCUACUUGUCCCGGACGUGAUGCCUAUAUACAUGAUCAUACCUAGAUAUUCUCAUAACUAUGCUCAAUUCUGUCAAUUGCUCAACAGUAAUUAGUUCAACCACCGUAGAAUACUUAUGCUCUUGAGAGAAGCCACUAGUGAAACCUAUGGCCCCCGGGUCUAUCUUUAUCAUAUUAAUCUCCUACUACUUAGUUAUUUCCUCUGCUAUUUACUUUGCCUUUAUUUUACUUUGCAUGUUUAUCAUAAAAAUACCAAAAAUAUCAUCUUUAUCAUAUUUAUCAGAUCUCACUCUCGUAAGUGGCCUUAUAGGGAUUGACAACCCCUGUUUGUGUUGGUUGCGAGGAUUUAUUUGUUUUGUGUAGGUACGAGGGACUCACGCAUAGCCUCCUACUGGAUUGAUACCUUGGUUCUCAAAAAAUGAGGGAAAUACUUACGCUACUUUGUUGCAUCAUCCCUUCCUCUUCGGGGAAAACCAACGCAGUGCUCAAGAGGUAGCAGAUAGGCAUCCAAGAUGGGUAUAAUAAAAACUAUCAUAAAAAGUGCAUUGAAUACUAUGAGAAGUGUGAUACUUGAUGAUUGUUUUGAGAUAUCAAGAUGGUGAUAUUAGAGUCAUGCUAGUUGAGUAAUUGUGAAUUUGAGAAAUACUUGUUCUAAAGUUUGUGAUUCCCCUAGCAUGGACAUAUGGUGAACCGUUAUGUGAUGAAGUCAGAGCAUGAUUUUUUAUUGAUUGUCUUCCUUAUGCGUGGCGGUCAGGGACGAGGCGAUGGUCUUUUCCUACCAAUCUACCCCCCUAGGAGCAUGCAAUGCACGUAGUACUUUGUUUCGAUAACUAAUAGAUUUUUGCAAUAAAUAUGUGAGUUCUUUAUGACUAAUGUUGAGUCCAUGGAUUAUACGCACUCUCACCCUUCCACCAUUGCUAGCCUCUCUAAUAUUGUGCACCUUUCGCUGGUAUCAUACAUCUACCAUAUACCUACCUCAAAACAGCCACCAUACCUACCUAUUAUGGAAUUUCCAUAGCCAUUCCGAGAUAUAUUGCCAUGCAACUUUCCACCGUUCCGUUUGUUAUGACACGCUUCAUCGUUGUCAUAUUUCUUUGCAUGAUCAUGUAGUUGACAUCGUAUUUGUGGCAAAGCCAUCUUUAUAAUUCUUUCAUACAUGUCUGUUGGGGAACGUUGCAGAAAACAAAAAUUUUCCUACAGUUUCACCAAGAUCCAUCUAUGAGUUCAUCUAGCAACGAGUGAUCGGAUAGCAUCUACAUACCUUUGUAGAUCACGCGCGGAAGCGUUCAAAGAAUGGGGAUGAGAAAUUCGUACUCGACGUGAUCCAAAUCACCGGAGAUCCUAGCGCCGAACGGACGGCACCUCCGCGUUCACGUACGGUCAGCGUGACGUCUCCUCCUUCUUGAUCCAGCAAGGGGGAAGGAGAGGUUGAGGAAGAUGGCUCCAGCAGCAGCACGACGGCGUGGUGGUGGUGGAGCAGCAGUACUCCGGCAGGGCUUCGCCAAGCUCGUGACGGAGGAGGAAAUGUGUUGGGGAGGGGAGGGGCUGUGCCUUGGAUGUCCUCUGCAGCCCUUCCCUCACCCCUCUAUUUAUAGGGGAAGGAGGAAGGGGGCCGGCCCCCUCUAGAUGAGAUCUAGAGGGGGGGCGGCGGCCAAGGGGAGGGGGGCUUGCCCCCCAAGCAAGGGGCGCACCCCCUUAGGGUUUCCCCCAACCCUAGGCGCAUGGGCCGUAGGGGGAGUGUGUUGGGUUUCGUUGUAAUUUCAAAAAAAUUCCUACGCACACGCAAGAUCAUGUGAUGCAUAGCAACGAGAGGAGAGUGUGAUCUACAUACCUAGUAGAUCGACAACGGAAGCGUUUGGUUGAUGUAGUCGUACGUCUUCACGAUCCAACCGAUCAAGCACCGAAACUACGUCACCUCCGAGUUCGAGCACACGUUCAGCUCGAUCACGAUCCCCGGACUCCGAUCCAGCAAAGUGUCGGGGAAGAGUUCCGUCAGCACGACGGCGUGGUGACGAUCUUGAUGCACUAUAGCAGCAGGGCUUGGCCUAAACUCCGCUACAGUAUUAUCGAGGACUAUGGUGGCUGGGGCGCCGCACACGGCUAAGGAAUAGAUCACGUGGAUCAACUUGUGUGUUUCUGGGGUGCCUCUGCCUCAGUAUAUAAAGGACCAAAGGGGGGAGGCUGGCCGGCCACAUAGGGCGCGCCAGGAGAGUCCUACUCCCUCUGGGAGUAGGAUCCCCCCCCCAAUCCUAGUUGGAAUAGGAUUCGCGGAGGGGGAAAAGAGAGAGGGGAGGCUGGCCACCUCUCCUUCUCCUAAUAGGACUAGGGGAGGGAGGGAGGCGCGCAUCCCAUCUUGGGCAGCCCCUUCUCUUUUCCGCCAAGGCCCACUAAGGCCCAUAUAGCUCGCGGGGGGUUCCGGUAACCUCCCGGUACUCCGGUAAAAUCCCGAUUUCACCCGGAACACUUCCGAUAUCCAAACAUAGGCUUCCAAUAUAUCAAUCUUUAUGUAUCGACCAUUUCGAGACUCCUCGUCAUGUUCGUGAUCACAUCCGGGACUCCGAACAACCUUCGGUACAUCAAAAUGCAUAAACUCAUAAUAUAAUUGUCAUCGUAACCUUAAGCGUGCGGACCCUACGGGUUCGAGAACAAUGUAGACAUGACCGAGACACAUCUCCAGUCAAUAACCAAUAGCGGGACCUGGAUGCCCAUAUUGGCUCCUACAUAUUCUACGAAGAUCUUUAUCGGUCAGACCGCAUAACAACAUACGUUGUUCCCUUUGUCAUCGGUAUGUUACUUGCCCGAGAUUCGAUCGUCGGUAUUCCAAUACCUAGUUCAAUCUCGUUACCGGCAAGUCUCUUUACUCGUUCUGUAAUACAUCAUUCCGCAACUAACUCAUUUAGUUGCAAUGCUUGCAAGGCUUAAGUGAUUUGCAUUACCGAGAGGGCCCAGAGAUACCUCUCCGACAAUCGGAGUGACAAAACCUAAUCUCGAAAUACGCCAACCCAACAUGUACCUUUGGAGACACCUGUAAUACUCCUUUAUAAUCACCCAGUAACGUUGUAACGUUUGGUAGUACCCAAAGUGUUCCUCCGGUAAACGGGAGUUGCAUAAUCUCAUAGUUAUAGGAACAUGUAUAAGUCAUGAAGAAAGCAAUAGCAACAUAUUAAACGAUCGGGUGCUAAGCUAAUGGAAUGGGUCAUGUCAAUCAGAUCAUUCUCUUAAUGAUGUGAUCCCUUUAAUCAAAUAACAACUCAUUGUUCAUGGUUAGGAAACAUAACCAUCUUUGAUUAACGAGCUAGUCAAGUAGAGGCAUACUAGUGACACUUUGUUUGUCUAUGUAUUCACACAUGUAUUAUGUUUCCGGUUAAUACAAUUCUAGCAUGAAUAAUAAACAUUUAUCAUGAUUAUAAGGAAAUAAAUAAUAACUUUAUUAUUGCCUCUAGGGCAUAUUUCCUUCAGUCUCCCACUUGCACUAGAGUCAAUAAUCUAGAUUACACUGUAAUGAUUCUAACACCCAUGGAGCCCUGGUGUUGAUCAUGUUUUGCUCGUGGAAGAGGCUUAGUCAACGGGUCUGCAACAUUCAGAUCCGUAUGUAUCUUGCAAAUUCUAUGUCUCCCACCUGGACUAGAUCCCGGAUGGAAUUGAAGCGUCUCUUGAUAUGCUUGGUUCUCUUGUGAAAUCUGGAUUCCUUUGCCAAGGCAAUUGCACCAGUAUUGUCACAAAAGAUUUUCAUUGGACCCGAUGCACUAGGUAUGACACCUAGAUCGGAUAUGGACUCCUUCAUCCAGACUCCUUCGUUCGCUGCUUCCGAAGCAGCUAUGUACUCCGCUUCACAUGUAGAUCCCGCUACGACGCUUUGUUUAGAACUGCACCAACUGACAGCUCCACUGUUCAAUGUAAACACAUAUCCGGUUUGCGAUUUAGAAUCGUCCGGAACAGUGUCAAAGCUUGCAUCAACGUAACCAUUUACGACGAGCUCUUUGUCACCUCCAUAUACGAGAAACAUAUCCUUAGUCCUUUUCAUGUAUUUUAGGAUGUUCUUGACGGCUGUCCAGUGAUCCACUCCUGGAUUACUUUGGUACCUCCCUGCUAGACUUAUAGCAAGGCACACAUCAGGUCUGGUACACAGCAUUGCAUACAUGAUAGAUCCUAUCGCUGAUGCAUAGGGAACAUCUUUCAUAUUCUCUCUAUCUUCUGCAGUGGUCGGGCAUUGAGUCUUACUCAAUUUCACACCUUGUAACACAGGCAAGAAUCCUUUCUUUGCUUGAUCCAUUUUGAACUUCUUCAAAAUUUUGUCAAGGUAUGUUGUUUGUGAAAGUCCAAUUAAGCGUCUUGACCUAUCUCUAUAGAUCUUUAUGCCUAAUAUGUAAGCAGCUUCACCGAGGUCUUUCAUUGAAAAACUCUUAUUCAAGUAUCCCUUUAUGCUAUCCAGAAAUUCUAUAUCAUUUCCAAUCAGUAAUAUGUCAUCCACAUAUAAUAUCAGAAAUGCUACAGAGCUCCCACUCACUUUCUUGUAAAUACAGGCUUCUUCGAAAGUCUGUAUAAAAUAAAAUGCUUUGAUCACACUAUCAAAGCAUUUAUUCCAACUCCGAGAGGCUUGCACCAGUCCAUAAAUGGAUCGCUGGAGCUUGCACACUUUGUUAGCUCCUUUUGGAUCGACAAAACCUUCUGGUUGCAUCAUAUACAACUCUUCUUCCAGAAAUCCAUUCAGGAAUGCAGUUUUGACAUCCAUUUGCCAAAUUUCAUAAUCAUAAAAUGCGGCAAUUGCUAACAUGAUUCGGACAGACUUAAGCAUCGCUACGGGUGAGAAGGUCUCAUCGUGGUCAACCCCUUGAACUUGUCGAAAACCUUUUGCGACAAGUCGAGCUUUGUAGACAGUAACAUUACCGUCAGCGUCAGUCUUCUUCUUGAAGAUCCAUUUAUUCUCAAUUGCUUACCGAUCAUCGGGCAAGUCAACCAAAGUCCAUACUUUGUUCUCAUACAUGGAUCCCAUCUCAGAUUUCAUGGCUUCAAGCCAUUUUGCGGAAUCUGGGCUCACCAUCGCUUCUUCCUAGUUCGCAGGUUCAUCAUGAUCUAGUAGCAUGACUUCCAGAACAGGAUUACCGUACCACUCUGGUGCGGAUCUUACUCUGGUUGAUCUAUGAGGUUCAGCAGUAUCUUGAUCUGAAGUUUCAUGAUCAUUAUCAUUAGCUUCCUCACUAACUGGUGUAGGUGUCACUGAAACAAUUUUCUGUGAUGUACUACUUUCCAAUAAGGGAGCAGGUACAGUUACCUCGUCAAGUUCUACUUUCCUCCCACUCACUUCUUUCGAGAGAAACUCCUUCUCUAGAAAGUUUCCGAAUUUAGCAACAAAAGUCUUGCCUUCGGAUCUGUGAUAGAAGGUGUGUCCAAUAGUUUCCUUUGGAUAUCCUAUGAAAACACAUUUCUCUGAUUUGGGUUCGAGCUUAUCAGGUUGAAGCUUUUUCACAUAAGCAUCGCAGCCCCAAACUUUCAGAAACGACAACUUUGGUUUCUUGCCAAACCACAGUUCAUAAGGCGUCGUCUCAACGGAUUUUGAUGGUGCCCUAUUUAAAGUGAAUGCGGCCGUCUCUAGAGCGUAUCCCCAAAAUGAUAGUGGUAAAUCAGUAAGAGACAUCAUAGAUCGCACCAUAUCUAGUAAAGUACGAUUACGACGUUCGGACACACCAUUACGCUGUGGUGUUCCGGGCGGCGUGAGUUGCGAAACUAUUCCACAAUUUUUCAAAUGUACACCAAACUCGUAACUCAAAUAUUCUCCUCCACGAUCAGAUCGUAGAAACUUUAUUUUCUUGUUACGAUGAUUUUCAACUUCACUCUGAAAUUCCUUGAACCUUUCAAAUGUUUCAGACUUAUGUUUCAUUAAGUAGAUAUACCCAUAUCUGCUUAAAUCAUCUCUGAAGGUGAGAAAAUAACGAUAUCCGCCACGAGCCUCAAUAUUCAUCGGACCACAUACAUCUGUAUGUAUGAUUUCCAACAAAUCUGUUGCUCUCUCCAUAGUACCGGAGAACGGUGUUUUGGUCAUCUUGCCCAUAAGGCACGGUUCGCAAGUACUAAGUGAUUCAUAAUCAAGUGGUUCCAAAAGUCCAUCAGAAUGGAGUUUCUUCAUGCGCUUUACACCGAUAUGACCUAAACGGCAGUGCCACAAAUAAGUUGCACUCUAAUUAUCAACUCUGCAUCUUUUGGCUUCAACAUUAUGAAUAUGUGUGUUACUACUAUCGAGAUUCAACAAGAAUAGACCACUCUUCAAGGGUGCAUGACCAUAAAAGAUAUUACUCAUAUAAAUAGAACAACCAUUAUUCUCUGAUUUAAAUGAAUAACCGUCUCGCAUCAAACAAGAUCCAGAUAUAAUGUUCAUGCUUAACGCUGGCACCAAAUAACAAUUAUUUAGGUCUAACACUAAUCCCGAAGGUAGAUGUAGAGGUAGUGUGCCGACUGCGAUCACAUCGACUUUGGAACCGUUUCCCACGCGCAUCGUCACCUCGUCCUUAACCAAUCUUCGCUUGAUCCGUAGUCCCUGUUUCGAGUUGCAAAUAUUAGCAACAGAACCAGUAUCAAAUACCCAGGUGCUACUGCAAGCAUUAGUAAGGUACACAUCAAUAACAUGUAUAUCACAUAUACCUUUGUUCACCUUGCCAUCCUUCUUAUCCACCAAAUACUUGGGGCUGUUCCGCUUCCAGUGACCAGUCUGCUUGCAAUAGAAACACUCAGUUUCAGGCUUAGGUCCAGGUUUGGGUUUCUUCUCUUGAGUAGCAACUUGCUUGCCGUUCUUUUUGAAGUUCCCCUUCUUCUUCCCUUUGCCCUUUUUAUUGAAACUAGUGGUCUUGUUGACCAUCAACACUUGAUGCUCCUUCUUGAUUUCUACCUCCGCGGCUUUCAGCAUCACGAAGAGCUCGGGAAUAGUCUUGUUCAUCCCUUGCAUAUUAUAGUUCAUCACGAAGCUCUUGUAGCUUGGUGGCAGUGAUUGAAGAAUUCUGUCAAUGACGCGAUCAUCUGGAAGAUUAACUCCCAAUUGAAUCAAGUGAUUAUUAUACCCAGACAUUUUGAGUAUAUGCUCACUGACAGAACUGUUCUCCUCCAUCUUGCAGCUAUAGAACUUAUUGGAGACUUCAUAUCUCUCAAUCCGGGCAUUUGCUUGAAAUAUUAACUUCAACUCCUGGAACAUCUCAUAUGCUCCAUGACGUUCAAAACAUCGUUGAAGUCCCGAUUCUAAGCCGUAAAGCAUGGCACACUGAACUAUCGAGUAGUCAUCAGCUUUGCUCUGCCAGACAUUCAUAACAUCCGGCGUUGCUCCUGCAGCAGGGCUGGCACCCAGCGGUGCUUCCAGGACGUAAUUCUUCUGUGCAGCAAUGAGGAUAAUCCUCAAGUUAUGGACCCAGUCCGUGUAAUUGCUACCAUCAUCUUUCAACUUUGCUUUCUCAAGGAACGCAUUAAAAUUCAACGGAACAACAGCACGAGCCAUCUAUCUACAAUCAAACAUAAACAAGAAAGAUACUAAUCAGGUACUAAGUUUCAUGAUAAAUUUAAGUUCAGUUAAUCAAAUUAAUUAAAGAACUCCCACUUAGAUAGACAUCCCUCUAAUCCUCUAAGUGAUUACGUGAUCCAAAUCAACUAAACCAUAACCGAUCAUCACGUGAGAUGGAGUAGUUUUCAAUGGUGAACAUCGUUAUGUUGAUCAUAUCUACUAUAUGAUUCACGCUCGACCUUUCGGUCUCCGUGUUCCGAGGCCAUAUCUGUAUAUGUUGGCUCGUCAAGUAUAACCUGAGUAUUCCGCGUGUGCAACUAUUUUGCACCCGUUGUAUUUGAACAUAGAACCUAUCACACCCGAUCAUCACGUGGUGUCUCAGCAUGAAGAACUUUCGCAACGGUGCAUACUCAGGGAGAACACUUCUUGAUAAUUUAGUGAGAGAUCAUCUUAUAAUGCUACCAUCAAUCAAAGCAAGAUAAGAUGCAUAAAAGGAUAAACAUCACAUGCAAUCAAUAUAAGUGAUAUGAUAUGAGCAUCAUCAUCUUGUGCUUGUGAUAUCCAUCUCCGAAGCACCGUCGUGAUCAGCAUCGUCACCGGCGUGACACCUUGAUCUCCAUCGUAGCAUCGUUGUCGUCUCGCCAAGCUUGUGCUUCUACGACUAUCGCUACCGCUUAGUGAUAAAAGCAAAGCAUUACAUCGCGAUUGCAUUCCAUACAAUAAAACGACAACCAUAAGGCUCCUGCCAGUUGCCGAUAACUCGGUUACAAAACAUGAUCAUCUCAUACAAUAAAAUUCAGCAUCAUGUCUUGACCAUAUCACAUCACAACAUGCCCUGCAAAAACAAGUUAGACGUCCUCUACUUUGUUGUUGCAAGUUUUACGUGGCUGCUAUGGGCUUAAGCAAGAACCAAUCUUACCUACGCAUCAAAACUACAACGAUAGUUUGUCAAUUUGACUCCGUUUUAACCUUCGCAAGGACCGGGCGUAGCCAUACUCGGUUCAACUAAAGUUGGAGAGACAGUCGCCCGCAAGCCACCUAUGUGCAAAGCACGUCGGGGGAACCGGUCUCGCGUAAGCGUACGCGUAAUGUUGGCCGGGUCGUCUCGUCCAACAAUGCCGCCGAACCAAAGUAUGACAUGCUGGUAGGCAGUAUGACUUAUAUCGCCCACAACUCACUUGUGUUCUACUCGUGCAUAUAACAUCAACAUAAAUAACCUAGGCUCGGAUGCCACUGUUGGGUUUCGUAGUAAUUUCAAAAAAAUUCCUAUGCACACGCAAGAUCAUGUGAUGCAUAGCAAUGAGAGGAGAGUGUGAUCUACAUACCUAGUAGAUCGACAACGGAAGCAUUUGGUUGAUGUAGUCGUACGUCUUCACGAUCCAACCGAUCAAGCACCGAAACUACGGCACCUCCGAGUUUGAGCACACGUUCAGCUCGAUGACGAUCUCCGGACUCUGAUCCAGCAAAGUGUCGGGGAAGAGUUCCGUCAGCACGACGGCAUGGUGACGAUCUUGAUGCACUACAGCAGCAGGGCUUCGCCUAAACUCCGCUACAGUAUUAUCGAGGACUAUGGUGGCUGGGGCGCCGCACACGGCUAAGGAAUAGAUCACGUGGAUCAACUUGUGUGUUUCUGGGGUGCCUCUGCCUCAGUAUAUAAAGCACCAAAGGGGGGAGGCUGGCCGGCCACAUAGGGCGCGCCAGGAGAGUCCUACUCCCUCUGGGAGUAGGAUUCCCCCCCCCCCCAAUCCUAGUUGGAAUAGGAUUCGCGGAGGGGGAAAAGAGAGAGGGGGGCCGGCCACCUCUCCUUCUCCUAAUAGGACUAGGGGAGGGAGGGAGGCGCGCAUCCCAUCUUGGGCAGCCCCUUCUCUUUUCCACUAAGGCCCACUAAGGCCCAUAUAGCUCUCGGGGGGUUCCGGUAACCUCCCGGUACUCCGGUAAAAUCCCGAUUUCACACGGAACACUUCCGAUAUCCAAACAUAGGCUUCCAAUAUAUCAAUCUUUAUGUCUCGACCAUUACUAGACUCCUCGUCAUGUCCGUGAUCACAUCCGGGACUCCGAACAACCUUCGGUACAUCAAAAUGCAUAAACUCAUAAUAUAACUGUCAUCAUAACCUUAAGCGUGCGGACCCUAUGGGUUCAAGAACAAUGUAGACAUGACCGAGACACGUCUCCGGUCAAUAACCAAUAGCGGGACCUGGAUGCCCAUAUUGGCUCCUACAUAUUCUACGAAGAUCUUUAUCGGUCAGACCGCAUAACAACAUACGUUGUUCCCUUUGUCAUCGGUAUGUUACUUGCCCGAGAUUCGAUCGUCGGUAUUCCAAUACCUAGUUCAAUCUUGUUACUGGCAAGUCUCUUUACUCGUUCUGUAAUACAUCAUUCCGCAACUAACUCAUUUAGUUGCAAUGCUUGCAAGGCUUAAGUGAUGUGCAUUACCGAGAGGGCCCAGAGAUACCUCUCCGACAAUCGGAGUGACAAAACCUAAUCUCGAAAUACGCCAACCCAACAUGUACCUUUAGAGACACCUGUAAUACUCCUUUAUAAUGACCCAGUAACGUUGUGACGUUUGGUAGUACCAAAAGUGUUCCUCCGGUAAACGGGAGUUCAUAAUCUCAUAUAGGAACAUGUAUAAGUCAUGAAGAAAGAAAUAGCAACAUACUAAACGAUCGGGUGCUAAGCUAAUGGAAUGGGUCAUGUCAAUCAGAUCAUUCUCUUAAUGAUGUGAUCACGUUAAUCAAAUAACAACUCAUCGUUCAUGGUUAGGAAACAUAACCAUCUUUGAUUAACGAGCUAGUCAAGUAGACGCAUACUAGUGACACUUUGUUUGUCUAUGUAUUCACACAUGUAUUAUGUUUCUGGUUAAUACAAUUCUAGCAUGAAUAACAAACAUUUAUCAUGAUUAUAAGGAAAUAAAUAAUAACUUUAUUAUUGCCUCUAGGGCAUAUUUCCUUCAGAGUGGCGCCCCAGCCCACUUUGGGCUGGAUCCCUUCCUCAUACAGCCCAUAAGGCCCUCCGGGAGAGGUGGCCCCUCCGAGUGGACCCCCGGAACCCCUCCGGUGGCCCCGGUACAAUACCGUUAUGCCCCCGAACCUUUCCGGUGACCGUAUGACAACUUCCCAUAUAUAAUUCUUUACCUCCGGAUUAUUCCGGGACUUCGAACAACUUUCGGAUUACUGCAUACUCAUAUCUAUACAACCCUAGCAUCACUGAACCUUAAGUGUGUAGACCCUACGGGUUCGGGAGACAAUCAGACAUGACCGAGACGACUCUCUGGUCAAUAACCAACAGUGGGAUCUGGAUACCCAUGUUGGCUCCCACAUGCUCCUUGAUGAUCUCAUCGGAUGAACCACGAUGUCGAGGACCUAAUCAAUCCCGUACUCAAUUCCCUUUGUCAAUCGGUACAUUACUUGCCCGAGACUCGAUCGUCGAUAUCCCAAUACCUUGUUCAGUCUCGUUACCAGCAAGUCACUUUACUCGUACCGUAAUGCAUGAUCCCGUGAUCAACCACUUGAUCACAUUGAGCUCAUUAUGAUGAUGCAUUACCGAGUGGGCCCAGAGAUACCUCUCCGUCAUACGGAGUGACAAAUCCCAGUCUCGAUUCGUGCCAACCCAACAGACACUUUCGGAGAUACCUGUAAUGUACCUUUAUAGUCACCCAGUUACCUUGUGACGUUUGGCACACCCAAGGCACUCCUACGGUAUCCGGGAGUUGCACGAUCUCAUGGUCUAAGGAAAUGAUACUUGACAUCCAGAAAAGCUACAGCAAACGAACUACACGAUCUUUGUGCUAUACUUAGGUUUGGGUCUUGUCCAUCACAUCAUUCUCCUAAUGAUGUGAUCCCAUUAUCAAUGACAUCCCCAUGUCCAUAGCCAGGAAACCAUGACUAUCUGUUGAUCAACGAGCUAGUCAACUAGAGGCUCACUAGGGACACAUUAUGGUCUAUGUAUUCACACAUGUAUUACGAUUUCCGGACAAUACAAUUAUAGCAUGAAUAAUAGAAAAUUAUCAUGAACAAGGAAAUAUAAUAAUCAUUUUAUUAUUGCCUCUAGGGCAUAUUUCCAACAGUCUCCCACUUGCACUAGAGUCAAUCAUCUAGUUACAUUGUGAUGAAUCGAACACCCAUGGAAUUCUGGUGUUGAUCAUGUUUUGCUCUAGGGAGAGGUUUAGUCAACGGAUCUGCUACAUUCAGGUCCGUAUGUACUUUACAAAUCUCUAUGUAUCCAUUUUGAACACUUUCACGAAUGGAGUUGAAACGACGCUUGAUAUGCCUGGUCUUCCUGUGAAACCUGGGCUCCUUGGCAAGGGCAAUAGCUCCAGUGUUGUCACAGAAGAGAGUCAUCGGGCCCGACGCAUUGGGUAUGACUCCUAGGUCGGUAAUGAACUCCUUCACCCAGACUGCUUCGUGUGCUGCCUCCGAGGCUGCCAUGUACUCCGCUUCACAUGUAGAUCCUGCCACAAUGCUUUGCUUGCAACUGCACCAGCUUACUGCCCCACCAUUCAAAAUAUACACGUAUCCGGUUUGUGACUUAGAGUCAUCCAGAUCUGUGUCGAAGCUAGCAUCAACGUAACCCUUUACGACAAGCUCUUCGUCACCUCCAUAAACGAGAAACAUUUCCUUAGUCCUUUUCAGGUACUUCAGGAUAUUUUUGAUCGCUGUCCAGUGUUCCAUGUCGGGAUUACUUUGGUACCUUCCUACCAAACUCACGGCAAGGUUUACAUCAGGUCUGGUACACAGCAUAGCAUACAUGAUAGACCCUAUGGCUGAGGCAUAGGGGACGACACUCAUCUUUUCUCUAUCUUCUGCCGUGGUCGGGCAUUGAGCCAAGCUCAAUCUCGUACCUUGCAAUACAGGCAAGAACCCCUUCUUUGACUGAUCCAUUUUGAACUUCUUCAAUAUCUUGUCAAGGUACAUACUCUAUGAAAGACCAAUGAGGCGUCUCGAUCUAUCUCUAUAGAUCUUGAUGCCUAAUAUAUAAGCAGCUUCUCCAAGGUCCUUCAUUGAAAAACACUUGUUCAAAUAGGCCUUUAUGCUUUCCAAGAAUUCUAUAUCAUUUCCCAUCAACAGUAUGUCAUCCACAUACAAUAUGACAAAUGCUACAGAGCUCCCACCCACUUUCUUGUAAAUGCAAGCUUCUCCAUAAGUCUGCAUAAACCCAAACGCUUUGAUCAUCUCAUCAAAGCGAAUGUUGCAACUCCGAGAUGCUUGCACCAGCCCGUAAAUCGAGCGUUGGAGCUUGCACACCUUGUCAGCAUUCUUAGGAUCGACAAGACCUUCCGGUUGCAUCAUAUACAAUUCUUCCUUAAGGAAACCAUUAAGGAAUGCCGUUUUGACGUCCAUUUGCCAUAUUUCAUAAUCAUAGAAUGCGGCAAUUGCUAACAUGAUUCGGACGGACUUCAGCUUCGCUACGGGUGAGAAAGUCUCAUCGUAGUCAACCCCUUGAACUCGUCGAUAACCCUUAGCGACAAGCCGUGCUUUAUAGAUGGUCACAUUACCAUCCGCGUCUGUCUUCUUCUUAAAGAUCCAUUUAUUUUCUAUGGCUCGCCGAUCAACGGGCAAGUCAGUCAAAGUCCAUACUUUGUUUUCAUACAUGGAUCCUAUCUCGGAUUUCAUGGCUUCCAGCCAUUUGUCGGAAUACGGGCCCGCCAUCACUUCUUCAUAGUUCAAAGGUUCACCGUUGUCUAACAACAUGAUUUCCAAGACAGGGUUGCCGUACCACUCUGGUGAGGAACGUGUCCUUGUGGACCUUCGAAGUUCAGUAGGAGCUUGAUCAGAAGUAUCUUGAUCAUCAUCAUUAACUUCCUCUCUAAUUGGUGCAAGCACCACAGGAACAUUUGCCUGAGUUGCGCCACUUUCCGGUUCAAGAGGCAAUACUUCAUCAAGUUCUACUUUCCUCCCACUUACUUCUUUCGAGAGAAACUCCUUCUCUAGAAAGGAUCCAUUCUUGGCAACAAAGAUCUUGCCUUCGGAUCUGAGGUAGAAGGUAUACCCAAUAGUUUCUUUAGGGUAUCCUAUCAAGACGCAUUUUUCCGACUUGGGUUCGAGCUUUUCAGGUUGAAGUUUCUUGACAUAAGCAUCGCAUCCCCAAACUUUUAGAAACGACAGCUUAGGCUUCUUCCCAAACCAUAAUUCAUACGGUGUCGUCUCAACGGAUUUCGACGGAGCCCUAUUUAAAGUGAAUGCAGUAGUCUCUAAAGCAUAGCCCCAAAAUGACAGCGGUAAAUUGGUAAGAGACAUCAUAGAUCGCACCAUAUCUAAUAGAGUGCGAUUACGACGUUCGGACACACCAUUACGCUGAGGUGUUCCAGGCGGCAUGAGUUGUGAAACUAUUCCACAUUUUCUUAAGUGUGUACCAAAUUCUUGACUCAAGUAUUCUCCUCCACGAUCUGAUCGCAAAAACUUGAUUUUUCUGUCAUGUUGAUUCUCAACCUCACUCUGAAAUUCCUUGAACUUUUCAAAGGUUUCAGACUUGUGUUUCAUUAAGUAGAUAUACCCAUAUCUACUCAAGUCAUCAGUGAGGGUGAGAACAUAACGAUAGCCACCACGAGCCUCAACAUUCAUUGGACCGCACACAUCAGUAUGUAUGAUUUCCAAUAGGUUGGUUGCUCGCUCCAUUGUUCCUGAGAACGGAGACUUGGUCAUCUUACCCAUGAGGCAUGGUUCACACAUGUCAAAUGAUUCGUAAUCAAGAGACUCUAAAAGUCCAUCUGUAUGGAGCUUCUUCAUGCGUUUGACACCUAUGUGACUAAGGCGGCAGUGCCACAAGUAUGUGGGACUAUCAUUAUCAACCUUACAUCUUUUGGCAUUCACACUAUGAAUAUGUGUAGCAUUACGCUCGAGAUUCAUUAAGAAUAAACCAUUCACCAUAGGAGCAUGACCAUAAAACAUAUCUCUCAUAUAAAUAGAACAACCAUUACACUUGGAUUUAAAUGAGUAGCCAUCUCGUAUUAAACGAGAUCCUGAUACAAUGUUCAUGCUCAAACUUGGCACUAAAUAACAAUUAUUGAGGUUCAAAACUAAUCCCGUAGGUAAAUAUAGAGGUAGCGUGCCGACGACGAUGACAUCGACCUUGGAACCAUUCCCGACGCGCAUUGUCACCUCGUCCUUCGCCAAUCUCCGCUUAUUCCGCAGCUCCUGCUUUGAGUUACAAAUGUGAGCAACUGCACCGGUAUCAAAUACCCAGGAGCUACUACGAGUAUUGGUAAGGUACACAUCAAUUACAUGUAUAUCACAUAUACCUUUCGUUUUGCCGGCCUUCUUGUCCGCUAAGUAUUUGGGGCAGUUCCGCUUCCAGUGUCCACUUCCCUUGCAAUAAAAACACUCAGUCUCGGGCUUGGGUCCAUUCUUUGGCUUCUUCCCGGCAGCUUGCUUACCAGGCGCGGCAACUCCCUUGCCGUCCUUCUUGAAGUCCUUCUUACCCUUGCCUUUCUUGAACUUAGUGGUUUUAUUCACCAUCAACACUUGAUGGUCCUUUUUGACUUCUACCUCUGCUGAUUUCAGCAUUGCAAAUACUUUAGGAAUGGUCUUUUCCAUCCCCUGCAUAUUGAAGUUCAUCACAAAGCUCUUGUAGCUUGGUGGAAGCGACUGGAGGAUUCUGUCAAUGACCGCGUCAUCCGGGAGAUUAACUCCCAGCUGAGUCAAGCGGUUAUUUAACCCAGACAUAGUGAGUAUGUGCUCACUGACAGAACUAUUUUCCUCCAUCUUACAGCUGAAGAACUUGUCGGAGACUUCAUAUCUCUCGACCCGGGCAUGAGCUUGGAAAACCAUUUUUAGCUCUUCGAACAUCUCAUAUGCUCCGUGUCGCUCAAAACGCUUUUGGAGCCCCGGUUCUAAGCUGUAAAGCAUGCCGCACUGAACGAGGUAGUAAUCAUCAGCACGUGUCUGCCAAGCGUUCAUAACGUCUUGGUUCUGUGGGACGGGUGCGUCACCUAGCGGUGCUUCUAGGACAUAAUCUUUCUUGGCAGCUUUAUAGUUGCUGCCAUCGUCUUUCAGCUUGGUUUUCUCUAGGAACGCAUUGAAGUUGAGGACAACGUUGGCUAUUUGAUCUACAAGACAUAUUGUAAAUAUUUUAGACUAAGUUCAUGAUAAUUAAGUUCAUCUAAUCAAAUUAUUCAAUGAACUCCCACUUAGAUAGACAUCCCUCCAGUCAUCUAAGUAUAACAUGAUCCGAGUUGACUAGGUCGUGUCCGAUCAUCACGUGAGACGGACUAGUCAACAUCGGUGAACAUCUUCAUGUUGAUCGUAUCUUCUAUACGACUCAUGCUCGACCUUUCGGUCUUCUGUGUUCCGAGGCCAUGUCUGUACAUGCUAGGCUCGUCAAGUCAACCUAAGUGUAUUGCGUGUGUAAAUCUGUCUUACACCCGUUGUAUGUGAACGUUGGAAUCUAUCACACCCGAUCAUCACGUGGUGCUUCGAAACAACGAACUGUCGCAACGGCGCACAGUUAGGGGGAACACUUUCUUGAAAUUAUUAUGAGGGAUCAUCUUAUUUACUACCGUCGUUCUAAGUAAACAAGAUGCAAAAACAUGAUAAACAUCACAUGCAAUCAAAUAAUAAUAGUGACAUGAUAUGGCCAAUAUCACAUAGCUCCUUUGAUCUCCAUCUUGGGGCUCCAUGAUCAUCUUGUCACCGACAUGACACCAUGAUCUCCAUCAUCAUGAUCUCCAUCAUCGUGUCUCCAUGAAGUUGCUAGCCAACUAUUACUUCUACUACUAUGGCUAACGCGUUUAGCAAUAAAUUAAAGUAAUUUACAUGGCGUUUCUCAAUGACACGCAGGUCAUACAAAAAAUAAAGACAACUCCUAUGGCUCCUGCCGGUUGUCAUAAUCAUCGACAUGCAAGUCGUGAUUCCUAUUACAAGAACAUGAUCUCAUACAUCACAUAUAUAUCAUUCAUCAUUCAUCACAACUUUGGCCAUAUCACAUCACAAAUCACUUGCUGCAAAAACAAGUUAGACGUCCUCUAAUUGUUGUUGCAAGUUUUACGUGGCUGCAAAAGGGUUCUAGCAAGAACGUUUUCUUACCUACGUAAUAGCCACAACGUGAUUUGUCAACUUCUAUUUACCCUUCAUAAGGACCCUUUUCAUCGAAUCCGCUCCAAAUAAAGUGGGAGAGACAGAAACCCGCUAGCCACCUAAUGCAACUAGUGCAUGUCAGUCGGUGGAACCAGUCUCACGUAAGCAUACGUGUAAGGUCGGUCCGGGCCGCUUCAUCCCACAAUACCGCUAAAGCAAGAUAAGACUAGUAGCGGCAAGAAAGUUGACAACAUCUACGCCCACAACAAAUUGUGUUCUACUCGUGCAAGGAGAACUACGCAUAAACCUGGCUCUGAUACCACUGUUGGGGAACAUUGCAGAAAACAAAAAAUUUCCUACGAUUUCACCAAGACCCAUCUAUGAGUUCAUCUAGCAACGAGUGAUCGGAUUGCAUCUACAUACCUUUGUAGAUCACGCGCGGAAGCGUUCAAAGAACGGGGAUGAGAAAGUCGUACUCGACGUGAUCCAAAUCACCGGAGGUCCUAGCGCCGAACAGACGGCACCUCCGCGUUCAACACACGUACGGUCAGCGUGACGUCUCCUCCUUCUUGAUCUAGCAAGGGGGAAGGAGAGGUUGAGGAAGAUGGCUCCAGCAGCAGCACGACGGCGUGGUGGUGGUGGAGCAGCAGUACUUCAGCAGGGCUUCGCCAAGCUCGUGACGGAGGAGGAGAUGUGUUGGGGAGGGGAGGGGAUGUGCCUUGGAUGUCCUCUGCAGCCCUCCCCUCACCCCUCUAUUUAUAGGGGAAGGAGGAAGGGGGCCGGCCCCCUCUAGAUGAGAUCUACAGGAGGGGCGGCGGCCAAGGGGAGGGGGGCUUGCCCCCCAAGCAAGGGGGCGCCCCCCCUUAGGGUUUCCCCCAACCCUAUGCGCAUGGGCCCUAGGGGGAGUGGCACCCCAGCCCACUUUGGGGUGGAUACCUUCCUCAUACAGCCCAUAAGGCCCUCCGAGAGAGGUGGCCCCUCCUGGUGGACCCCCGGAACCCCUCCGGUGGCCCCGGUACAAUACUGAUACGCCCCCGAACCUUUCCGGUGACCAUAUGACAACUUCCCAUAUAUAAUUCUUUACCUCCGGAUUAUUCCGGAACUCCUCGUGACGUCCAGGAUCUCAUCCGGGACUCCGAAAAACUUUCGGAUUACUGCAUACUCAUCUAUACAACCCUAGCGUCACCGAACCUUAAGUGUGUAGACCCUACGGGUUUGGGAGACAAGCAUACAUGACCGAGAUGACUCUCUGGUCAAUAACCAACAGCGGGAUCUGGAUACCCAUGUUGGCUCCCACAUGCUCCUCGAUGAUCUCAUCAGAUGAACCACGAUGUCGAGGACCUAAUCAAUCUCGUACUCAAUUCCCAUUGUCAAUCGGUACGUUACUUGCCCGAGACUCGAUCGUCGGUAUCCCAAUACCUUGUUCAGUCUCGUUACCGGCAAGUCACUUUACUCGUACCGUAAUGCAUGAUCCCAUGAUCAACCACUUGAUCACAUUGAGCUCAUUAUGAUGAUGCAUUACCGAGUGGGCCCAGAGAUACCUCUCCGUCAUACGGAGUGACAAAUCCCAGUCUCGAUUUGUGCCAACCCAACAGACACUUUCGGAGAUACCUGUAAUGUACCUUUGUAGUCACCCAGUUACGUUGUGAUGUUUGGCACACCCAAGGCACUCCUACGGUAUCCGGGAGUUGCACAAUCUCAUGGUCUAAGGAAAUGAUACUUGACAUCCAGAAAAGCUAUAGCAAAUGAACUACACGAUCUUUGUGCUUUGCUUAGGUUUGGGUCUUGUCCAUCACAUCAUUCUCCUAAUGAUGUGUUCCCAUUAUCAAUGACAUCCCCAUGUCCAUAGCCAGGAAACCAUGACUAUCUGUUGAUCAACGAGCUAGUCAACUAGAGGCUCACUAGGGACACAUUAUGGUCUAUGUAUUCACACAUGUAUUACGAUUUCCGAACAAUACAAUUAUAGCAUGAAUAAUAGACAAUUAUCAUGAACAAGGAAAUAUAAUCAUCAUUUUAUUAUUGCCUCUAGAGCAUAUUUCCAACAAUGUCACUCUUGGUUCAUUGCACAUCCCGGUACAACGCCGGAGGCAUUCACAUAGAGUCAUAUUUUGUUCUAAGUAUCGAGUUGUAAUUUUUGAGUUGUAAAGUAAAUAAAAGUGUGAUGAUCAUCAUUAUUAGAUCAUUGUCCCAUGUGAGGAAAUGAUGAUGGAGACUAUGAUUCCCCAGAAGUCGGGAUGAGACUCGGGAUGAAAAAGAAAAAAAAGAAAAAAAGAGGCCAUAAAAAGAGAGAAGGCCCAAAAAGAAAAAAUAAUGAGAGAAAAGAGAGAAGGGACAAUGCUAAUAUCCUUUGACCACACUUGUGCUUCAAAGUAGCACCAUGAUCUUCAUGAUAGAGAGUCUCCUAUGUUGUCACUUUCAUAUACUAGUGGGAAUUUUACAUUAUAGAACUUGGCUUGUAUAUUCCAAUGAUGGGCUUCCUCAAAAUGCCCUAGGUCUUCGUGAGCAAGCAAGUUGGAUGCACACCCACUUAGUUUCUUUUUGAGCUUUCAUAUACUUAUAGCUCUAGUGCAUCCGUUGCAUGGCAAUCCCUACUCACUCACAUUGAUAUCUAUUGAUGGGCAUCUCCAUAGCCCGUUGAUACACCUAGUUGAUGUGAGACUAUCUUAUCCUUUUUGUCUUCUCCACAACCACCAUUCUAUUCCACCUAUAGUGCUAUGUCCAUGGCUCACGCUCAUGUAUCGCGUGAAGAUUGAAAAAGUUUGAGAACAUCAAAAGUAUGAAACAAUUGCUUGGCUUGUCAUCGGGGUUGUGCACGAUUUAAAUACUUUGUGUGAUGAAGAUAGAGCAUAGCCAUACUAUAUGAUUUUGUAGGGAUAACUUUCUUUGGCCAUGUUAUUUUGAGAAGACAUCAUUGCUUUGUUAGUAUGCUUGAAGUAUUAUUAUUUUUAUGUCAAUAUUAAACUUUUGUCUUGAAUAUUUCGGAUCUGAACAUUCAUGCCACAAUAAAGAAAAAAUAUAUUGAGAAUUAUGCUAGGUAGCAUUCCACAUCAAAAGUUCUGUUUUUAUCAUUUACCUACUCGAGGACGAGUAGGAAUGAAUCUUGGGAUGCUUCAUACGUCUACAACAUAUCUAUAAUUUGUGAUUGUUCCAUGCUAUUAUAUUAUCUGUUUUGGAUGUUUAAUGGGCUUUAAUAUACAUUUUUAUAUUAUUUUUGGGACUAACCUACUAACCAAAGCCCCAGUGCAAAUUGCUUUUUUUUGCCUAUUUCAGUGUUUCGCAGAAAAGGAAUAUCAAACGGAAUCCAAACGGAAUGAAACCUUCGGGAGAGUUAUUUAUAGAACAAAUGUGAUCCAGGAGACUUGAGUGGAUGUCAAGAAAGAAGCGAGGAGGCCACUGAAGGAAAUAUGCCCUAGAGGCAAUAAUAAAGUUAUUAUUUAUUUCCUUAUAAUCAUGAUAAAUGUUUAUUAUUCAUGCUAGAAUUGUAUUAACCGGAAACAUAAUACAUGUGUGAAUACAUAGACAAACAAAGUGUCACUAGUAUGCCUCUACUUGACUAGCUCGUUAAUCAAAGAUGGUUAUGUUUCCUAACCAUGAACAAUGAGUUGUUAUUUGAUUAACGAGGUCACAUCAUUAGUUGAAUGAUCUGAUUGACAUGACCCGUUCCAUUAGCUUAGCAACCGAUCGUUUAGUAUGUUGCUAUUGCUUUCUUCAUGACUUAUACAUGUUCCUAUAACUAUGAGAUUAUGCAACUCCCGUUUGCCGGAGGAACACUUUGGGUGCUACCAAACGUCACAAUCUAACUGGGUGAUUAUAAAGGAGCAUUACAGGUGUCUCCAAAGGUAGAUGUUGGGUUGGCAAAUUUCGAGAUUAGGAUUUGUCACUCCGAUUGUCGGAGAGGUAUCUCUGGGCCCUCUCGGUAAUGCACAUCACAUAAGCCUUGCAAGCAUUGCAACUAAUGAGUUAGUUGCGAGAUGAUGUAUUACAAAACGAGUAAAGAGACUGGUUGGUAACGAGAUUGAACUAGGUAUUGUAUAUCGACGAUCGAAUCUCGGGCAAGUAACAUACCGAUGACAAAGGGAACAACGUAUGUUGUUAUGCGGUCUGACCGAUAAAGAUCUUCGUAGAAUAUGUAGGAGCCAAUAUGGGCAUCCAGGUCCCGCUAUUGGUUAUUGACCAGAGACGUGUCUCGGUCAUGUCUACAUUGUUCUCGAACCCGUAGGGUCCGCACGCUUAAGGUUACGAUGACAGUUAUAUUAUGAGUUUAUGCAUUUUGAUGUACCGAAGGUUGUUCGGAGUCCCGGAUGUGAUCACGGACAUGACGAGGAGUCUCGAAAUGGUCGAGACGUAAAGAUUGAUAUAUUGGAAGCCUAUGUUUGGAUAUCGGAAGUGUUCCGGGUGAAAUCGGGAUUUUACCGGAGUACCGGGANNNNNNNNNNNNNNNNNNNNNNNNNNNNNNNNNNNNNNNNNNNNNNNNNNNNNNNNNNNNNNNNNNNNNNNNNNNNNNNNNNNNNNNNNNNNNNNNNNNNNNNNNNNNNNNNNNNNNNNNNNNNNNNNNNNNNNNNNNNNNNNNNNNNNNNNNNNNNNNNNNNNNNNNNNNNNNNNNNNNNNNNNNNNNNNNNNNNNNNNNNNNNNNNNNNNNNNNNNNNNNNNNNNNNNNNNNNNAAGGUGGCCGCGCGCCUCCCCCUCCCCCUAGUCCUAUUAGGACUAGGAGAGGUGGUCGGCCCCCCUUCUCUCUCUUCCCCCCUCGGGGAAUCCUAGUCCAACUAGGAUUGGGGGGGGAGUCCUACUCCCGGAAGGAGAAGGACUCCUCCUGCGCCCUCCUCCUGGCCGGCGCCCCCCUCCCCCUUGGCUCCUUUAUAUACUAAGGCAGAGGCACCCCAGAAACACACAAGUUGAUCCACGUGAUCUAUUCCUUAGCCGUGUGCGGUGCCCCCAGCCACCAUAUUCAUCGAUAAUACUGUAGCGGAGUUUAGGCGAAGCCCUACUGCUGUAGUGCAUCAAGAUCGUCACCACGCCGUCGUGCUGACGGAAUUCUUCCCCGACACUUUCCUGGAUCGGAGUCCGGGGAUCGUCAUCGAGCUGAACGUGUGCUCGAACUCGGAGGUGCCGUAGUUUCGGUGCUUGAUCGGUUGGAUCGCGAAGACGUACGACUACUUCCUCUACGUUGUGUCAACGCUUCCGCAGUCGGUCUGCGUGGGUACGUAGAAAGCACUCUCCCCUCUCGUUGCUAUGCAUCACCAUGAUCUUGCGUGUGCGUAGGAAUUUUUUUGAAAUUACUACGAAACCCAAAAGUCGCAUCCGUGCCUAGGUUAUUUAUGUUGAUGUUAUAUGCACGAGUAGAACACAAGUGAGUUGUGGGCGAUAUAAGUCAUACUGCCUACCAGCAUGUCAUACUUUGGUUCGGCGGCAUUGUUGGACGAGACGACCCGGACCAACCUUACGCGUACGCUUACGCGAGACCGGUUCCCCCGACGUGCUUUGCACACAGGUGGCUUGCGGGCGACUGUCUCUCCAACUUUAGUUGAACCAAGUAUGGCUACGCCCGGUCCUUGCGAAGGUUAAAACGGAGUCUAUUUGACAAACUAUCGUUGUGGUUUUGAUGCGUAGGUGAGAUUGGUUCUUGCUUAAAGCCCGUAGCAGCCACAUAAAACUUGCAACAACAAAGUAGAGGACGUCUAACCUGUUUUUGCAGGGCAUGUUGUGAUGUGAUAUGGUCAAGACAUGAUGCUGAAUUUUAUUGUAUGAGAUGAUCAUGUUUUGUAACCGAGUUAUCGGCAACUGGCAGGAGCCUUAUGGUUGUCGUUUUAUUGUAUGCAAUGAAAACGCGAUGUAAUGAUUUACUUUAUUACUAAGCGGUAGUGAUAGUCGUGGAAGCAUAAACUUGGCGAGACGACAACGAUGCUAUGAUGGAGAUCAAGGUGUCACGCCGGUGAUGAUGGUGAUCACGACGGUGCUUCGGAGAUGGAGAUCACAAGCACAAGAUGAUGAUGGCCAUAUCAUAUCACUUAUAUUGAUUGCAUGUGAUGUUUAUCCUUUUAUGCAUCUUAUCUUGCUUUGAUUGACGGUAGCAUUAUAAGAUGAUUUCUCACUAAAUUACCAAGAAGUGUUCUCCCUGAGUAUGCACCGUUGUGAAAGUUCUUCGUGCUGAGACACCACGUGAUGAUCGGGUGUGAUAGGUUCUACGUUCAAAUACAACGGGUGCAAAACAGUUGCCCACGCGGAAUACUCAGGUUAUACUUGACGAGCCAAGCAUAUACAGAUAUGGCCUCAGAACACGGAGACUGAAAGGUCGAGCGUGAAUCAUAUAGUAGAUAUGAUCAACAUAACGAUGUUCACCAUUGAAAACUACUCCAUCUCACGUGAUGAUCGGUUAUGGUUUAGUUGAUUUGGAUCACGUAAUCACUUAGAGGAUUAGAGGGAUGUCUAUCUAAGUGGGAGUUCUUUAAUUAAUUUGAUUAACUGAACUUAAAUUUAUCAUGAAACUUAGUACCUAAUUAGUAUCUUGCUUGUUUAUGUUUGAUUGUAGAUAGAUGGCUCGUGUUGUUGUUCCGUUGAAUUUUAAUGCGUUCCUUGAGAAAGCAAAGUUGAAAGAUGAUGGUAGCAAUUACACGGACUAGGUCCGUAACUUGAGGAUUAUCCUCAUUGCUGCACAGAAGAAUUACGUCCUGGAAGUACCACUGGGUGCCAGGCCUGCUGCAGGAGCAACGCCGGAUGUUAUGAACGUCUGGCAGAGCAAAGCUGAUGACUACUCAAUAGUUCAGUGUGCCAUGCUUUACGGCUUAGAAUCGGGACUUCAACGACGUUUUGAACGUCAUGGAGCAUAUGAGAUGUUCCAGGAGUUGGAGUUAAUGUUUCAAGCAAAUGCCCAGAUUGAGAGAUAUGAAGUCUCCAAUAAGUUCUAUAGCUGCAAGAUGGAGGAGAACAGUUCUGUCAGUGAGCAUAUACUCAAAAUGUCUGGGUAUAAUAAUCACUUGAUUCAAUUGGGAGUUAAUCUUCCAGAUGAUUGCGUCAUUGACAGAAUUCUUCAAUCACUGCCACCAAGCUACAAGAGCUUCGUGAUGAACUAUAAUAUGCAAGGGAUGAACAAGACUAUUCCCGAGCUCUUCGCGAUGCUGAAAGCUGCGGAGGUAGAAAUCAAGAAGGAGCAUCAAGUGUUGAUGGUCAACAAGACCACUAGUUUCAAGAAAAAGGGCAAAGGGAAGAAGAAGGGGAACUUCAAAAAGAACGGCAAGCAAGUUGCUACUCAAGAGAAGAAACCCAAACCUGGACCUAAGCCUGAAACUGAGUGUUUCUAUUGCAAGCAGACUGGUCACUUGAAGCGGAACUGCCCCAAGUAUUUGGCAGAUAAGAAGGAUGGAAAGGUGAACAAAGGUAUAUGUGAUAUACAUGUUAUUGAUGUGUACCUUACUAAUGCUCGCAGUAGCACCUGGGUAUUUGAUACUGGUUCUGUUGCUAAUAUUUGCAACUCGAAACAGGGACUACGGAUCAAGCGAAGAUUGGUUAAGGACGAGGUGACGAUGCGCGUGGGAAACGGUUCCAAAGUCGAUGUGAUCGCAGUCGGCACACUACCUCUACAUCUACCUUCGGGAUUAGUAUUAGACCUAAAUAAUUGUUAUUUGGUGCCAGCGUUAAGCAUGAACAUUAUAUCUGGAUCUUGUUUGAUGCGAGACGGUUAUUCAUUUAAAUCAGAGAAUAAUGGUUGUUCUAUUUAUAUGAGUAAUAUCUUUUAUGGUCAUGCACCCUUGAAGAGUGGUCUAUUCUUGUUGAAUCUCGAUAGUGGUAACACACAUAUUCAUAAUGUUGAAGCCAAAACAUGUAGAGUUGAUAAUGAGAGUGCAACUUAUUUGUGGCACUGCCGUUUAGGUCAUAUCGGUGUAAAGCGCAUGAAGAAACUCCAUUCUGAUGGACUUUUGGAACCACUUGAUUAUGAAUCACUUGGUACUUGCGAACCGUGCCUUAUGGGCAAGAUGACAAAACACCGUUCUCCGGUACUAUGGAGGGAGCAACAGAUUUGUUGGAAAUCAUACAUACAUAUGUAUGUGGUCCGAUGAAUAUUGAGGCUCGUGGCGGAUAUCAUUAUUUUCUCACCUUCACAGAUGAUUUAAGCAGAUAUGGGUAUAUCUACUUAAUGAAACAUAAGUCUGAAACAUUUGAAAGGUUCAAGGAAUUUCAGAGUGAAGUUGAAAAUCAUCGUAACAAGAAAAUAAAGUUUCUACGAUCUGAUCGUGGAGGAGAAUAUUUGAGUUACGAGUUUGGUGUACAUUUGAAAAAUUGUGGAAUAGUUUCGCAACUCACGCCACCCGGAACACCACAGCGUAAUGGUGUGUCUGAAUGUCGUAAUCGUACUUUACUAGAUAUGGUGCGAUCUAUGAUGUCUCUUACUGAUUUACCGCUAUCGUUUUGGGGAUACGCUCUAGAGACGGCCGCAUUCACUUUAAAUAGGGCACCAUCAAAAUCCGUUGAGACGACGCCUUAUGAACUGUGGUUUGGCAAGAAACCAAAGUUGUCGUUUCUGAAAGUUUGGGGCUGCGAUGCUUAUGUGAAAAAGCUUCAACCUGAUAAGCUCGAACCCAAAUCGGAGAAAUGUGUCUUCAUAGGAUAUCCAAAGGAAACUAUUGGAUACACCUUCUAUCACAGAUCUGAAGGCAAGACUUUUGUUGCUAAAUUCGGAAACUUUCUAGAGAAGGAGUUUCUCUCGAAAGAAGUGAGUGGGAGGAAAGUAGAACUUGACGAGGUAACUGUACCUGCUCCCUUAUUGGAAAGUAGUACAUCACAGAAAAUUGUUUCAGUGACACCUACACCAGUUAGUGAGGAAGCUAAUGAUAAUGAUCAUGAAACUUCAGAUCAAGAUACUGCUGAACCUCGUAGAUCAACCAGAGUAAGAUCCGCACCAGAGUGGUACGGUAAUCCUGUUCUGGAAGUCAUGCUACUAGAUCAUGAUGAACCUGCGAACUAGGAAGAAGCGAUGGUGAGCCCAGAUUCCGCAAAAUGGCUUGAAGCCAUGAAAUCUGAGAUGGGAUCCAUGUAUGAGAACAAAGUAUGGACUUUGGUUGACUUGCCCGAUGAUCGGUAAGCAAUUGAGAAUAAAUGGAUCUUCAAGAAGAAGACUGACGCUGACGGUAAUGUUACUGUCUACAAAGCUCGACUUGUCGCAAAAGGUUUUCGACAAGUUCAAGGGGUUGACUACGAUGAGACCUUCUCACCCGUAGCGAUGCUUAAGUCUGUCCGAAUCAUGUUAGCAAUUGCCGCAUUUUAUGAUUAUGAAAUUUGGCAAAUGGAUGUCAAAACUGCAUUCCUGAAUGGAUUUCUGGAAGAAGAGUUGUAUAUGAUGCAACCAGAAGGUUUUGUCGAUCCAAAAGGAGCUAACAAAGUGUGCAAGCUCCAGCGAUCCAUUUAUGGACUGGUGCAAGCCUCUCGGAGUUGGAAUAAAUGCUUUGAUAGUGUGAUCAAAGCAUUUUGUUUUAUACAGACUUUCGGAGAAGCCUGUAUUUACAAGAAAGUGAGUGGGAGCUCUGUAGCAUUUCUGAUAUUAUAUGUGGAUGACAUAUUACUGAUUGGAAAUGAUAUAGAAUUUCUGGAUAGCAUAAAGAGAUACUUGAAUAAGAGUUUUUCAAUGAAAGACCUCGGUGAAGCUGCUUACAUACUAGGCAUAAAGAUCUAUAGAGAUAGAUCAAGACGCUUAAUUGGACUUUCACAAACAACAUACCUUGACAAAAUUUUGAAGAAGUUCAAAAUGGAUCAAGCAAAGAAAGGAUUCUUGCCUGUGUUACAAGGUGUGAAAUUGAGUAAGACUCAAUGCCCGACCACUGCAGAAGAUAGAGAGAAUAUGAAAGAUGUUCCCUAUGCAUCAGCGAUAGGAUCUAUCAUGUAUGCAAUGUUGUGUACCAGACCUGAUGUGUGCCUUGCUAUAAGUCUAGCAGGGAGGUACCAAAGUAAUCCAGGAGUGGAUCACUGGACAACCGUCAAGAACAUCCUGAAAUACAUGAGAAGGACUAAGGAUAUGUUUCUCGUAUAUGGAGGUGACAAAGAGCUCGACGUAAAUGGUUACGUUGAUGCAAGCUUUGACACUGAUCCGGACGAUUCUAAAUCGCAAACCGGAUACGUGUUUACAUUAAACGGUGGAGCUGUCAGUUGGUGCAGUUCUAAACAAAGCGUCGUAGUGGGAUCUACAUGUGAAGCGGAGUACAUAGCUGCUUCGGAAGCAGCGAACGAAGGAGUCUGGAUGAAGGAGUUCAUAUCCGAUCUAGGUGUCAUAUCUAGUGCAUCGGGUCCAAUGAAAAUCUUUUGUGACAAUACUGGUGCAAUUGCCUUGGCAAAGGAAUCCUGAUUUCACAAGAGAACCAAGCACAUCAACAGACGCUUCAAUUCCAUCCAGGAUCUAGUCCAGGUGGGAGACAUAGAGAUUUGCAAGAUACAUACGGAUCUGAAUGUUGCAGACCCGUUGACUAAGCCUCUUCCACGAGCAAAACAUGAUCAGCACCAAGGCUCCAUGGGUGUUAGAAUCAUCACAGUGUAAUCUAGAUUAUUGACUCUAGUGCAAGUGGGAGACUGAAGUAAAUAUGCCCUAGAGGCAAUAGUAAAGUUAUUAUUUAUUUCCUUAUAAUCAUGAUAAAUGUUUAUUAUUCAUGCUAGAAUUGUAUUAACCGGAAACAUAAUACAUGUGUGAAUACAUAGACAAACAAAGUGUCACUAGUAUGCCUCUACUUGACUAGCUCGUUAAUCAAAGAUGGUUAUGUUUCCUAACCAUGAACAAUGAGUUGUUAUUUGAUUAACGAGGUCACAUCAUUAGUUGAAUGAUCUGAUUGACAUGACCCGUUCCAUUAGCUUAGCACCCGAUCGUUUAGUAAGUUGCUAUUGCUUUCUUCAAGACUUAUACAUGUUCCUAUAACUAUGAGAUUAUGCAACUCCCGUUUGCCGGAGGAACACUUUGGAUGCUACCAAACGUCACAACGUAACUGGGUGAUUAUAAAGGAGCAUUACAGGUGUCUCCAAAGGUAGAUGUUGGGUUGGCGUAUUUCGAGAUUAGGGUUUGUCACUCCGAUUGUCGGAGAGGUAUCUCUGGGCCCUCUCGGUAAUGCACAUCACAUAAGCCUUGCAAGCAUUGCAAUUAAUGAGUUAGUUGUGAGAUGAUAUAUUACAGAACGAGUAAAGAGACUUGCCGGUAACGAGAUUGAACUAGGUAUUGGAUACCGACGAUCGAAUCUCGGGCAAGUAACAUACCGAUGACAAAGGGAACAACGUAUGUUGUUAUGCGGUCUGACCGAUAAAGAUCUUCGUAGAAUAUGUAGGAGCCAAUAUGGUCAUCCAGGUCUGGCUAUUGGUUAUUGACCGGAGACGUGUCUCAGUCAUGUCUACAUUGUUCUCGAACCCGUAGGGUCCGCACGCUUAAGGUUACGAUGACAGUUAUAUUAUGAGUUUAUGCAUUUUGAUGUACCGAAGGUUGUUCGGAGUCCCGGAUGUGAUCACGGACAUGAUGAGGAGUCUCGAAAUGGUCGAGACGUAAAGAUUGAUAUAUUGGAAGCCUAUGUUUGGAUAUCGGAAGUGUUCCGGGUGAAAUCGGGAUUUUACCGGAGUACCGGGAGGUUACCGGAACCCCCCNNNNNNNNNNNNNNNNNNNNNNNNNNNNNNNNNNNNNNNNNNNNNNNNNNNNNNNNNNNNNNNNNNNNNNNNNNNNNNNNNNNNNNNNNNNNNNNNNNNNNNNNNNNNNNNNNNNNNNNNNNNNNNNNNNNNNNNNNNNNNNNNNNNNNNNNNNNNNNNNNNNNNNNNNNNNNNNNNNNNNNNNNNNNNNNNNNNNNNNNNNNNNNNNNNNNNNNNNNNNNNNNNNNNNNNNNNNNNNNNNNNNNNNNNNNNNNNNNNNNNNNAAGGAGAAAGGGGCAGCCCAAGGUGGCCGCGCGCCUCCCCCCUUCCCCUAGUCCUAUUAGGACUAGGAGAGGUGGCCGGCCCCCCUUCUCUCUCUUUCCCCCUCGGGGAAUCCUAGUCCAACUAGGAUUGGGGGGGAGUCCUACUCCCGGAAGGAGAAGGACUCCUCCUGCGCCCUCCUCCUGGCCGGCGCCCCCUCCCCCUUGGCUCCUUUAUAUACUAAGGCAGAGGCACCCCAGAAACACAUAAGUUGAUCCACGUGAUCUAUUCCUUAGCCGUGUGCGGUGCCCCCAGCCACCAUAUUUCUCGAUAAUACUGUAGCGGAGUUUAGGCGAAGCCCUGCUGCUGUAGUGCAUCAAGAUCGUCACCACGCCGUUGUGCUGACGGAAUUCUUCCCCAACACUUUGCUGGAUCGGAGUCUGGGGGUCGUCAUCGAGCUGAACGUGUGCUCGAACUCGGAGGUGCCGUAGUUUCGGUGCUUGAUCGGUUGGAUCGCGAAGACGUACGACUACUUCCUCUACGUUGUGUCAACGCUUCCGCAGUCGGUCUGCGUGGGUACGUAGACAGCACUCUCCCCUCUCAUUGCUAUGCAUCACCAUGAUCUUGCGUGUGCGUAGGAAAUUUUUUGAAAUUACUACGAAACCCAACAGCCACGAGGCAGGACGGCGCACCUAGGGGGUAGGCCCGCCCUCCACACUCGUGGGCCCCUUGCAGCUCCACUGACGUACUUCUUCCUCCUAUAUAUACCCAUAUACCGCGAAAACAUCCAGGAGCACCACGAAACCCUAUUUCCAUCGCCACAACCUUCUGUACCCGUGAGAUCCCAUCUUGGGGCCUUUUUCGACGCUCCGCCGGAGGGGGAAUUGAUCAUGGAGGGCUUCUACAUCAACACCAUAGCCUCUCCGAUGAUGUGUGAGUAGUUUACCACAGACCUUCGGGUCCAUAGUUAUUAGCUAGAUGGCUUCUUCUCUCUCUUUGGAUCUCAAUACAAAGUUCUCCUCGAUUCUCUUGGAGAUCUAUUCGAUGUAAUUUCUUUUUGCGGUGUGUUUGUCGAUAUCCGAUGAAUUGUGGGUUUAAUCAAGAUUAUCUAUGAACAAUAUUUGAUUCUUCUCUGAAUUCUUUUAUGCAUGAUUUAAAUAUCUUUGCAAGUCUCUUCGAAUUAUCAAUUUGGUUUGGCCUACUAGAUUGAUCUUUCUUGCAAUGGGAGAAGUGCUUAGCUUUGGGUUCAAUCUUGCGGUGUCCUUUCCCAGUGACAGCAGGGGCAGCAAGGCACGUAUUGUAUUAUUGACAUCGAGGAUAAAAAGAUGGGGUUUAUAUCAUAUUGCUUCAGUUUAUUCCUCUACAUCAUGUCGUCUUGCCUAAUGUGUUACUCUGUUCUUAUGAACUUAAUACUCUAGAUGCAUGCUGGAUAGCGGUCGAUGUGUGGAGUAGUAGUAGUAGAUGCAGAAUCGUUUAGGUCUACUUGUCGCGGACGUGAUGCCUAUAUACAUGAUCAUGCCUAGAUAUUCUCAUAAUUAUUCGAUUUUCUAUCAAUUGCUCGACAGUAAUUUGUUCACCCACCGUAGAAUUUGCUAUCUUGAGAGAAGCCACUAGUGAAACCUAUGGCCCCCGGGUCUAUCUUCCAUCAUAUCUAUUUUCUAUUUCUAUCAUAGUUUAUUUUUGCAAUCUUUACUUUCCAAUCUAUACCAUAAAAAAUACCAAAAAUAUUUAUCUUAUUAUCUCUACAGAUCUCACUUUGUAAGUGACCGUGAAGGGAUUGACAACCCCUUUAUCGCGUUCGUUGCAAGGUUCUUGUUUGUUUGUGCAGGUACUAGGCAAAUUUCGUGUUACCUCCUACAGGAUUGAUACCUUGAUUCUCAAAAACUGAGGGGGAAAUACUUACGCUAUUGUGCUGCAUCACCCUUUCCUCUUCAAGGGAAAACCAACGCUUGCUCAAGAGUUAGCAGAUGCCAAUUCAAAUAAUCAUCAAAAUAAUUCUCCUACACGCGUUAUUCAGAUGGAGAAGAAGCGGUUGGCGUGGACAUUUCGUUUCUUAUCGAUGUCCAAGAGAAAAGCUACUAGGAAGUUCGUCCGCGCGGUGGAUUAUAAGUUUAAGUCUGUUACAUGAUACGUCCAUUUUGUAUCAUGUUUUCUUACUAUUAUUUAUAAUGUUUUAUCCAUAAUAAUGCUUUUUGGAGUAAUUCUAAUGUCUUUUCUCUCAUAAUUUGCAGUGUACACACAAAGAGGGAGAAUUUCGGCAGCUGGAAAUCUUGACCUGGGAAAGCUACAUCAGGCUACCUAUUCUGCACAACUCCAAACAAGCUGAAACUUGACAAUGAUUUUUUAUGGAAUAUAUAAGAAAUACUGGAGGAAAUAACUACCAUAGGGGGCCCAUCAGGUGGGCACAACCCACCUGGGCACGCUAGGGAGCCCAGGCAUGCCCUGGUGGGUUGUGCUCACCCAGGCCCACCUCUGGUGCCCAUCUUCUGGUAUAUAAGUCAUUUUAACCUAGAAAAAAUAAGGAUAAGGCUUUUGGGACGGAGCGCUGCCGUCUCGAGGCGGAACUUGGGCAGGAGCACUUUUGCCCUCCGGCGGAGCGAUUCCGCCNNNNNNNNNNNNNNNNNNNNNNNNNNNNNNNNNNNNNNNNNNNNNNNNNNNNNNNNNNNNNNNNNNNNNNNNNNNNNNNNNNNNNNNNNNNNNNNNNNNNNNNNNNNNNNNNNNNNNNNNNNNNNNNNNNNNNNNNNNNNNNNCAUCGUCCUCAUCAUCACCAACAACUCUCCCAUCUUGGGGAGGGUUAUCUCCAUCAACAUCUUCAACAACACCAUCUCAUCUCAAACCCUAGUUCAUCUCUUGUGUUCAAUCUUGUUACCGGAACUAUAGAUUGGUGCUUGUGGGUGACUGGUAGUGUUGAUUACAUCUUGUAGUUGAUUACUAUAUGGUUUAUUUGGUGGAAGAUUAUAUGUUCAGAUCCAUUAUGCUAUUUAAUACUCCUCUGAGCAUGAGCAUGUUUAUCAUUUGUGAGUAGUUACUUUCGUUCUUGAGGUUACGGGAGAAAUCAUGUUCCAAGUAAUCCUGUGAACUUCAUAUGUGUUCGAUAUUUUGAUAUUAUGUAUGUUGUGAUUCCCUUAGUGGUGCCAUAUUUGAACGUCGACUACAUGACACUUCACCAUAUUUGGGCCUAAGCGAAUGCAUUGUGGAGUAGCAAUUAGAUGAUGGGUUGCUAGAGUGACAGAAACUUAAAUCCCAGUUUAUGCGCUAUUCCGUAAGGGACCGAUUGGAUCCAAAAGUUUAAUGCUAUGGCUAGAAUUUAUUCAUAAUACUUUUCUCAUAGUUGCGGAUGCUUGCGGGAGGGUUAAUCAUAAGUAGGAGGUUUGUUCAAGUAAGAACAUCACCUAAGCACCGGUCCACCCACAUAUCAAAUUAUCAAAGUAGCGAACACAAAUCGAACCAACAUGACAAAAGUGACUAGAUGAAAAUCCCGUGUAGCCUCAAGAACGCUUUGCUUAUCAUAAGAGACCGUUUUGGCCUGUCCUUUUGCCUCAAAAGGAUUGGGAUACCUUGCUGCACUUUUGUCACUACUAUUGUUACUUGUUACAAAUUAUCUUGCUAUCAAACUACUUUGCUACUUACAAUUUCAGCACUUGCAAACAUUACCUUACUGAAAACUACUUGUCAUUUCCUUCUGCUCCUUGUUGGGUUUGACACUCUUACUUAUCGAAAAGAGCUAUAAUUGAUCCCCUAUACUUGUGGGUCAUCAUUACAACAUCCAAUCAUCCAUAUAAUCUCUGUGUUUCUUCUGUUUUCUACCAGUCAUAUUUCAUAUGUGCAUCAGAGGAAAAAUGCUUUCAGCGGGCAUGUUGGAGUGCACAUACCAAGUUCCCAGAUUGCAAAUAUGAUCCUGGGCUCCUAGCCAUUAAUAUGUUUAAUUCCACAUUUUCUUCAUCUAAUUUCUAAAUGACUAGACAACCUGUUAUACUCUUAUAGAAUUAUGAGCCGCCCAAACCAUGUUUCUCUUGGUCUAAUUUCUAAAUGAUAAUGUGCAACAUCUAUCUCCUUGUGAACCUUUUUUUUCUUCCGACUGUAUCCCCUGGUGAACCUAUCUUACGAUAAGAUUUUUUAGGGCAUUUUUUGAUGAUUUUUUCCUAUAGCCCUUAAAUAAAAUCAAAUAAAAUCAAGUGCAACUCACAGUAAGUUUUCUGCUCCUAGCUAGUUGUAAAGAACAAGUUCAAUUCAGUCUGAUUUAGUUCUUGACAUGACCGUGCUGCCAGCAACUCCUUUUCUCUAGCUAGCACAAUAAUUGUACUUGUUUGAUGUAAAGGACAUAAAUACAAAGAAAUAAAUUGGAAGCUUAUUUCAAAUUAACUAGCUAGUGGUGUUUGUGAAGUUCAAGAAAAAUCUAGUCUUUUUCUCGACAAAUAAGUUGACAUGCAAGGAAUCAAUGAAUGUAUUUGCAAGAAAGCAAACAUAAUUAUCGAUAAAAUUGGUUGUGAUUGUCACUAUAGACAAUGGUAGUAGCUAAUUGGAACUAGAUACAAACCAAUAAAAAACAAGAUCUCAAAUCUCCAACCAAUAAAGAGUUCAACCCAAAUUUUACAAUUACACUAUUAUAUUUAAAUAGUGAUUAUUGUAAUACAUGGCUAAUUAAUUAAUGCACUAGGUUGCGCUUGUGACCAGGCAAGACAAACUUAUGAACUUGCAUGCAUGGCAAUCAGAUCGACAUCCACACAAUGCCGAUAUGAACAUUUUCUUAAUACACCUUUAUUUGUAUUUUAUUUCAGAAUUUAAACAACUAGUUUGAGCGGGUCACACAUGACGUUGUGUGACACUUUAUUUGUCACCGCUACAUUGACAUAUCCAUCGACUAAACAACGGUGAUCCAACUAUAUAUUACUAGAGAUCUUUUCUUAUCAGUAGACACCAACUCCGAUGCCAACGCCUAAUGGCACACUAGUGGUGGUUUCGUACAACGGCACAUUGACACUGCACAUUGUUGGCAGGGUACGGAGUGCAAUGGAAGUCAUCACCUCAAGCUGAGCUAUCUGGUGUGGCUGCAAAAAGGUACCAUGUGCCAAUUGUUGUUGUUGAGGUUGUUGCCCGAGUUGCUGCUGCAACUGCUGUUGGGGUUGGGAGACACAUUGGCCCAACUGUUGGGGUUGUUGUUGCUGAUAUUGGAUGAUACUCUGACCCUGUUGUUGUUGUUGUUGUUGCUGCUGCUGCUGCUGCAGGAUGAUAGAGUAGAUGAUAGCACGGAUUGACUCAUGGCGGGAUUGCUCGGGGAUUUGCCGCAACUGCUGGCAACAUUGUUGCUGCAUCACAUGGCAAAUGCUCUGCUGCAACAUUUGUGACCUAGCAAGACAUCGCUGCAUUGCCACAGGGAUGCACUGCUGCUGGAGGAAUACCUUGCAUGGGUUUAGCUGCUGCAAAACAGAUGGAUGAAUAACUGGUAUUUGUUGUUGCUGUGAAAAUGGUGGUUGUUGUUGCUGCGAAAAUGGUGGUUGUUGCUGCUGUGAAAUUGGUGGCUGUUGUGAAAAUGGUGGUUGUUGUUGCUGUGUAAAUGGUUGUUGUUGUUGUUGUUGCUGCUGCUGCUGCUGUGAAAUUGGUGGCUGUUGUGAAAACGAUGGUUGUUGUUGCUGUGUAAAUGGUGGUUGUUGUUGUUGCUGCAAAAAUGGUGGUUGUUGUUGCUGCGAAAAUGGUNNNNNNNNNNNNNNNNNNNNNNNNNNNNNNNNNNNNNNNNNNNNNNNNNNNNNNNNNNNNNNNNNNNNNNNNNNNNNNNNNNNNNNNNNNNNNNNNNNNNNNNNNNNNNNNNNNNNNNNNNNNNNNNNNNNNNNNNNNNNNNNNNNNNNNNNNNNNNNNNNNNNNNNNNNNNNNNNNNNNNNNNNNNNNNNNNNNNNNNNNNNNNNNNNNNNNNNNNNNNNNNNNNNNNNNNNNNNNNNNNNNNNNNNNNNNNNNNNNNNNNNNNNNNNNNNNNNNNNNNNNNNNNNNNNNNNNNNNNNNNNNNNNNNNNNNNNNNNNNNNNNNNNNNNNNNNAAUUGUGGUUGUUGUUGCUGUGAAAAUGGUGGUUGUUGCUGCUGUGAAAUUGGUGGCUGUUGUGAAAACGGUGGUUGUUGUUGCUGCAAAAAUGGUGGUUGUUGUUGUUGUUGCGAAAAUGGUGAUUGCUGUUGCUGCGAAAAUGGUGGUUGUUGUUGCUGUGAAAAUGGUGGUUGUUGUUGUUGCUGUGAAAUUUGCGCAACGGCACUUGCCGCCGCAAGAGCGAGGAGGGCAAAGACGAGGAAGGUCUUCAUUGUGGAUUGGUGUUAACUAGUGUUGUUUGGCUUUGAUGCUUGUGCUUGUGAUGAUCUUUAUACUUCAUGCCUAUUUAUAGUUGCCGGGACACCACCUCUUUUCCUUCUUUGCACCGGCUUUAAUAAUUCUGUUUGGAUGCAUCUGAAAUGAAUUUUUUGGUACAUUGUGUUGGGUUGCACUAGCUACAAAAGCGUACUUUUGGAUUCAUCAUCAAAGUUGCCUUUUAGUUGUGCAUAUGAUCAUACACAAAGUACAGAAACCUCGAUGUUUGGUACAUAUGACUCACCUUAUUAACUUUACAUGUCACGCACUUAUCAGGAUAGUAUCACUUUUGCAACCGAGUUUGGAACCUUGUAUAGGCUGUCAGCCGUAAACAAGAAAGGCAAAGUUUGUGUAGGACUAAGUUUGCAAUCGUGUGUGGGCUGUUAAGAUAUGCUCGAUUAUUGAAGUCUUGCGUGUGGAGGGUUCUUCUAGACUCGGUUGCUUUUUAUAAAACUAACUUUGUAUUUUCCUCUAAGAUGAUAAGAUGAACUGACGCCUACAGAGCAUGACAUGACUCAUCAAAUGCCCUUUACAUGUAAAUGAUGGUAGUUGCUUACAAGCUACUCCCACUAGCAUAUAUCCGGUCCUAACUCUAGACACGUCAUCAUUAGUUCCAUCUUCUGAUUUUUUGAGAUAAAUCAUCAGUUCCAUCUGUAUGUGAAGGAAUUUUUUUUGGGUGAAGGGAAAUGAUAGGUGGGGCUGGAACAGAGGCCCACAGCCUCGAGCGAGUUAUUAGGCCCAAUAUAAGAGUUGUGUGUUAGGCCACCAAAUUAGAAUUGGGCUAUAGUUUUCGGAGGCCUCAACGUCACAAGCCUAGCCCACACUCGGCCGAUCUGCAUCGUCUUCAUCUCCCCCUCCCCGUCCUCCUCGCCGGCCGGACCACUCGCCGGCGCAGCCUCUCCCGCACCCCGCCGCCCGCGGCUGCUCCACGUACGUGCGCGGCGGCGGAGGCGUCAGCAGCCUCCCUUCCAUGCUCAGCAUCUGAAGAAAGUCCGUCUUCGGUGCCGCGAUAUCCAAGUUAGUUAUAGCAUCCAGUCAUCUGUAUAAUCUCAGUAUUUAUUCUGUUUUGUACUGUCGUAUUUCAUAUGUUCGUCAGAGGAGAUGUGCUUUCUAGAGGCAUGUUGCAGCUGGCCGAGUCCGAGAUCUCAUUUCAUUUAUAUGGCCAUAGGCAGCGAUCAAUAAAAGGGCACUGGAAUUUAUCUUCCAACGCCACUGUUGUUCUAGCUCUCUGUCUUUACUUUUGCUGCUUCUGUUGUAUGGCUACAAAGUUAGGCUUCAUCUGAUUUUAGUUAGUUAAUCUGAUCUUGUUAACCUGAUAAAGAGAAUUCCACCCUGCCCUUUAUUCUGCUUCUGCUUUUCACUGUCUCACAAUAACGCAACAUAUUAAGCUCACCAAAUUGUAUCCCUCAAAAAUAAAAAUGCUCGCCAAUUUGUAUCACAUUCUCAUACAUGUAUUUCAUCGCGGAAUCACAGGAGAUUGUCAAGUUGUGUUUUACCAUAUCAGUGUAUCAUUUGCUCAUAUGAGCAAGAGAUGGUCACCUGCCAGCUUAUUUUGUUCAUAUCUGAGAUCGAUCAUGCCUCCAUUGUAUGGUUAAGAAGUUAGGUUUCAUCCGAUUUUAGUUUGUUAAGCUGAUCUCGUUAAACUAAUAAUAAGAACUCCAUACAGUCGUUUAUUCUGAUCUUCAUUGCCUCACAAUAAUAAGAGAACCUAUUAAGCUCGUCGAAAUUGUAUCUCAUACUCAUACACAUAUCUUUGAUCAUCGAAUAACAUAAAUUAUCAUAUCAGUGCAAAAGUAUAUAUCAUUUGUCCAUAAUCCAUAUGCACAAGAGAUAAUUAUCUGCCAGGCAAUUAUUCUUAUCUUUGAGAUCCGAUCCUGUACUCAAUGCUAAUUAGAGGUGUCAUUAAGACAAGAAAAUAACCACUAGCCCCCGGGUCUUCUCUCGUUAGCAGAAAGCAUGUGAUGCAUUCAAGUUUCAGUGAAUUCACGAAAACCAAUAUUGUGGUCUGCUCUCACCCUUGAGUUGAGGUAAUUGUUUAAUUUGCAUUCUUGCGACUUCUUGUAUUUGGAAAGAAAAUUCAUACUAUUUUCCGACUUGCCAAUGCAUCGUCACUUCUGAAAACCAAUAUUGUGGUCCUCCUUGUAAAUGCAUAUAAGGUACUUGAGAUGGAUUGCAUUCUGUAAGUGCACUGUAUGUGUGCUGUCACCCAACAAUGGAGGUAAUUGUUAAGUUUGCAUUCCUGCAACUUCUUGUAUAUAUCUGGAAAGAAACUUCUUACUAUUUGCUGAGUUCACAUCCAAUGUAUCUUUGCUUUUUUUUCUUUUUCUUUUUGCAACACAAUGUAUCUUCACUUUUGAAAAACUGCAUUGGAUGUACCGACAUAAAUAUAUAAUAUAAUGAUGAUCUAAUGGCAAAUUAUAUGGCCAUAGGCAGUGAUGAUCAAUAAGAGGGCACAUGAAUUUAUCUUCUAACGUAUGCAUCACUAUUUGUUUAGCUCUCUGUCUUUAUUUUUCCGCCGGCAUUGUAUAGUUAAAAGUUAGGUUUCAUCUGGUUUAGUUAGUUAGGGGGAUCUUGUUGUGCUCUCUAUCUUUAUUUUUGUGGCCUCCGUUGUAUGGUUAAAAAGUUAGGUUUCAUCUGGUUUUAGUUAGUUAUAAGCGAAUCUCUUUAAGCUCUCUAUCUUUAUUUUUGCUGCCCCCGUUAUAUGGUUAAAAAGUUAGGUUUCAUCUGAUUUUAGUAAGUUAAGCAGAUCUCGUUAAGCUCUCUAUCUUUAUUUUUGCUGCCUCAUUGUAUGGUUAAAAAGUUGGGUUUCAUCUGAUUUUAGUUGGUUAUAAGCGGAUCUCGUUAAGGUGGUAAGAAGAACUCCAUAUUGUCCCGCCUCACAAUAACAGAACCUAUUAACCUCGUCAAAAUUGUAUCUCAUACUCAUACAUAUCAUUCAUUUUCGAAUAACAUGAAUUAUCAUAUCAGUACAUAUAUCAUCUGUCCAUAUGCACAAGAGAUAAUCAUCUGCCAGCUGAUUAUUCUUAUCGUUGAGAGCCGAUCCUGUCCCUUCAAUGUUAAUUAGAGGUGUCAUUAUAAAAGACAAGAAAAUAACCACUUGCCCCUGGGUCUUCUCUCGUCAGCAGAAACUUGCCCCCGGUGCUAGGGUUGAGGGACCCCUGGCGUCGCCCAGGGGGAGGCGGCGCGAGGGGAGGUGAGCUAGUUGCUCGUGCGCGGCCGCUGAUUUGCUGCAGGUUUUGUGAUAUUUGGACGUUCGAUGUACAUUGAGAUAUUGGAUUAACUUUGUUAUGCCUAUGAGAUUUGUACAUUGAGAUAUUGGAGGAACUACCACACAUUUGCAAAGCAGCCAUGGCUACUAGGAUCAUGGUUUUGCUUCUUCUCAUGCUCCUCUCAUUCUCAGAGUCCACCACCCCUUACCAGGUGUUAGAUUUCAACACGGCAACCCAGAGUACCGAGGAGCUUCACCAAGCUAUGGAGCGGGCGUUUUGGCUCCUCUCCUUCCGGCGGUUCAUCAGGCGAAGUGCAUAGGAAGGCCAAAUUUGUUGUUGCUGCAUGCUUCUGUGCUGAAGUGGACACGAAGCUAUGGAGCGGAAGCUGAUGUGCUGAAGCAUUCUCUCGUCGUCUUGUUGACUGCACUGGCAGACGGCCUGCAAGCUCGCUGCAUCCCGGACGCGAAGGCCCAAGAUGUUGCUGUUGUGCUCUUCCACGACGCGGGCGAGGAGGAGGUACCCCGGCAUCAUCCACCGCAGGCUCCCGUACUGCAUGAUGGAGCAAUUGGGCACUGACAUCUCUAUUUGUCGAGGCAUAUAGUGCAAUCUUAUAUUACCCUAAAGCUUCCAUGUAUCUGCCGUUCGUCGGAGGGAGGAUUCAUGGCAUAUGUUAUCGUCCUGGUUAAUGUGGUCAUCUGUUAUCCAACCUUAAUCCUUACUAGAACCGAGAAUUACAUAGGUAAUGUGGGGCAUUGGUGGCCAUUACAUAUGUAAUAGCUUAAAUCGAUUGAGAGAGAAGUUUACUUGCGUUUAUACUUAUAGUAGUUCAUAUGAACAAUCCAUAAUACUUACUAAAAAGUACGAGGGUAACGCAAGAAUGAGAUCAGAUCUCAACAGGGAAAUGAAAUUAGCUCCUAAUCAGCCAAAUAGUGGAUGUCAACCAAUUUUUUUACUAACACGCAACUAAUGACAUACUCUACUGUAUAUCCAAAUAUGCCAUAUCAGACAUCGGAAAAAUGAUUUUAUUAUAUCUAUAAAAAUAAUGAAUAAUAGUUUCUUUUUGCGAAAAUGAUCUAACCAAUUAUAAAAGUACAUUGGAACUAUAAAGUAUCUCCAACACAAUAAAAAUUAAAUCGAGAUUCCGAAACCACUGAAUGACCAAAACUACCGCCAAAUUGAGCACACGCUGCUAUCGCCACUCACCUACCGGAGCAGACUUGACAUUGUCGAUGAAAGCUGGGAUGUCUUCAUGCACGUGCUGCUAAGGACCAGCGCACUGGAGCCGCAGUCGUUGCCAUGAAACCCUUGAAUAAAUCUGAGCUUGGUAGGAAAAUUAGUGACCCACUGAAAACGACAGCUCCAUUUUACUCGGCAUAGGUGAAGGCACAACAAACCGCAUCAACAGGUACAAAACAAAGGAUGUCCAUGGGGUGCCAUCCGGACCGCGCCACCGGCUCAUAGCUACAUCAAUGCCCCUGUCAAUGUGCCGAAACCAGCGGAGGCACGGAUCCUCCGAUGAGGAGAUGGUCAGGGCGAUGUGGCUGGGAUCUAGCCGGGGACGUGGGGCUAGGAGGCGGCUCACGGGGCAUCGUGUACUUUUGAGCCCUCAUCACAUGGCUCAGUUAGGCCAGUGAAAUCUCCUGAAUAGCGAGGGCUACCCUGCCUCCCCUUUGUGUACUUCAUCUCCUGUUCCGUGUCCCAAAGGGCCGACUAUACACUACUAGGGAAAAGCCUAGUAGUAGCGAGGGUUAAAUAGCUAGUAGUAGCACGGGCGCUCGCGCUACUACUACGGCGCUAUAGCUAACUUAUAGUAGUAGCGUGGAUGUGCCCGUGCUACUACUACGUCUGUUAGUAGUAGCGUGGGUACCACCCACACUACUACUAUUAAUUUCAAAAACAAAAAGAAUCUCGAUGUCGUGCGUGCUGUCAAUUAAUGGCAGCAAUGGUUCGAUCCAGCGACGACAGGGGUCGGCGGAGCUGCAGAAGGGCAGUGGUAGAACAGAUCCGGCACCGACUGCUGUAGAGGGCCCGGAUCCAUGGCCGAGCAAGGCAGCGGCAUGGGGCUCCUCUUUGCAACCAAGGCAGCAAGCUCCUGGUGGUCCAUGGUGAUGACCUGCACGGGCAAGGACAUGGGAUGGUGAGUCAAACCAGAGCGAGAGAGAAAAAGAAAAACGAGGGAGACAGGAAGGAGAUGGAGGUACCAGCAGGGUUGGUCGCCGUUGGUGAGGUGCUCCGGCGUGGUGGCAUGGAGAUGCGGGGAAUACCUGCGAGCUCCGGGAAGCCGGUGGCACGAGGUGGCCAGCCUCUUUUGACGCCAUGGAGGAGGAGGCGCGCAUGCAUAGGAGGUCCAUGUGAGAGCCUAUGGAGAGACGGGGGGAGAGGAAGGAUUUGGGGAGGAGAUGGGGAUUUCAGAGCUCUUCAAAAACCAUGUAGUUAGUAGCAGCGUGGGUUUAUAGCCCUCGCUACUACUAUCAACUUAGUAGUAGUGCGUGUCUAUACCCCUCGCUACUACUAUGGCAUGUCCCGGGAGGGGUAAAAACCUGCGCUAGGGUAAAAACCCGCGCUACUAGUAAGUAGUAGUAGUGAGGGGUAUAAACCCGCGCUAGUAGUAAGCGUUUGCCUAGCCUUUCCCUAGUAGUGAUACUGCGGUUUUGGCAAGAUUUCAAUCAGCCCUAAUGUGGUGUUUCCCAUCCAAUUUAGGUGUUAUUGAGUUUUAUGUGUUUUUAAAAAGAACUAGCCCUAUCCAGGUUCGUGGGUUGAUGACUGGUUAUUUUAAUUUGACUUCCCUUCAACCAAACACGACAUUUCUCUGCUUUUUUGGCAGGAGAUCAGAAACUAAACAUGAUUCUCUCCCAGCAAAAGAAGAAAAAACUAAACAUGAUCUAGAUUAUGUACAAUUACAAUAUCUUAUGUCGAUACACCUAUUUAGCAUUUGUGUGUCUAUUGUAAGAACUGAAUGGGUCAUUAAUAUAUUGAAUUGGGUCUACUCUUCGUCAUGCAGUUUUCGUUGCCCAACUACAAAGCAAUUCAUGCUAAUUUUUCUAUUAAACCAUAUGGUCACUUGUAUGCAAGUAGCCCUACUAUUUCACACAAUUUUGUUGUCUACUCACAUGAUAAACAAAUGAUAACGGCUCCUGAAUGCAUGCUUAACAGUUCACGCCUAUUACGUGCUUACCUGAAUGGAAAACGAUCUUAACAAAGACUGCAGUAUAUAUAAGUCAGGCCUAUAUAUAUGUACUCAAUCACCUGAACUGCCUUAGCUAGGAUGCAAAAGUGAGUGUUAUAUGAGAGGUUUCGAAUUUAUUUUAUGCUCUAUUCCGUUUCUAUCAAUCUGCUUGAAAUAUUGGAGGAAAACAAAAAAAAAACCUAUUUAGCUGCCAUAAUCGCGUGCUGGACCAUGAACAACACGUUUAUGACCCGCCUGCGUGGUUAUCAAAAUAUCUAUUAGUUUGCGUCCUUCCUUGCGGAGACAUUUAUGUUUGGAGAGGAGCAACCAUUUGAAUAUCAGUCUAACAGCUUGCGGUGGAAGCCUCGUUCAGGUUGUCCAACUGUUUCUCAUUAUAUCCCCGAUACGAUUGAUUCUUGGGCCCUCGCAAACCAUUACUGUGAGGUCACGCUUGGCAUUCCUUUCUUUUUCUCUAUUAGCCUCGAUGCGCGGCAUGCGCGAGUACUCCACAAGGACCUUUGCUGCUUCCAAUGCCACUUCCUCCGCGAGUACUCCCUAUUGAUUCUUGGGCUCCGCAAGUACUCUGCAAAGACCCCGAUCGUGUGGCACGAAGCAAAUGUGCCCACACGUCCUGGCCCAGCUACGUUAGUUACCCGCGGGAUGACUCUUUAGUUACCUCGGGGGAUGGCAACUUUAGUUAUCCGGGAUGGCAAAUAUAGUUGUAAAAGCAUGUCAACUCUCUCUGUUUUGGUUAACUAUAGUUGCCAUGUCUAAUUUAUGGUAGUUGCCGCGUGUAAUCAAACCAUAGUUGCCGUGUGUGAUAAACUACUUGCCACAUGUGGUCAAACAAUAGUUUCCAUGUGUGUUUACAUAAUUGCCACAUGUGGUCCAACCAUAGUUGACAUGUAUGGCUAAUCAUAGGUGCCAUGUGUGUUUACAUGGUUGCCACGUACGCACAACUGCAGUUGCCAUCUACAAACGAAUCAUAGUUGCCAUGUGUGUUUACCUAGUUGCCACAUACGUGCAAUUGUAGUUAUCAUCUA
rnacentral:lncRNA from 1 species